rnacentral:lncRNA from 1 species
UACCAUAGAGUACAAUAGCAUUCCAGGAGUCCCGCAGAAUAAUAAUUAGCAUUCCAAUUCCAGGAACGAAUUUAAAGAUUAACACCAUUGUGUUCGUACCAACAAUAUGGAUUUCUAAUACUUAAUAAGUACAAAUUUGAGUCCUCACGGUGUCAUGCGUCUGAAGAUCAGAACUAUGUCCAUAAAUCUGGGAUCCAAAUGUGUAAUAAGGUGCAGAAGGCACAAGAAUUAGAUUUGCACAAGAAUAAUCUUACAAGUGCAGAUUCUAUUCAAGUAUGCUUCCAGAAUGCUUGGCAUAAAAUGUUCUUGAAUGUAUAUGAAAUCAAGCUUAGGUCAUCAGACAUCAGUUUUCUUCUUCUUCUUUGGCACAUACUGUCGAGCCCAUAGAUGUUUUCCCCUGGUCAUGAACUUAACUCUCAUAUUCCCGUCUAGAACACGGAAGAGUGUCAUCUGUGAGUAAAAUGCAACGUGUGCGUACAGUGGUGGCCUACUUUCGAUUGGCUCCUCUACACUUAUUUCUUCAAUAUCUCCAUAGUGCCUGUGACAUGGAAGAAAUUAAUGAAACAAAAUUAGAAACUGCAUAUAUAGGCAAAACUAAUGAAAUGAAUUUAAUCUACUGAAUUUUCUCCUGAAAUUCAUUUUGUGUUCCUUAUUAUAUCCUUACAUGUCUUUUAUGUCAAUUAUAUGUAACUAUCAAAUUGAUCACAUUAACUAGUAGAUUUCAGAUUUUGCGACGUCUAUUGAUCGCCUUCAUAGAUUGAGGGGUUGGGGUGUAUGUCUUCACACCUCCCUUUACGAGGACACCAGGACGGUUUUUCUGGCGCCUAGCAAAGAAGAUAGCAGCAACAUGUUGAGCAUUUUGCAACCUUCGAUGAGGUUAUCUAUGUUUCGAAUGUGCUGCAAAGCUCUUAGUGCCUACUACCCUUGUCCAUCCAUCGAUCUCAACAACAUCCUUCUUGAUUAUUGGGAUGUUUGCACUCAAUUCUAACUGCCACACUUAGAUCUUCCUCUGUCAGCGAAUCAUUUGAAAAGCGUGUAUAAGAUCAUGUGCAAGCGUAUUAAUUAACUUGCAUGGCAUGGCAAAGAAAAACGCAUUGGUUAUCAGUCCUUAAAUCACAAGCUAUGAUGUUGGUCAUGGCUUUCAUGGAAGACCCGGAUAGGGCAUAGGGUUGGGACCCCCUUGUGACGCCAUUGAUAUGGACCUCUUCUAUGAUGUUACUACGAUGACUAUUGGACAUGGUAAAAAUGCAGCCUUUUGGCAUGCAACUUGGCUUGGGGUCCGCAAAAGAAAAGACAUUGCACUAUCCAUUUUAAAAAUUUAUAUGCAUAGGAACCUAACCAUGGAGAGAGAUUUUUUAGUACGAUUGAUGGAUCACCAACAUUAAGAUAAAUUUUGGUCUCUUUGUGGAACACAUCAUUGAUUAUUUUUUCCUACUUUGAGUCAAUUUGCAGGACACUCAAACGAUGACAACAAGAAUUGAACUGUUUGGAACCUUACUGUUUUGGUAGAGUAGUCGACAUCAUUGGAAUAUACUCUGCAGAGUGUUUAGUUAAUGAAGCAAAUUUUUUGGAAAAAUUGAUUGUCAUCUAAGAGAAAGAAAUAUUCUUGGCUUAUCUUGCUAGAAAGGGUGUGGACAGCUAAUAGAUUACAAUUUUGCAAAAGGGCCCCAGAAAUUUUACGUUCAUGAGGCGGAUUUACAGUGCGAUAAAAGUGUUGUUUGGGCUUAUUGAUGAUAAUACCGGUGAAUGGGGUUACUUCAACUCGGCCAAAGAUUGGUGAUCAAGAUCAAUGGAAACAUGAGGAGGUGGGUCUAUUCCCUCCUCCGUACUAUCAGAUUAGGCUUGUAAAGAGUUGCACCAGAUACCAUUUCCAAGAGCCAAACUAGUGUCAGCUUCUCUUACUUAAUCUCUCACGAAUUCCCACAAACUCUCUAAAUUCCCACACAUAGUUUGUUGUAGAUACCAGAUACAAAACAAAGCACUAGAAAAUAAAAUGACACAAUAUUUUCUAUUACCCUAACCCCCUCGCCUAAACUCCCAUCCCCUUCGCCAAAGUUGCCAAACACACUAGGACAAAAUACAUGCAUUAUGGACCACAUGGGGAGUGGAGUUGGUCACAACUUAAUGCUUUUACCUUUUCAUACCAAAUUAUAUGAAAGCUCUACUUUUCCAAAUUUACUAUUAAUUAUGCAUCACAUACCAGAUGCGUAAACUAUUCAAUGUUCCCGCAUGGCAGCAUCCAGGGUGACAUGGUAGGUGACCAUUCCGGCCCACCAAACACUUUUCACUACAACUCUCUGAUCCUCGCUGAGUGGCAGCCAGAGAGCUCACAAAGCUUGAGGAUGGUGUCAUCGAGACGCUCUUCAUGUGCACCUUAUUACAAUAGCGAGUGGCGCACCUACGUUUGUCGGUUGGGCGACAAGGAAGUCCUAGUUCCGGACGACCAAGAGUCGGCGCCACGUUCGGUGCCCUCCUAUGUUACUGGUGCUUUGUGGAUCUUAAGUUGACACCUCUCGGGGGUGGAGCUCUAGCGACACGAUAGUGUGGCGAUUCACUUUGAAAGUUUUGGUGGAGCACCAUCUCCCUCCUCUCUGCUGCUAGCUACUAGUGUGUGUGAGUAUGCAUCGAACGUUGAUGUUGAAUUUUGGUGCUUAGGACCAGGAUGGUAGUCUAGAUCUAAGAGGUUUUUUUUGGUAGCUAACUAGUGGUCUGUACUUGGAGAUCUACUGGUCAGCAUUGGGUCUCAUGGUUGCGAAGGUAUUGUUUCUUCCUUCUUUUGUUGUGAAGGCGUGCGGUUUGAAAGCUGGGGUGGCAGCCCUAGAUGGUGGUCACUGUAGUGUCCUGACGGUGAACCUUGCAAUGUGGAGUGCUAGUUGGCUGCUAAGGCAAUAGAGUGGUCUUCUUGGCAAUUGGUCGUGGUUUGUGGGUCAUCUAUGAUGCCUAGUUUUGGGUGUCAUCUUGACCAUUAGUUCCCUUCUCUCUUUUUCGGGGGUGUAGCGAUAGGCCUUUAGAUGGAUGGGUGACGCGGUGCCCUGGAGAUAGCUUUGCGUGACAGUGGUAAGUGUCGAUAACAAUGAUGUUCUUGGACAUUAUAAUGUCUUCCCCGGAGGCCUCAUUGAGGUUACACGCUCAUAUUACUCGAUUUUUGGGUGAAAAUCAUUAACCCGGAUUGUCGGAGUAGUGAUACAGCCUCAUUAAAUUGUUGGAGGCGUCGACCUUCGAACUUUUUCUCCUAAUCUAUGGGUCGAUGCGUGGUUGUGAGGCAGUCACUGGUAGUUGUGAUGACAAUCUGGACUUCACUUUGGUGUUUUGCAAAACAACCCAUUGUUUUUCUCCUCCCUUAGAUUUUUUCACCAUUCCUCACGGUAUGCUCUGGGCGAGCUUCUGUACACGCCGAUGGUAUGACACCCAUCGAGCCAAGGCGAGAGUGCAGGGGGUCCUCUUCGGCGAUGGGGACGAAUGAGUAUGCAAUGUGAUUUGGCCUUCUUUGAAAUAGAGGAGGACCUACAUUGCUUUCCUACACACACACACACACGCACGCACGCUCACACACACGCACACACACCAAGUACUUGAGAGUGAUUUUUUCCAGGUUGAGCUCCAUAGUACCUUCUAUCUAUGUCGUUCGUACCAGAUUCCCUUCCCUCGAGAUCUCAACCAUGGCCUGCGACCCAUUCUGAUUAGCAGCAGUACCUCUGUCGCACCUGUUGUCUCCCUACANNNNNNNNNNNNNNNNNNNNNNNNNNNNNNNNNNNNNNNNNNNNNNNNNNNNNNNNNNNNNNNNNNNNNNNNNNNNNNNNNNNNNNNNNNNNNNNNNNNNNNNNNNNNNNNNNNNNNNNNNNNNNNNNNNNNNNNNNNNNNNNNNNNNNNNNNNNNNNNNNNNNNNNNNNNNNNNNNNNNNNNNNNNNNNNNNNNNNNNNNNNNNNNNNNNNNNNNNNNNNNNNNNNNNNNNNNNNNNNNNNNNNNNNNNNNNNNNNNNNNNNNNNNNNNNNNNNNNNNNNNNNNNNNNNNNNNNNNNNNNNNNNNNNNNNNNNNNNNNNNNNNNNNNNNNNNNNNNNNNNNNNNNNNNNNNNNNNNNNNNNUCAUGAUGUCUCUUAUUCCUUCCCUUUUCUCUCUCUAGUCUUCUCCUCUAUCUCUCCUCUGUUCUCUCUCAGAGCCUCCUCCCAUUUCUCAUCUAUCUCUUUUUUAUAGAAAAGGCAAUUUCCCGAGUUUAUAGAUAAAGCCAAAGGAGAUUCACAACACCGAUUACAACCAUUAAAAAAGUCUCACAAGUUGCUAAACAACCAACAACCAACAAAUCCCAAAGGAACAGUUCAGAAAUGACAAACAGGCCAACAACCAGGUACCAAAAGAAAACUAGUAAAUGACCCGAUGUCCACUAAGCUAGAGCCUGCACCCUUGGUGAUAGAGAGUUCGACAUAGCCCUGAAGCGAGUGCUGAGUAGGUCCGUGGCGUCGAUGUCAUACCUCUUAACCAAAGGCCUCCACUACUGCAUUAGUGUGAUGGAUUUGAAAUAACAUUAGCUGGUUUCGACAGGAACACAUGCUCGAUGGUAAACUUAUUUCGAGUAGUCCAAAGAGACCAACUGCAGCAGCAAACCCAAACUAGAAUAUGCGUCUCAAUGGAGCAGAUAAUGCACUAAAAAGCGGCAGUAAUUGAGCAAAAAUCGGUCGGAGCCCAGCUAACCCUCAACCACGACCGAGUACAACUUCAUAAGAGAAUGACAAAGUCACAUGAAAACAUAAUAUGGUCAGAAUCUUCUGGCCUAGAGCAGAAAUAGCAAGUAGAAUAAGCUUGAGCAUUAUGCUUCCUAAUUUGAUCAACAUCACGAAGCUUCCCAUGGAUGGCUUGCCAAAGAAAGGUCUUAGUGUUCAGUGGAACACGAGCCUCCGGACACCCAUGAACUUAGAAGAACAGGACCUAACAAUAAGGCUAUGGUAAAGCUAAUCGGCCGAAAAAUUCCUAAGGGGGAUGAGGCUAGACCACUGAGUCCAGAAUCUCCGAGAGUGUGAGGAAAGUGGCAUCAAGUUGAUGCCAUUGCUCCAACUCUACGAGAGAUAGGGAGCAGUGAAAUGCUAAAUUCCAACAAGAAUUAGUAAGAUCAAAGAUAGUAAUAUCAACAUUACCACAAAAAGAGAAAAUGACCAGGAAAGAAGAGAAAAGAGGGGUGGCCCAUGCCACCAAUCAAGCCAAAAGCGGCUGGAGUUCCCAUCUUCAACAAUAAACUUCACAUGAGAUCGGAAAACAUCUUUAACCUUAGUCAAAGCUGCCAAAAUUGGGAUCCAUUAUUAGGCAAAGCCAGCAGAUCACUAGUGGAGGGAAAUAUUGUGCUUUAAGAAUAACAAACCAAAAAUUCCUAGCGGAAGCAAAAAGAAUGCACCACCACCAUUUGACAAUUAAGCAACAAUCAUAAUCAAUGUGUUAAUAAUGCCCAGGCCACCAUGGCUUUUAGGUUGGCAAAUGAUUUUCCACUUGACUAACUGAUCCUUCUUUUUUUGUCACCCGAAUUCUUGUAGAAUCUGCUAUGAUGCUUAUCAAGACCAGUGUGGGUACCCUCAGGUAGCCUAUAAAAACCCAUAAACAACAUAAAUAGAGAGGAAAGAGAAGAUUUUUUGAUGAGAACUUCCCCAGCAACUGUAUUAUAUCUACCACAACACGACACAACCCUAUUGUUCACCUUAAGAACCAUGGGUGCUAAGUCUUUCGUACACGCUUUAGAAGAUGAGGGGGAGCGUGAGCAGAAACCUGGCCCUCAGCUCGAACAUUGAUCUGAAAGGCUUUACUUUUGGGGUAUACCUCAGUGAAACCACUUUGGACCCGAUCUGGCGCACUACAUCAAUUCCUUGUAUGAACUGGGCCAGACUAGCCAAAGAAUCUUCAUCCACGUAAAUAGGUUUUCUAAUGAGGUCACCAAACACCAUCAAACACGCCUUGUUACGCAUGAUCGAAGGAACAUCAUUUAACAAAACACAGGUAUCCACCAAGUUGCCAAAGCAUCGAUCAUCGUCCCCAACCUUUUUGACAGAAAUUACAAGCUGGUUCACUAGAAGCAUAAAACUAGUGCUCUUAGAUAACAUCUUUAAACUUUCCUGGGACUGGGAAAGCAAUCCCAAAUUCUGAUUGUGAAAUCUACUGGAACUACCAGUCCCAACCAUCCGGACCCCAUUCCCUUAGCUCAUCUGCAAUUGUCUGCAGUGUCACAUAGCAGAUUGGACCGAGAUGAUAGCAACGUCGGAUGGCUGAGGUGCAACCGGAACCAUGUCCAAACCACCAUCUGAACCAAAUACGCACCACCUGGCAGGCCUAGACUAUACUGCUUAAUUGAAGGAGGUUUGGAGCGAUUAGUACAACCCACUGUGAGGUGGCUUUCGACACAGCAAAUCAAGCAUAAAAGGAGGAAACAUACAGCGGGAUUCAGAGUGACCCGGCCUAUGCCAUGCAAAACAUGUGAGAGAAGGAUGACUCGAGCUAUUACCAGAGCCACCCACCAGUGGAGCAGAUCCAGAGAUUGGUAGGGGUGGGUGAGGAUUCCAUCACCAGAGCCAUCAGAAUUGUCAUUCGACCAAAAUUUCCUAAACUUGUUUGGUCGAUUGUUGGGAGGGCAUUUUGGAAGCCACUAGGACGGGAAUUGGGACAGAACUGCCCUUGGAACCCAUAAACACAGGAAGGAGGAGCGAGUAGAGCAACAGCUGCAGUCGGCCGAGGAGCAUCAGCAUGGGGGAGGGGGCACGACGCCCGACGCUGUCGCCUCCCAGGUAUCUAGGGCAGAGGAAUCUGAGCCUACCCGCUGAGAUGGGAUGGGGGAAGCAGAGGAGCGAGUUGCCGCCAUCCUUUCCUCCUGAUGUGUGUGCUGCUCCUUACACCACUCUUCUUCCCGAAACCAAACCGGUGGUGUGCCUCAUGCCUCCCGUUCCUUGGUUGCACGCUCGCCAGCCUCCUGCCCAUGCUGCAACUUAGCCCUCAACUCAGCCUCAGGCGCCACGGAGUCCAGAAGUGGCCUCACCAGAUCCAUGAAGCUGCCUCUUGCCAUUGGUGUUGCAGUCGCCCAACAAGCCUAUCUUCAGCACCUCGGCAAAGGAGCGUGUCAAAGGUGGGGGUGGAAGGAUUUGGAUGGAACGAGGAAGGAGGUUACCAGAUCUGAUCUUGCAAAUCUUAGUGCAGGAAACAAAAAAACCCUAGGAUUAGGUCGACACAACCUCGACGGGGCCACAUAUACCCACGGCAUGGGCCAACUGGCUGCUCUGGGCCACUCACGGGUGAAAUGAGCCGAAGCCCAAAAGGGAGAGGGGGAAAGAAUAACCGAAGCGGUAUCCAACCCUUGGACAGGGCCACCACCCUGCACAGAGCCCACCAAGCUCAUAGAUGAGCCCACCAUCUCACAAGCUGACGACCGGAUUAGUGUUCUGUCCCAUAAGUAGAAGAACUAGAGACAGGAACCAAAGGCGCCGCUGGCCAGCUAUCCGGCAUCGACAUUGCCAACGAGAUGAUAUCCACACUAGGAUCCAACAAGGGCCGGGCCCAGAGUGGUAGAAAAUGUGCGGCCCGCACAGGGCCCAAAAAUCUAGGGGGCCGAAUUUUUCCAAAUAGGCCUAGUAUUAAAAACAAAAAACGGUACUGGGCCGCUGGAGUGGGCUAGAGACCUGGAGUCGAGGCGACUAGGCAUCGAGCGACGAGCGUGAUCUCCCCGACUCCUCCUACUCGAUCGCUACGGGUUUCCGUAAAAAAUAACUCGAUCGCUACAGUGAUCGGGGAUCGCUAGAUCUGAAUCGUGAAAAGUGAAAACUCUCGAUUGUGGGGUGUCUCGUCGCCCCAUCCCUGGUGCCUGGUCGCCCUGUCCCUGGUGAUUAGAUCAAUCAGAUCACAGGGCGACUGGCCGCUGCCUACUUGCCUUCCUCGCCUCCUCUCUCUCAAUUUGGAUUGAUCGCUAGCCUCCAAGUGCUCAAAGAAUACUAAAAAACGAGGAUGCUCAAAUAAAUAGCAACAAGGAGUUGGUUAGGUAUGACUUUUUUAUAUGUCCAAUUGUUAUGUAAGAUAUAUUAUAUAUUCCUUGGUAAAUUAAUGUAAGAGCGUUUAAAUCAUUAAAGUAGUGAACGCUCUUGUAUGAGUUUACGGCAGGACUACGUUAUAAUUUUUUUCUAUGAUAUAUAUGUACAAUAUAAUUGCUUGUUAGUUCUUUUUUCAAUAGGGCCCCAUUUUUUAAUUUCGCACAGGGCCCAUGAUUUUGCCGGCCCGGCCCUGGAUCCAACGAGGCGGACGACACAGUGAAACCGGGUCAGAGCCAAGAAAACCAGGGGAAGGAGUAGGAUCAAGUAACCUACGAGCGCGGCAAGAUCUGGGCGUCACAACCACCCAACCUCGACCCCUCUCCCCCCGAGACGAAGAGCUACGAGCACUGAGCGGACACCAGGUGCAAACUUGCAGAGUCAGCCAGCAGCGCCCCCCAGGUCACGCAGCGCCGUCGCACUGUCACCAUGGGAGAAGGCGAGGGGGAGCUACCAGCAUUCAAAACAUCGUCGACAUCCACAUCCAAUGCCCAGAAGUGAUUGGUGGGAGACUGCACUGGAGAACAGAGAGUGAGGGAGGGGCGGGGAGGGUGGAAGGAACCGGGAAAGAAGGGGAGCAGGAUGAGCCACAUGGAGAUCCCAGAGCGGGGAGGCAGGGCAAACAAGAGAAGGGGAGGGGGCGACGAGGUAAUCGUAGAAGGGAAAGAGAGAGGCCAAGAUAGGGAGCCAUCCUCACACCCAGUAACUCCACACUCGACCUCUCUCCUCUAUCUCUCACAUAUUCUUCAUCUUCUUCUUCUCUCUCUCCCCCCCAUUUCUGCUCUUUCACAACCACUCUCUCUACUGCUCACAUGCUGAGAGGGGAUGGCGCAUUCUCUCCCUUCCAUUUCACCUAUGUUCUUUCUCACACGCACAACCUAGUCCCAUUUCACCUUUGUUCUCCCUAACACACACAUCCUAGUCCCAUUUCAUCUCAUCUCUCUCUCUCUCUCUCUCUCUCUCUCUCUCUCUCUCUCAUUUUCUUGUUCUUCUUCUCUUUCUCUCUCUCCUCCCCAUGGCUGCUCCCUCACAGCCUCUUUCUCUAUUGCACACACGCCAUGAAGCAGGAAUCCUGCAUGGAGAAUCUGCUUGUGUUGUGUGGGGGCAGCUCAUCACGUGAGAAUAGUGACAGAAGAUGAUGCCAAAGAGGGGCCUGGUCAACGCCUGGUAAUGACGCAAGAGCGGUCAGACGUGGGCUCGCGGUGCUCCCAGCUGCAACGAUCAUGAUGUCAAAUAGACGGUCAUGAUAGCAGGUACCGCAGAGCUUGACCUGCAAUUCAACUUUCCACAAGUUCCUCCAUCUUCACUUUGGUGAGUGCGUCGACGACUCCAAGCUCCACCUUUUCCUUUUUACAUUUGUUAGCUUGCUCUUGUUCGCUGCCCUAUAAAUUGUUUCCUCGCACUUUGUAUCUCUACUAUAGCUGUUUGGAAAAUUAGCAAUUUAAAGUCGGGCUCAACGAGCUUACUGUCUAAAAAUAUUUGUAUGCAUCACAUCAAAUUCUCAAGGUGAAUGUAUGAAUGAGUGCAUACAUUAGAAAUUUGGUUCACUAAUUUCCCGCUGACUCCUAUAUUACAUUUUUUAUUACCCGCAAUCAAUAACCAUACCACUCCCCUAACAAAUAAUGGUGAAUUUACAUAUGUAAUAAAACCUGAAAUGAUAGGCAUACCUCAUAAAAAAUUCGUGUAGUUCAUCCUUGGUCAGUGGAUAGCCAUUAGAAAAUGUCACAAACAAAGUUCUCUCAUCAGGUGGAACAUCAGAUAGGUCUUGCGUGAUCUGCAGAUAAAUAUAUUUUUAUUUUCUCUUCAAGCUAUGCACUGCACUAUAUAUUUGGAUGAAAGCUAUCAAGUCUUAUUGGAACAUAAACGAAUGAACAUGCAAAGAAUGAUCAGGGACGAUGACUUACUGCGUCAUUAGGGUUCUCUCUUAAGCUCAACUUAUCCAACAAUGUGACCAAAUGGGAGGUUGGCUGAUAAUCAUAUACUUCGUCCUCUGUAUCAUGGUGGAGCAUACGACUUGUUUGAGGAUGGAUAUUUCUUGAAUUUGAGCCUUCUCCAUGACGCAUUUGACUUGUUUGAACACAGAUAUUUCUAGAACUUGUGCCUUCUCCAUGAUGCUUCGGAUUGUUAGCAUACAAAGCCUUGAUCUUGGUAAGAAGGUGUUUCUGCAUAUAGAUGAUAUGGUGAAUCAGAAGGAGGAGAAAAUACUUCACAAACUAUUAACAGAUCUUUCAUUAAUCUCACCGAGCUAUUAGGAAUAUGUUCAUGCGAUGAUUCUCCAUAGGCCUCUUGGUAAGAUCUGUCAUCUGCAUUGAUGAUAAAGCAAACCACAAAAGGGUAAAACCUUGUACUAGUAACUGAUCUGAUCUUGAAUAACUAUAUGUGAACACUAGUCUUACUGAGAUAUUAGGAAUCUGUUCAUGCGAUGAUUCUCCAUAGGCCUCUUGGUAUAGAUCUGUCAUCUGCAUAGAUGAUAAAGCAAAUCACAAUAGGGUAAAAUCUUCUACUACUAACAGAUCAGAUCUUGGAUAACUAAAUAUUAACCCCAGUUUUACCGAGCUUGCAGUAGGAACCCGAUCAGUCCUGGACUGUCCAUAGGCUUCUUGGCGCAGGUAUGUCAUCUUAUUACGGACAAAAUUCAUCUCUAUCCUUUCUCGAAGAUCUUCUAAGGCCUCAUAACAGAUAGUAUUGAGGUAGAGAGAAAUUCCUUCAAUAGCUUGGUUCUGAAAGUCACUUCUUGCUAUAGAUCUGGCCUCUGAACCACCGAAUGCAAAAUGGAGAACUUCCAGAAAACGUUUUGCAGAAGAAACAAUUGCGCGAAAAUGGUUGUCACCAAGAGAGUAUAUGUGCUGAAGGUAACCAACUUGGCCAUUCCCUUGUGUGAGCCACAACCAAAAGGCAAUUAUCUCCAUGGAAAUGGAAGACUCAACUUGAAGACCAAGGACCAAACGAAAGAACAACACUCGAAGUAGCAUAUAGGAAGAAUUUGAAGCAUUAUUCAGUGGAUCUGGUGCCAUGGAAGGUGUCGAAGCCAUACAGGAGUGUAUAGAAGAGUUGCUAGUUUUGAAUCAACAAAGACAAACGGGGAAGAAGAAGUCAGGAAGAAUAAGGUAUGUGGGCUUUCUUAUCAUUUAAGUAAAUCCAGAAGGUUCAAGCGGAUGUUGAUUGAGAAAUUAAUUCCCCCAAAGUAUGAGUAGAGGACAGGCAGAGGCGACAAAAAAAGCAAGCUGUUGACAGUCUAUACUCAUUAAUGGCAACCCCAUUAUAGCCACACUUGCCAAAUAACUGCUGAUAUUUUUUUUGCAUGCUUCACCUUUCUAGUAAUCUCAUACUGUACAAAAUCACCAACUGUAUCAUGCGACAUAUAAAAAAUAUAUGAAAAUAUUCAUUAUUUAAUGCUAUUUAAGGCGCUCCUAUGUAUAUACUUAGGCUGCUUGUAAUGGGGUGUAUCAUAUACUAGUAUUAUGCAUAUAAUACUAGUGUAUGAUAGUACAUCCGUAAUGCAUAGUAUCAUAUGUUGGUAUUAUAGAGGGCUAUAUUUAUUAACAUGCAUGACACAAAGUAACACAUUAUUUAAUAUGAUACAGUAUCAUGAUAUGAUACUCAAACAUCUCUUUCUUCAUUUAAUUCUACGUCACCUUAUCAAAAAUGAUUAGUUGACAUGCAUGAUAUUACCUAUGAUACUUCCAUUACGGGCAGCCUUAGGACCGAAAAAAGACAUAUGCAGUUUGUACUCUGUGAAAAGCUACCCACUUUAUGUUGGCAAAUAAUAUAUGAUCAUUAGUUACCUGAUCCCUGAGCUAAUGCCUCAUCUUUAGAUUUCGUUGUUCCAUAAUUCCUUCUUCUCACAACCAUCAAUCCCAUCGAAUUGCCUAGAUGUUUUGCACUAUCUGCGAAGAUGGAGAAGACUACUGGAAACACUCCCUGAUUAGCUGCACAAUGGCACGGUGUGUGUGUGUGUGUGCAUAUGUGCUUUAGUUGAUGAAGAGUUCAGUGAGCAUAUCUUGAGAAGUGCCGCUGGUGACCCACGGGAAUGGCUAAUGGAGCUCCAGGAUACUGUUAACUACUCCCUCCGUUCCAAAAUAGAUGACUCUACUUUGUAUUAACUUUAGUGCAAAGUUGGGUCAUCUAUUUUGGAACGGAGGGAGUAGUGAAGAGUUCAUCACAAGGUGCUCAUUAUUUUAUGGGCGAUCUGAUCAGCCAGGUGUAAAGCAAUCCUCGAAUCAACUUUUCAGUUGCCGUGUAAUAAUUAUCGUGUUUGCUAAUGGACUUAUCAGUGAGCUCGAGUUUCUAGCAAAGAAGAAUGUAAAGGUGUAGGUAAUGUAGAAGUGCAUGCUCUAGCCAAUGCAACCAAAAGACCGAUCUGAUGGAAGAGACUAGGCAACACAUUAUACGUCAACACUCCCCCUCACGUGUGGCUCCCUCAGGCCUAAACGUGGACCGAAAGUGAGCUGCAAUUUAAUUGCGCCAGCCGGGUCUUGAACUCAAGACCUCUUGGCUCUGAUACCAUGUAGAAGUGCAUGCUCUAGCCAAUGCAACCAAAAGACCGAUCUGAUGGAAGAGACUAGGCAACACAUUAUACGUCAACAGGUAAUUCUCCGGUGAAAACGAAACCGCCCAGUGGCAUCUGCAAACUUAAUGUUGAUGAAGCAAUGACGAAUUCAUCAAGGGAAACGUUUCGACCCGGCAAGCCGGCCGAACUUUCGGCCGGUCUCGCCGUUAUACUCGUGCACAACUGCACAUGCACAGCAAGCGCACGCCACACGCGACACGGGACACCACCCACGCCCUUAUCCACACCGCUCUUUCUCUCAUCCACACAAAUUCUCCAGCAUCCGUCCUCUCCGCUCGCGCAACCCCUGCCUCAUCUCUCAGCUCACGCAUCUCCUGUCUCACCUCUCGCUCGCGCCGCCGGAUACUAGCACCGGCAAGCCCCACCACCGGAGGACUUCUCUCUACUACAAUUUCUCCCUCUCCGACGAGGCCUCCCCUUCCAGUUCCCCGACGACCCCUCUUGCCCAAGGAUAGACCACGCCCGACGGACGGUGGAGCUACCGCUGGACACACUAGGAGCUUCAUCCGGCCAUGCCGGGAGCUGCAAUCUUUGGACGGAGGAAGCUACAAUCGGGGCUGCGAUGGGGGCGGCACACGGUGCUACAUCCGGCUAUGUUUCAAUCGGCAGGGCAAUCUGCUACAACCGAUGGAGAUUUUUGCUACCACCGCGCGAUGGGAAAAUCUAAUACAACCAAUGUUGGGUAAACUUCAGGUUCAAGUCUAGCGUUUUAGGUGUCGAGUUUUUCAGUUUCAUCAGUAGUUUUCUUUUCGUCAGAAAACCUGAGCUGUGACUCGGUUUAGUUAGAGGUUUUAGCGGCGCCCUAACCCGAUCGUGGGAUGGCACGAGUGCACGGUCAUGGCGCCAUGGCGGGCGAAGCGCGAGGGAUGUUGGGAUGGCAGUGUGCACUACUCGCACGAGCUCCGUGUUUCCGUUGUAAGUUCAGUUGCAAACUCUUAAUAAACGGAAGAAGCAGAAUAGCUGCAAGAAGUUUGCAGCGCAAAAAGUCUCUCCCCCUCUCGCGCCCACCUUUGUUUACAUCUCCGGUGAUCAUCGGAGCCAGUGGCGUCGAGGUCUGCCUGACAAUUGGCAUUAGAGCUGGUUUGCUCGGUCACCUGCGGAGAUGGCAGGACCUGACAACCCCGGGAAGAGUGGUGGAUUCAGGGAACAACGGCGGCAGCGCCAUGGUUGUACACCAGCGCGUCGUUCACGAGACCGGCGGUGCCUGGCCCAUGCCGACGCUCAUGAACUACGCCGACCAGGCCCUCCUGAUGCAAGUCAUGCUGGAGGCGCACCAGCUCUGGGUCAUCAUCAACGACGGGACCACGGAGCGAGAAACAGAUCACACGGCAAUGGAGUGCCUGCUGCGAUCGCUGCCGCCGAAGAUGGUAUCCAUGCUCGCCGUAAAGGCCACGGCGAAGGACGCCUAGGGCAUGAUCAAAAUGUUGCGGUUGGGAAUGGCGGGUGUCCGUGAGGCCAAGGCGACCUCUUUGCGCCACCAGUACGAGGGGAUCAAGUUCAACGAUGGCGAGAGCAUCGACGAUUUUGGUAUGCGCCUAUCCUCUUUAGUGACUCUGCUUGAGCUGCUUGGUGAGAAGAUCGGCGAGUCCGCUGUCGUCCGCAAGUUUCUCUCGGUCGUUCCCAAGGCCUACUCGUAGAUGGCGUGCGCGAUCGAGACGCUGGUCGACCUCAACACUCUGGCGCUCGAGGAGCUCAUCGGGCGAUUGAAGGCCGCCGAGGAAAGGUACGAGCUGGAUGCCGCUCCUACCUGCGGCGAUGGCAGCGGCAAACUGCUUCUCAUGGAGGAGGUGUGGUUCGCGCGCCUGAAACUGCGUGAAGGAGACGGAUCGUCCGGCAUCAACGACCGUGGCCGUGGGCGCGGCCGCACACGCGGCGGCCGUGGCCAGAACGCCGGCCGCGACACCAGCAGCAGGGACAAAUCAAAGGAUAUUUGCCGCUACUACAAAUAGGCGGGGCACUGGGCGCGCGAGUGCAAGGCCCGGCCCAAGGAGCAGGCAAACCUCGUCCAAGCCGGCGGCGAGGAUGAGGAGCAGAGCCUGCUGACGGCUCAAACUUGUAGGUUGUUCGACCUUGAUACGUCUCCAACGUAUCUAUAAUUUUUUAUCGUUCCAUGCUAUUAUAUUACCCCUUUUGGAUGUUUAUGAGCUUUACUAAGAACAUUUAUAUUAUUUUUGGGACUAACCUAUUAACCGGAGGCCCAACCCAAAUUGUUUUUUUUUUGCCUAUUUCAGUGUUUCGCAGAAAAGGAAUAUUAAACGGAGUCCAAACAAAAUGAAACCUCCGGAUAGUUACUUUGGAACAAACGCAAUCCAGAAGACUUGGAGUGGACGUCAAGAAAGAAACGAGGCAGCCACGAGGCAGGGAGGCGCGCACUAGGGGGGUGGGCGCGCCCCCCACCCUCGUGGGCCCAUCGUGGCUGCCCUGACCGACUUCUUUCGCCAAUAUAUAUUUACAUACCCUGAAAACAUCUAGGAGCACCACGAAACCCUAUUUCCACCGCCUUCUGUACCCGUGAGAUCCCAUCUUGGAGCCUUUUCCGGUGCUCCGCCGGAGGGGGAAUCGACAACGGAGGGCUUCUACAUAAACACCAUAGCCUCUCCGAUGAGUUCUGAGUAGUUGACCACAGACCUUCGGGUCCAUAGUUAUUAGCUAGAUGGCUUCUUCUCUCUCUUUGAUUCUCAAUACAAAGUUCUCCUCGAUCUUCUUGCGGUGUGUUUGUCGAGAUCCGAUGAAUUGUGGGUUUAUGAUCUUUUAUGUAUGAUUGGUUAUCUUUGCAAGUCUCUUCGAAUUAUCAGUUUGGUUUGGCCUACUAGAUUGAUCUUUCUUGCAAUGGGAGAAGUGCUUAGCUUUGGGUUCAAUCUUGCGGUGUCCUUUCCCAGUGACAGCAGGGGCAGGAAGGCAUGUAUUGUAUUGUUGCCAUCGAGGAUAAAAAGAUGGGGUUUAUAUCAUAUUGCUUGAGUUUAUCCCUCUACAUCAUGUCAUCUUUCCUAAUGUGUUACUCUGUUCUUAUGAACAUAAUACUCUAGAUGCAUGCUGGACAGCGGUCGAUGUGUGGAGUAAUAGUAGUAGAUGCAGAAUCGUUUCGAUCUACUUGUCGCGGACGUGAUGCCUAUAUACAUGAUCAUGCCUAGAUAUUCUCAUAACUAUGCACUUUUCUAUCAAUUGCUCGACAGUAAUUUGUUCACCCAGCGUAAUACUUAUGCUAUCUUGAGAGAAGCCACUAGUGGAACCUAUAGCCCCCGGGUCUAUUUUCCAUCAUAUAAGUUUCCGAUCUACUUUAUUUUGCAAUCUUUACUUUCCAAUAUAUAUCAUAAAAAUACCAAAAAUAUUUAUCUUAUUAUUAUCUCUAUCAGAUCUCACUUUUGCAAGCGGCCGUGAAGGGAUUGACAACCCCUUUAUCGCGUUGAUUGCGAGGUUCUUGUUUGUUUGUGUAGGUACGAGGGACUUGCGUGUAGCCUCCUACUGGAUUGAUACUUUGGUUCUCAAAAACUGAGGGAAAUACCUACGCUACUUUGCUGCAUCACCCUUUCCUCUUCAAGGGAAAACCAACACAGUGCUCAAGAGGUAGCAAGAAGGAUUUCUGGCACCGUUGCCGGGGAGUCUACGCACAAGUCAAGACAUACCAAGUACCCAUCACAAACUCUUCUCCCUUGCAUUACAUUAUUUGCCAUUUUCCUCUCGUUUUCCUCUCCUCCACUUCACCCUUGACGUUUUAUUCAAACUCUCUUUCCCAUUCGCCUCUUUUUCGCUUGCCUCUUGUGUGCUUGUGUGUUGGAUUGUUUGUCACGAUGGCUUAAGAUAAUACUAAAUUGUGUGAUUUCUCCAAUACCAACAACAAUGAUUUUCUUAGCACUCCGAUUGCUCCUCUUACCGAUGCUGAAUCUUGUGAAAUUAAUGUUGCUUUGUUGAAUCUUGUUAUGAAAGAUCAAGUCUAUGGCCUUCCUAGUGAAGAUGCCACUACUCAUCUAAACAACUUUAUUGAUUUGUGUGAUAUGCAAAAGAAGAAAGAGAUGGAUAAUGAUAUUGCUAAAUUGAAGUUAUUCCGUUUUCUCUUAGAGAUCUUGCUAAAACUUGGUUUUCAUCUUUGCCUAAAAAUAGUAUUGACUCAUGGAAUAAGUGCAAAGAUGCUUUUAUCUCUAAGUAUUUUCCUCCUGCUAAGAUCAUCUCUCUUAGAAAUGAUAUUAUGAAUUUUAAGCAACUUGAUCAUGAGCAGGUCGCGCAAUCUUGGGAGAGGAUGAAAUUAAUGAUUCAUAAUUGCCCUACACAUGGAUUAAAUUUAUGGAUGAUCAUACAAAUUUUUUAUGCCGGAUUGAAUUUUGCUUCUAGAAAUCUUUUAGAUUCGGCCGCGGGAGGCACUUUUAUGGAAAUCACUUUAGGAGAAGCUACUAAACUCCUAGAUAAUAUUAUGGUUAAUUAUUCCCAAUGGCACACCGAAAGAUCUACUAGUAAAAAAGUUCAUGCGAUAGAAGAGAUUAAUGUUUUGAGUGAAAAGAUGGAUGAACUUAUGAAAUUGUUUGCUACUAAGAGUGCUCCUAUUGAUCCUAAUGAUAUGCCUUUGUCUACUUUGAUUGAGAAUAAUAAUGAAUCUAUGGAUGUGAAUUUUGUUGGUAGGAAUAAUUUUGGUAACAACGCAUAUAGAGAAAACUUUAAUCCUAGGCCAUUCCCUAGUAAUUCCUCUAAUAAUUAUGGCAAUUCCUACAACAACUCUUAUGGAAAUUUUAAUAAGAUGACCUAUGAUUUUGAUACUAGUGUUAAAGAAUUUAUGAUUUCACAAAAGAAUUUCAAUGCUUUGCUUGAAGAAAAAUUGCUUAAGAUUGAUGAAUUGGCUAGGAACGUGGAUAGAAUUUUUCUUGAUGUUGAUUCUCUGAAACUUAGAUCUAUUCAACCUAAGCAUGAUAUCAGUGAGUCUCUCAAAGCCAUGAGAAUUUCCAUUGAUGAGUGCAAAGAAAGAACCGCUAGGAUGCGUGCUAAGAAAGAUUGCUUUGUAAAAGCGUGUUCUUCUAGUUUUCAUGAUAAUAAUGAUAAAGAUCUAAAAGUGAUUGAUGUGUCUCCUAUUAAAUCUUUGUUUUGCAAUAUGAAUCUUGAUAAUGAUGGGACUGGAUAUGAGUCAACUUUAGUUAAAAGGCAUACCAAUGAUUCAGAGUUUUUAGAUCUUGAUGCAAAAAUUGGUAAAAGUGGGAUUGAAGAGGUCAAAACUUUACAUAGCAAUGAACCCACUAUUUUGAAUUUCAAGGAAUUUAAUUAUGCUAAUUGUUCUUUAAUAGAUUGUAUUUCCUUGUUGCAAUCCGUGUUAAAUUCUCCUCAUGCUUAUAGUCAAAAUAAAGUUUUUACUAAACAUAUCGUUCAUGCUUUAAUGCAAUCUUUUGAAGAAAAACUUGAAUUAGAAGUUUCUAUCCCUAAAAAACUUUAUGAUGAGUGGGAAACUACUAUUAAAAUUAAAAUUAAAGAUCGUGAAUGCUAUGCUUUGUGUGGUUUGGGUGCUGGUGUUUCGACGAUUCCAAAACCUUUGUGUAAUGUGUUAGGUUUUCGUGAAUUUGAUGAUUGCUCUUUAAACUUGCACCUUGCAGAUUCCACCAUUAAGAAACCUAUGGGAAGGAUUAAUGAUGUUCUUAUUGUUGCAAAUAGGAAUUAUGUGCCCAUAGAUUUUAUUGUUCUCGAUAUAGGUUGGAAUCUUUCAUGUCCUAUUAUUCUUGGUAGACCUUUCCUUAGAACGAUUGGUGCAAUUAUUGAUAUGAAAGAAGGAAAUAUUAGAUUCCAAUUUCCGUUAAGGAAAGGCAUGAAACACUUUCCUAGAAAGAAAAUCAAAUUACCUUAUGAAUCUAUUGUGAUAGCCACUUAUGAAUUGAGUACCAAAGAUGGCGAUACUUAGAUCUAUUCUCACUUUUAUGCCUAGCUAGGGGCGUUAAACUAUAGCGCUUGUUGGAAGGCAACCCAAUUUUAUUUUUGUUCUUAGAUUUUUGCUCCUGUUUAGUAUUAAAUAAUUCAUCUAGCCUCUUGUUAGAUGUGGUUUUAUGUUUUAAUUAGUGUUUGUGCCAAGUAGAACCUAUAGGAUCAUCUUGGGUGAAAGUUAAUUUGAUCUUGCUGAAAAAUAGAAACUUUUGCACGCACGAGAAUAAUUUUAAUAAAUCACAGAAACGUGCUUUUUAGUUGAUUCUUUUUGAAGAAGAUUAAUAGAUAAAUUUCCUAGGACUUCCAAUUUUGGUAGGAUUUUCCGAGUAAUAGAAAUAUUCGAAAGUUACAUAUUGCUAUAGACUGUUUUGUUUUUGACAGAUUCUGUUUUUCGUGUGUUGUUUGCUUAUUUUGAUGAAUCUAUGGCUAGUAUCGGGGGGUAUGAACCAUAGAGAAGUUGGAAUACAGUAGGUUUAACACAAUAUAAAUAAAGAAUGAGUUCAUUACAGUACCUUAAAGUGGUGGUUUGCUUUCUUGCACUAACGGGGCUCAUGAAAUUUUCGGUUGAGUUUUGUGUUGUGAAGUUUUUAAGUUUUGGGUAAAGAUUUGAUGGAUUAUGGAAUAAGGAGUGGCAAGAGCAUAAGCUUGGGGAUGCCUAAGGCACCCCAAGGUAAAAUUCAAGGACAACCAAAAGCCUAAGCUUGGGGAUGCCCCGGAAGGCAUCCCCUCUUUCUUCUUCGUCCAUCGAUAACUUUACUUGGAGCUAUAUUUUUAUUCACCACAUGAUAUGUGUUUUGCUUGGAGCGUCUUGUAUGAUAUGAGUCUUUGCUUUUUAUUUUACCACAAUAAUCCUUUCUGUACACACCUUUUGGGAGAGACACACAUUAAUCGGAAUUUAUUAGAAUACUCUAUGUGCUUCACUUAUAUCUUUUGAGCUAACUUUUGCUCUAGUGCUUCACUUAUAUCUUUUUAGAGCAUGGCGGUGGUUUUAUUUUGUAGAAAUUAUUGAUCUUUCGUGCUUCACUUAUAUUAUUUUGAGUGUCUUUUAGAACAACAUGGUAUUUGCUUUGGUUAUAAAAUUAGUCCUAAUAUGAUGGGCAUCCAAGUUGGGCAUAAUAAAAACUAUCAUAGAAAGUGCAUUGAAUACUAUGAUAAAUUUGAUACUUGAUUGUUAUUUUGAGAUAUAAAGGUGGUACUGUUAGAGUCAUGCUAGUUGGGUAAUUAUGAAAUUGAGAAAUACUUGUUUUAAAGUUGGCAAGUCCUGUAGCAUGCACGUAUGGUAAACGUUGUGUGACAAAUUUGUUGCAUGGGGUGUUCUUUUGAUUGCCUUCCUUAUGUGUGGAGGUCGGGAUCGCGCGAUGGUUAAAUCCUACCAACCCUUCCCCUAGGAGCAUGCGUAGUAGUACUUUUCUUCGAGGGCUAAUAAAUUUUUGCAAUAAGUAUAUGAGUUCUUUAUGACUAAUGUGAGUCCAUGGAUUAUACGUACUCUCACCGUUCCACCAUUGCUAGCCUCUCUUGUGCCGUGCAACUUUCGCCGGUAUCAUACACCCACCAUAUACCUUCCUCAAAACAGCCACCAUACCUACCUAUUAUGGCAUUUCCAUAGCCAUUCCGAGAUAUAUUGCCAUGCAACUUUCCACCAUUCCAUUUAUUAUGACACGCUCCAUCAUUGUCAUAUUGCUCUUGCAUGCUCAUGUAGUUGACAUUGUAUUUGUGGCAAAGCCACCUUCAUAAUUCUUUCAUACAUGUCGCUCUUGAUUCAUUGCAUAUCCCGGUACACCGCCGGAGGCAUUCACAUAGAGUCAUAUUUUGUUCUAAGUGUUGAGUUGGAAUUCUUGAGUUGUAAAUAAAUAUAAGUGUGAUGAUCUUCAUUAUUAGAGCAUUGUCCCAAGUGAGGAAACGAUGAUGCAGACUAUGAUUCCCCCACAAGUCGAGAUGAGACUCCAGACUUCAUGAAAAAAAUAAAAGAGGCCAAAGAAUCCCAAAUAAAAAAAAGAGGCCAAAGAAGCCCACCAAAAAAAUAAAAAAAUGCGAGAAAAAGAGAGAAGGGACAAUGUUACUAUCAUUUUUCCACAGUUGUGCUUCAAAGUAGCACCACGAUCUUCAUGAUAGAGAGUCUCCGAUGUUGUCACUUUCAUAUACUAGUGGGAUUUUUUCAUUAUGGAACUUGGCUUGUAUAUUCCAAUGAUGGGCUUCCUCAAAAUGCCCUAGGUCUUCGUGAGCAAGCGAGUUGGAUGCACACCCAAUUAGUUUCUUUUGUUGAGCUUUCUUACAUUUAUAGCUCUAGUGUAUCCGUUGCAUGGCAAUCCCUACUCACUCACAUUGAUAUCUAUUAAUGGGCAUCUCCAUAGCCCGUUGAUACACCAAGUCAAUGUGAGACUUUCCCCUUUUUUGUCUUCUCCACAACCACCAUUCUAUUCCAUGCAUAGUGCUAUAUCCAUGGUUUACGCUCAUGUAUUGUGUGAGAGUUUAAAAAGCUGAAGCGCGUUAAAAAGUAUGAACCAAUUGCUUGGCUGAAACCGGGGUUGUGCAUGAUGGGAGUAUUUUGUGUGAUGAAAAUGAAGCAUAGCCUAAUUAUAUGAUUUUGUAGGGAUAAGCUUUCUUUGGCUAUGUUAUUUUGAUAAGACAUGAUUACUUGUUAGUAUGCUUGAAGUAUUACUAUUUUUAUGUCAAUACUAAACUUUUAUCUUGAAUCAUUUGAAUUUGAACAUUCAUGUCACAAUAAAGAAAAUUACAUUGAGAAAUAUGCUAGGUAGCAUUCCACAUCAAAAAUUCUGUUUUUAUCAUUUACCUACUCGAGGACGAGCAGGAAUUAAGCUUCGGGAUGCUUGAUGCGUCUCCAACAUAUCUAUAAUUUUUGAUUGUUCCAUGCUAUUAUAUUACCCGUUUUGGAUGUUUAUAGGCUUUACUAAGAACUUUUAUAUUAUUUUUAGGACUAACCUAUUAACUGGAGGCCCAACCCACAUUGCUGUUUUGUUUUUUGCCUAUUUCAGUGUUUCGCAGAAAAGGAAUAUCAAACGGAGUCCAAACAGAAUGAAACCUUCGGGAGAGUUAUUUAUCGAACAAACGCAAUCCAGGAGACUUGGAGUGGACGUCAAGAAAGAAACAAGGCGGCCACGAGGCAGGGAGGCACGCCCUAGGGGGGUGGGCGCGCCCCCCACCCUUAUGGGCCCCUCGUGGCUCCCCUGACCGACUUCUUUCGCCUAUAUAUAUAUAUUCACAUACCCUAAAACAUCCAGGAGCACCAGGAAACCCUAUUUCCACCACCGCAGCCUUCUGUACCCGCCAUCUUGGAGCCUUUUUCGGCGCUCCGCCGGAGGGGGAAUCGAUCACGGAGGGCUUCUACAUCAACACCAUAGCCUCUCCGAUGAGUUGUGAGUAGUUUACCACAGACCUUCGGGUCCAUAGUUAUUAGCUUGAUGGCUUCUUCUCUCUCCUUGAUUCUCAAUACAAAGUUCUCCUCGAUCUUCUUGGAGAUCUAUUCGAUGUAACUCUUUUUGCGGUGUGUUUGUCGAGGUUCGAUGAAUUGUCGGUUUAUGAUCAAGUUUAUCUAUGAGAAAUAUUUGAAUCUCCUCUGAAUUAUUUUGUGUAUGAUUGGUUAUCUUUGCAAGUCUCUUCGAAUUAAAGUUUGGUUUGGCCUACUAGAUUGAUCUUUCUUGCAAUGGGAGAAGUUCUUAGCUUUGGGUUCAAUCUUGCGGUGCCCUUUCCCAGUGACAGCAGGGGCAGCAAGGCAUGUAUUGUAUUGUUGCCAUCAAGGAUAAAAAGAUGGGGUUUAUAUCAUAUUGCUUGAGUUUAUCUCUCUACAUCAUGUCAUCUUGCCUAAUGUGUUACUCUAUUCUUAUGAACUUAAUACUCUAGAUGCAUGCUGGAUAGCGGUCGAUGUGUGGAGUAACAGUAGUACAUGCAGAAUCGUUUCGAUCUACUUGUCGCGGACGUGAUGCCUAUAUACAUGAUCAUGCCUUGAUAUUCUCAUAACUAUGCACUUUUCUAUCAUUUACUCGACAGUAAUUUGUUCACCCACCAUAAUACUUAUGCUAUCUUGAGAGAAGCCACUAGUGAAACCUAUGGCCUCCGGGUCUAUUUUCCAUCAUAUAAGUUCUCGAUCUACUUUAUUUUGCAAUCUUUACUUUCCAAUCUGUAUCAUAAAAAUACCAAAAAUAUUUAUCUUAUUAUUAUCUCUAUUAGAUCUCACUUUUGCAAGUGGACGUGAAGGGAUUGACAACCCCUUUAUCACGUUGGUUGCGAGGUUCUUGUUUGUUUGUGUAGGUACGAGGGACUUGCGUGUAGCUUCCUACUGGAUUGAUACAUUGUUUCUCAAAAACUGAGGGAAAUACUUACGCUACGUUGCUGCAUCACCAUUUCCUCUUCAAGGGAAAACCACCGCAGUGCUCAAGAGGUAGCAGACCUCAACUACGAUGGCGUGGACGCCGCGCUAGUACACCUCAUCGAGGACGUUGUUCAGGUUCACCUCGGGCAUGAGGAGAGCGGUGGUGCCAGGAACGGCGUGUGGUAUCUGGACACAGGCGCGUCCAACGACAUGACCGGUGAUCGUGCAGUCUUUGCCGAGCUCGACACGGCCGUUAGCGGCAGCGUCAAGUUUGGUGAUGGCUCCGUCGUCACCAUCUGCGGUCGGGGAAAAAUUCUGCUGGCGUGCAAGACCGGCGAGCACUGCACGAUCACCUGGGUGUAUUACAUCCCGCGGCUGCGCUCCCACGUAAUCAGCCUGGGCCAGAUCGACGAGAGCGGCUGCCAGGUGCUGAUCCAGGAUGGCAUGCUGCGCAUGCACGACCGGGAGCGCCGUCUUCUCACUAAGGUACAUAGAGCACUGAAUCUCUUGUAUUAUGUUGCGUUACGGAUAAUGCAGACAGUGUGUCUUGCAGCGCACAACGGUGGCGACAUGGCGUGGACCUGGAAUGUACGCUACGGGCAUCUCAACUUUGACGCCCUACAUAAGCCGGCGCACCAGGACAUGGUGCACGGCAUGCCCAUGGUCGAGAAGGUGGACCAGCUCUGCGACGCAUGCCUGGCCGGCAAGCAGCGGCGCUCGCCAUUCGCACAGCUGGCCAAGCAUCGAGCACAGGAGCGGCUGGAGCUCAUGCACGGUGAUCUUUGCGGCCGAUCUCGCCGGCAACACCGAGCGGGGAGAAAUACUUCCUCCUGCUGGUGGACGACGCCACAAGGUUCAUGUGGCUUGUGCUCCUCGCAUCAAAGGACGAGGCCACAGUGGCGAUCAAGAGCGUGCAAAUCCAUGCGGAGUCCGAAUCGGGGCGCGAGUUGAAGACACUCCGGACGGACCACGUCGAAGAAUUCAUGUCCGGCUUGUUCACAGCAUACUGCACCGAGCUGGGUGUCAGCCGCCACCUCACUGCCCCAUACUCGCCUCAGCAGAACGGUGUGGUGGAGCACCGAACGACACGGUGGUGGGCAUGGCCCGGAGUUUACUGAAGGCCAAGCGCAUCCCCGGCGAGUUCCGGGGCGAAGCGGUCAGGAUGGCGGUGUUUCUACUGAACCGCAUGCCCACCAAGAGCCUGGACGGCAUGACACCGUUCGAGGCAUGGCAUGGACGCAAGCAAAACAUGCAUUUUGUGCACACCUUUGGCUGUGUUGUACAUGUGAAGGACACGUGCCCUGGACUGAAGAAGCUCGAUGAUCGCAGCCGGCCGAUGAUCUUCAUCGGCUAUGAGCACAGCCCAAAGGGCUACAGGGCCUAUGAUCCAGCUACUGGGCGCGUGCACAUCAUUUGCGAUGCCACGUUCGAUGAAGGGGCACGCCGGGACUGGACAAAGGAAGACAACGCCGUGAACAUGUUCAGUGACACCGACAGGUUCGUGGUCAAACACUUUGUGAGCCGAGCUCCAGGGGCAAUAGAUGAGGGGGGUGCAGCCACCUCGCCUCCGCCCACGCCACCUGCGUCUCUAGCGACAUCGUCCGGAGCAUCGCCGUCUCCAGCACCGUCCACUGCAGCGACAGCCAGCCCAGGAUGGGUGGAACUCGUGUUGCCAUCGACGUCGUUCAGCGACAAUGUUCUCGAUGCGGCAGACGACAUCGAGCGCGAGCACCAUUUCUGCACUUUACAGAACAUGAUGGAUUUCGGCCCGACAGAUGAUCCAGACGAGCAGCUCCAUCUUCUAGCAGCAGAGGAGCCAAGCUCGUUCACUGAGGCGGAGCAAGAAGUGAGCUAGCGGGGCGCCAUGAUCGAAGAGCUGAACUCGAUCGAGGACAACCAAACAUGGAAGCUCACAUUGCCUCCCUCUAGGACACCAUGCCAUAGGCCUGAAAUUGGUCUACAAGGUCAAGAAGGACGCACGCGGGAAGGUGCUAAAGCACAAGGCUCAACUCGUGUCAUGGUGAAUUGUAUUUUUGGGCAAUACUAUUGCCGACUUGUUGUCUGCCACGUCUUGAGCUUGCGUUGGUUUUCCUUGAAGAGGAAAGGGUCAUACAGCAAUAGUAGCGUAAGUAUUUCCCUCAGUUUUUGAGAACCAGGGUAUCAAUCCAGUAGGAGGCUCCUCAAAAGUCACACGCACCUACACAAACAAACAAGAACUCGCAACCAACGCAAUAAAGGGGUUGUCCAUCCCUUCAAGUCCACUUGCGAAAGUGAGAUCUGAUAGAGAUAACAUGAUAAGAUAAAUAUAUUUUUGGUAUUUUAUAAUAUAGAUUGGAAAAGUAAAGAUGCAAAUAAAAGUAUAUUGAAAGCUUAUAUGAUCAGAGAUAGACCUGGGGGCCAUAGGUUUCACUAGUGGCUUCUCUCAAGAUAGCAUAAGUAUUACGGUGGGUGAACGAAUUACUGUCGAGCAGUUGAUAGAAAAUCAAAUAAUUAUGAGAUUAUCUAGGCAUGAUCAUGUAUAUAGGCAUAACGUCCGUGACAAGUAGACCGACUCCUGCCUGCAUCUACUACUAUUACUCCACACAUCGACCGCUAUCCAGCAUGCAUCUAGAGUAUUAAGUUCAUAAAGAACCGAGUAACGCAUUAAGAAAGAUGACAUGAUGUAUGAUACGUCUCUAACGUAUCUACUUUUCCAAACACUUUUGCCCUUGUUUUGGACUCUAACUUGCAUGAUUUGAAUGAAAGUAACCCGGACUGAGGCUGUUUUCAGCAGAACUGCCAUGAUGUUGUUUUAUGUGUAGAAAAGAAAAGUUCUCGGAAUGUCCUGGAAAUCCACGGAGGCACUUUUUGGAAUUUAUAAGAAUUUUUGGCGAAAUAAUUAAUGCCAGGGGGCCCAAAGCCUGUCCACGAGACAGGGGGGCGCCCCCCUAGGGCGCGACCUCCUAUCUCGUGGGCCCCCUGGACCUCCUCCGACCUCAACUCCAACUCCAUAUAUUCCGUAUCGGGGAGAAAAAAAUCAGAGAGAAAGUUUCAUCGCGUUUUACGAUACGGAGCCACCGCCAAGCCCUAAUCUCUCUUAGGAGGGCUGAUCUGGAGUCCAUUCGGGGCUUUGGAGAGGGGGAUUCUUCGUCGUCGUCAUCAUCAACCAUCCUCCAUCACCAAUUUCAUGAUGCUCACCGCCGUGUGUGAGUAAUUCCAUCGUAGGCUUGUUGGACGGUGAUGGGUUGGAUGAGAUUUACCAUGUAAUCAAGUUAGUUUUGUUAGGAUUUGAUUCCUAGUAUCCACUAUGUUCUGAGAUUGAUGUUGCUAUGACUUUGCUAUGCUUAAUGCUUGUCACUAGGGCCCGAGUGCCAUGAUUUCAGAUCUGAACAUAUUAUGUUUUCAUGAAUAUAUGUGUGUUCUUGAUCCUAUCUUGCAAGUCUAUAGUCACCUAUUAUGUGUUAUGAUCUGACAACCCCGAAGUGACAAUAAUCGGGAUACUUCUCGGUGAUGACCGUAGUUUGAGGACUUCAUGUAUUCACUAUGUGUUAAUGCUUUGGUUCGGUUCUCUAUUAAAAGGAAGCCUUAAUAUCCCUUAGUUUCCGUGAGGAUCCCGCUGCAAUGGGAGGGUAGGACAAAAGAUAUCAUGCAAGUUCUUUUCCAUAAGCACGUAUGACUAUUUACGGAAUACAUGCCUACAUUACAUUGAUGAAUUGGAGCUAGUUCUAUAUCACCCUAUUUUAUAACUAUUGCAUGAGGAAUCGCAUCCGACAUAAUUAUCCAUCACUGAUCCAUUGCCUACGAGCUUUUCAUAUAUUGUUCUUCGCUUAUUUACUUUUCCGUUGCUACUGAUACAACUACUACAAAAACCCAAAAACAUUUAUCUUUACUGUUGCUACCGUUACCUUUAUUAUCAUACCACUUUUGCUACUAAACACUUUGCUGCAGAUACUAAGUUAUGCAGGUGUGGUUGAAUUGACAACUCAACUGCUAAUACUCAAGAAUAUUCUUUGGCUCCCAUUGUGUCCAAUCAAUAAAUUUGGGUUGUACUUCACCCUCGAAAACUGUUGCGAUGUAACAUCCCAAAUUUUCAAUUUGGAAUGUUAUACAUUAGAUCAUCAAUGCAUAUCAUAUUUUAUUUGCUUUUGGUUUUGAAUCUAGAAAUUCUACGCAACUCAAGGACCCACGGAGAGAGUUGGGGAUUUCGUUAUUUUCAUAUUUGAGUUUUCUCAAAUUUUGGGAAUAUGAUCAUUUGAUUUUAUUUAUAUUAUCAUCAAUUAUUAAUAUUACAAAAACAUGAGAGAGGGAAUAAAAUGACUUUCCCAAAAUAAAGAAAUAUUUAGGAUUUAAUAAUAAAAUGAAAUAAGAUUUUAUUUCGGAGUUUUUCGUUAUUUUAUUUGAAUUUAGGAAAAAUAUGCGUUUUCCCAAAUUGCAUUUAGGCCCCAAAUAAAUGUUCACUUUGUCGACCUUGAUUUUAGAAGUCCAGGAAAAUUUAUUUCGGGAUUUUUGUAGUCCGUUUAGUAUUUCUUUCUAUUUCUUUUCUGAGCGUAAUUAUUUAAAAAAAACGUGAACCGCCUUACGGGCCGUGCCCGAGCGGGACUCCGCCCGGGGGCAGCCUUUAAAUAGCAGCCGCCCGAGCGCCCCCAGCCCACCAGCGCCCGCAGCCAGCCCACCCCGCCCCGAAACCCUAGNNNNNNNNNNNNNNNNNNNNNNNNNNNNNNNNNNNNNNNNNNNNNNNNNNNNNNNNNNNNNNNNNNNNNNNNNNNNNNNNNNNNNNNNNNNNNNNNNNNNNNNNNNNNNNNNNNNNNNNNNNNNNNNNNNNNNNNNNNNNNNNNNNNNNNNNNNNNNNNNNNNNNNNNNNNNNNNNNNNNNNNNNNNNNNNNNNNNNNNNNNNNNNNNNNNNNNNNNNNNNNNNNNNNNNNNNNNNNNNNNNNNNNNNNNGUUCGCCGCCGCCUUGUUUUCCGUGCAGGUUUUUUUAGAAAACCAAUCGGUUUUCUGUCGGUUUUAUUUUCGUUUUUUAGUUAUGGUUUUUUUAUUAGAUCGGUUUUAUUUUCGGUUUAGUUUAAUUAGAGAGCGUUCGCUCGUUUGUUCGUUUUAACGAACGCGUUCAUCGUUUAGAUCUGAAUAACGAAUGUUCGUUCGUUAACCUGUUUGUCAUUUUUUCUUUUUCUCAGAUUUAAUCCGUGAUUUUUCUGAUCGUGAUUUCUGAUCCAAUUUUCGUUCUAGUAUAAGUUUUUGCUCGUUUAUCAGAAUCAGGUGAUUCAAGCGCUCGGAGUUUCGUCUCGAAACCCUCUUUCCGAAUAAUCAACUUGAACAAGUUUUUGCUAUUGUAAAAAAUUGACUUAGAUCUAGAUUAGUAAAACGAAGUUGUUUUAUUUUGCCGUUUGACUUUCGUAUCUUUGUUCGAUUUGUUUCUUUUUGCAAACUGGAGUUCUUAAGUUGAACUUUCUAGUUAGAUCUUUUAUUUGAGUUUUACCUAUGCAUUUGAUGAGUACUUAUUGUAUUCUUAUUUGUUUGUCCGCGAUAGAAUACCCGGAGUGCGCCGCCUGUUAUUUCGAGUCUUUAGGUUUCGCGGAUCAUCAGCAAGGCAAGUAACACUUUGAUCAUUCUUUUCUCAUACCUAGUUUUUAUGCAUUAGAUCAAUCCUCAAACAUUGCAUGAUUAGGAUCUAAUUAAUUUGUGGGUUUUGGGAAGUAGUUGAGGUAGUACCUAUUACCUGUUUUAUUUUUAAACCUUUGGGAGUUACUCCUACGUUUGCUUAUUAUGCCAUGCUAUGCUAGUAGACGUGGAUUGGGUGAGUGUAUCCAUGACAGAUGUGAGAUUGUUAAUUAAUGGUUUACUUAAGAUGGCAACUUAAACACACAUCUGGGUGGAUUGAGGUACCUGGUUUCCAGGAUUUGCCUGUUUUUCUUCGAACCGCCACCCAGGCUCAAAUGGAUCAUAAGAUUAUUCAUGCUAGAAACUUCCGUGUGCAGCCACAUGCUACUAUGGGCUCUAGCAUAGUUGACUAAGUCAUGCGAACUCUUACAGUGGUAGACUAGCUGAUGUAGGGGUUGUAGGUUGGUACGGUCUACCCGUUAUGUAAGGUGCAAGCGCUUCUGAAAGACUAUGUCUCGGUCAUCCAUUUUUCUAACACCAUGGAGUGCGAGAAAUCAAACGGAGGAGAUCGAGUCAUGUGGGGAAAAGUGCGCAAACCUCUGCAGAGUGUAACAAACUAAUCAUGGUUAGCCGUGUCCCCGGUUAUGGACAUCUUGAGUAUCUAGUACUUGGAUAUCAUGUGAAUCUCAUCAUGUUACUUCUAAUUAAUAUUAAUGGGACGUUAAUGAGUACUUUUAAUUGGGAUUGAGAAUGCUGUCAACCAUUCUCAAUGUUUAACAAUCACCAUGAUAGUUAAAUAAAUUUAUUCCUUUGCAGUAGGGAAAAAUUGGCUUUACGCAAAACUGUAACCAUAGAGCUUUACGCCAGCCAAAUAUGCAUGUAGUAUAGCUUACUCUUUCGUUACUCUUUAUGUGUUACAUUGCCAGCAUAUUCCAUGUGCUGACCCGUUUUCGGGCUACAAUGUUUCAUGUUGCAGACUUUUCAGAAGACGAGUAAGGUGCCUUUAGGUCGUGGUUCUAUACUCAGUGAUGCCGUUGGAGUUGAUGGACUCACUUAUCUUCCAAGCCUUCCGCUGUUAUGAUUAUUAGAUGGCCUUAAGCCAUAUUUAUUGUAAUAAGCUCUCUUUGGAGACACUCGAUGUAAUAAGUGUGUGAUUGCUACUCUAUUAUAAAUCCUUCAUGUACUGUGUGGUGUCAGCAUUACUUAUCUAGGGAUGACACCUGAGCACAGAGAAUAGACUGUUUAAGGUCUGGUCGCUACAAAGAUGGUAUCAGAGCACACGCUGACUGUAGGACACGGCCACUAAGCAAAAGCCCUAGAAUGCUACUCUCUUCUCAUUUUCUGACUCCUCAUCUUUUCUAUUCUUUAGGAUGGCGGAUGCAAGGAACAAGUUCAUGCAACCGGAUGAAGAUACACCCUUUGGAUGACACCUGAAGGAAGUCACCAAGUACUUGAAGAUCAGAGUACCAAGCUUCACCGGAACCUACAAUGCCACUUUACCUGAAGAGGAGCACUGGAUGAUUCAAGUUCAAAUUCCAGGAAGGACGUUCAUGCCCGAAACUGAGACCAUAGAGUUUUCCUUAGAUGCACCAACCUGGAACCUAGGAAAGAGCAUGGCAGCCCACAUUUCUAGGGGACGUAUUGGAGAAGUCUAUCACAAGGAACUUAAGGAUACUAUCUACCAGAUUUGUGGGCGCCGAGAUGAGCAAUGGGAGAUGACCAGCACCCGGAAGGACCGCUCAAUUGCAGCUUUCAUCCAGGAGUUGAAUCAGCACAUCCGACGCCAGGAGAACCAAAUGUGCGCAGGGAUGAUGGAUCUGAAGAAGGCCAUGGUCAAAAUGACGGAACUGGAGGAAGAACUCAAGUCUACACGUGAUGGAUACGAGGAGGAAAUAGCAACACUAGUUGAGAAGAGCGAUGAUCUGAAGAAGAAGCUGAAAGUCUUUAUGGGAUUUCCUGCGACAGAAGGAGAAGAUGAAGAUUUCACAUGCCCAGAGAACUACAUCAUCAUUGACGACACCGAGACCCAGAUGAUAGUGAUGAUGAUUAUGUUGAUGAAGUUGGAGCAGAUAUCAUGGAGUCUUCAACGGAGCAGUUUUUCUAGUCGACUACCAUAACAGUAGUAGUGUUCCACCAUGUAUCUAGUAUAGUCCACACACUUUUUUUUGCGAUGGUUCUAGACCGAUUGUAUGCCCUUGUUUGAUUGAAUGAAGUGAUUUUGUCUGCAUUUGCCUCAUGAGCAUUUGGGUAGUGUUUUCUCUUUAGACCUCAUUCUGUUCUUAUUUCUCAUCUUUUCUAAACCCUCAUAUGUCUCCGAGACAUGACAAUGGAUUUCCACCAGAGCUCACCCAGUUGAUCCAGCAGCAGAAUGCAUUGAUGCAGAUACUAGUCCAGAAUCAGAAUCAGGGGAACAACAACAACAACAAUCCACCACCGCCACCACCUGUUGAUCAUUUAACCCGUUUUCUUAGGCUGAAUACGCCGGUGUUCUCCAGUAGCACCGAGCCGAUAGUAGCAGAUGAUUGGAUCCGCAAGACAGGGAGGGAGUUGACCACUGCAGGUUGCACAGAUGCGGAGAAGGUGCGAUUUGCCGCACACCAGCUUGAUGGACCCGCAGCAGCAUGGUGGGAGAAUUUUACAGCCACUUAUCCUGUAGACACUGUCACAUGGGAUCAGUUUCAGCAGGCGUUCCGUACUGCCCAUGUUUCAGCAGGAGCUAUGGCCAUGAAGAAGCGUGAGUUUCGCAACUUGCGCCAAGGAGGACGAACAGUUGGCCAGUAUGUGGAUGACUUUAGUAAACUAGCAUGUUAUGCCCCAGAUGACGUUGCUACGGAUGCAGCUAAGCAGGAGAAGUUUCUGGAAGGGCUGAAUGAUGAGCUGAGCAUGCAGUUGAUGGUAGCAAAUUUCAACAACUACCAGGAGUUGGUAGAUCAUGCUCUUAUGAUUGAAGGGAAGCAGCAGUAGAUUGAAAACCGCAAGGGGAAGUAUGGACAGGGGAAGUGCAACUCUGGAGCUCAACAGAAGCCCCAUCUUACCCCUAAACCGGGAGGGCAAUUUCAGCAUACUCAUGGAGGAGGUAGCUCGCACAAUCAUAAUGGCACAAAGGAUGGAAACGGGAAUGGAGGAAACAACGGACAAAACCGCACCAACCCGUCAACACCAUCCAAGGUAGACCUGAGCCAUAUCACUUAUUUUAAGUGCCGUAAGACUGGGCAUUAUGCAAAUGAAUGUGUAGAAGCCCAAAAUGGUAACGGCAAUGGAAGCUCAGAAAGAAGCCGAACCCUUUCAACAGGGGACAGGUGAACCACGUUACCGUGGAGGAGGUUGAAGCUCAGCCAGACGCAGUAAUAGGUAAGUUUUUGGUUAAGACAUUUACUGCAGUUGUUCUUUUUGAUAAUGGUGCAUCGCAUUCAUACAUAUCAAGGGGAUUCGUGGAUAAGUAUAAAUUACCAACCCAGGCCCUUAGGUCACCCAUGCUAGUAACCUCACCCGGAGCAGAAUACAUGGCUAGUAUAUGGUGUGAUCGAUUACCAUUAAGGAUUGGACACUAUGUUUUUCCCUCGGACCUAAUAGUUCUGGAAUCGCAAGGAUUGGAUGUGAUAUUAGGCAUGGAUUGGUUAUCAAAGUACGAAGGGAACAUAGAUUGCGCCAGUAAGUCGAUUUUUCUUACCACCCUAGAAGGAAGGAGAAUCAAGUAUGUAUCACGGCAUGAGCCGAGGAGGGCACAUAUAAAUUCCUUAUCAGGAGUUGUGCAGGAGGAAGUACCAGUGGUAAGGGAUUUCCCGGAUGUGUUUCCGGAAGAGUUGCCAGGCAUGCCACCGGACAGAGACAUUGAGUUUCUGAUUGAACUACUGCCAGGCACUGGGCCAAUAUCUAAGAGAUCAUAUAGGAUGCCAGCCCAAGAUUUGGAGGAAAUUAAGAAACAAAUUAAGGAGUUGCUGGACAAAGGUUUUAUCCGCCGAAGUUCUUCACCUCGGGGAUCGCCAGUACUUCUAGUGGAGAAGAAGGAUACCAAGUUCAUAUGGACUGAGGAGUAUGAGGCUAGUUUCCAGGAGUUGAAGAAACGUUUAGUUACCUCACCAGUGUUAAUUCUGCCAGAUCAGACCAAGGAUUAUGAGGUGUAUUGCGAUGCUUCACGUCGAGGACUUGGAGCAGUGCUCAUGCAGGAGGGAAGAGUUGUUUCGUACGCUUCACGCCAACUGAAACCUCACGAAUUUAAUUAUGCCACGCAUGAUUUGGAGUUAGCAGCCGUAGUGCAUGCCUUGAAAAUGUGGAGACAUUUUCUCGUUGGAAAUCACUGUGAGGUGUACACAGAUCACAAGAGUUUAAAGUACAUCUUCACGCAAAAGGAGUUGAAUCUCAGGCAGAGGAGAUGGUUGGAGCUUAUUAAAGAUUAUGAUAUGAGAUUGCAUUAUCACCCCGGGAAGGCUAACAUUGUAGCAGACACGUUGAGCCGUAAGAGCCAUGUCAACACCCUAAUGACCGGAGGUUUACCAAAAGAAUUAGCUGAGGAAUUCCGGGAGCUAUGUUUGGAAAUAGUUCCGAGCGGUUAUGUAGCAGCGUUGGAAAUUUAGUCUACCUUGAUGGAUAAAAUCAGAGAAGCUCAAAGGACAGAUAAGGAAGUUGCUUGUAUUAAGGAGAAGAUGAGCAAGGGAAAAGCUAAGGGAUUUCGUGAGGAUGAACACGAUACCCUAUGGUUUGAAGACCUGGUAUAUGUGCCCAAUGACCCGGAGAUCAGGAAGUUGUUUCUGCAAGAAGCACAUGAUUCACCAUAUUCGAUUCACCCAGGAAAUACCAAGAUGUAUUUGGAUUUGAAGGAUACAUUCUGGUGGACCGGAAUGAAGAAAGACAUUGCGGAGUACGUAGCAGUUUGCGAUGUAUGUCAAAGAGUAAAAGCAGAGCAUCAAAAGCCAGCAGGAUUGCUACAGCCAUUGUCGAUACCCGAAUGGAAGUGGGAUAAGUUAGGCAUGGAUUUUAUCACGGGAUUACCAAGGACUCAUUCCGGCUAUGACUCAAUUUGGGUUGUAGUUGAUCGGUUGACGAAGGUAGCACAUUUCAUCCCAGUAAAGACCACUUACACCAGUGCUAAGUUGGCCGAGAUAUACAUGACCAGGAUCGUCUGUUUGCAUGGAGUUCCGAGGAGUAUCGUAUCAGAAAGGGGAACCCAAUUUACCUCAAAGUUCUGGAAGCAGUUGCACGAGACUUUGGGUACCAGGCUAGAGUUCAAUACAACUUUUCAUCCACACACAGAUGGAUAGGCCGAGAGAGUCAAUCAGAUUUUGGAGGAUAUGCUGAGAGCUUGUGCGCUAGAUUAUGGAUCAAGUUGGGAUGACAAUUUGCCAUAUGCAGAGUUUUCUUACAACAACAGCUAUCAAACCAGUUUGAAAAUGGCCCCUUUCGAAGCCUUGUACGGAAGGAGGUGCAGGACACCGUUGUCGUGGGACGAGGUUGGAGACCGCCAGUUGUUUGGACCUGAUUUGAUCAAGGAGUCUGAACAGAAGGUGAAGUUAAUUCGCGAUAGGCUCAAGGUAGCCUAGUCCAGGCAGAAGAGCUAUGUGGAUUCAAAACGCAAGGAGACAGAAUAUGAAGUCGGAGACAGAGUUUAUCUUCGAGUAUCCCCGCUUCGAGGAGUUAAGCGAUUUGGAGUUAAAGGAAAGUUAGCGCCCCGAUUUGUAGGACCAUAUCGUGUUUUGGAACAUAUGGGAGAAGUUGCUUACAAGUUGGAAUUACCCGAGGGAUUGUCAGGUGUUCACGAUGUGUUCCAUGUUUCUCAGUUGAAGAAGUGCCACACAGAGAUGGCUGACAUACCAUUGAGAGACACAGUGCUGUUGGAAGCAAUUCAGUUGGAUAACAAUUUUACCUAUGAGGAGAAACCAGUUAAGAUUCUCGAGUUUGCCAGCAGAGUCACCCGCAGCAAGGUUAUCAAGUUCUGUAAGGUUCAGUGGAGCCACCACUCGGAGGACGAAGCCACUUGGGAAUGAGAGGAAGAUUUGCUCAAGGACCACCCUCACCUAUUUUCUAGCCAACCCGAAUCUGGAGGGCGAGAUUCAUCUUAAGGGGGGUAGGUUUGUAACAUCCCAAAUUUUCAAUUUGGAAUGUUAUACAUUAGAUCAUCAAUGCAUAUCAUAUUUUAUUUGCUUUUGGUUUUGAUCCUAGAAAUUCUACGCAACUCAAGGACCCACGGAGAGAGUUGGGGAUUUCUCUAUUUUCAUAUUUGAGUUUUCUCAAAUUUUGGGAAUAGGAUCAUUUGAUUUUAUUUAUUUUAUCAUCAAUUAUUUCUAUUACAAAAAUAUGAGAGAGGGAAUAAAAUGAGUUUCCCAAAAUAAAGAAAUAUUGAGGAUUUAAUAAUAAAAUCAAAUAAGAUUUUAUUUCGGAGUUUUUCGUUAUUUUAUUUGAAUUUAGGAAAAAUAUGCGUUUUUCAAAAUUGCAUUUAGGCGCCAAAUAAAUGUUCACUUUGUCGGGAUUGAUUUUAGAUGUCCGGGAAAAUUUAUUUCGGGAUUUUUGGAGUCCGUUUAGUAUUUAUUUUUAUUUCUUUUCUGUGCGGAAUUAUUUAAAAAAACACGAACCGCCUUACGGGCCGUGCCCGAGCGGGACUCCGCCCGGGGGCAGCCUUUAAAAAGCAGCCGCCCGAGCGCCCCCCGCCCACCAGCGCCCGCCGCCAGCCCACCCCGCCCCUAAACCCUAGCCGCCAGCCCUGCCGGCCGCCGGCGCCCGAGGUUCGUCGCCGCCUCGUUUUCUGCGCAGUUUUUUUUAGAAAACCGAUCGGUUUUCCGUCGGUUUUAUUUUGUUUUUUUUAGUUUCGUUUUUUUAUUAGAUCGGUUUUAUUUUCGGUUUAAUUUAAUUAGCGAGCAUUCGCUCGUUCGUUCGUUUUAACGAAUGCAUUCAUCGUUUAGAUCUGGAUAACGAACGUUUGUUCGUUAACCUGUUCGUCAUUUUUUUCUUUUUCUCGGACUUAAUCCGCGAUUUUUCUGAUCGCGAUUUCUGAUCCGAUUUUCGUUCUAUUAUAACUUUUCGCUCGUUUAUCGGAAUCAGGUGAUUCAAGCGUCUGGAGUUUCAUCUCGAAACCCUCUUUCCGAAUAAUCAACUUGAACAAGUUUUUGCUAUUGUAAAAAAUUGACUUAGAUCCAGAUUAGUAAAACGAAGUUGUUUUCUUUCGCCGUUUGACUUUCGUAUCUUCGUUCGAUUUGUUUCUUUUUGCAAACCGGAGUUCUUAAGUUGAACUUUCUAGUUAGAUCUUUUAUUUGAAUUUUACCUAUGCAUUAUAUGAGUACUUAUUGUAUGCUUGUUUGUUUGUCUGCGAUAUAAUACCCGGAGUGCGCCGCCUGUUAUUUCGAGUCUCUAGGUUUCACGGAUCAUCAGCAAGGCAAGUAACACUUUGAUCAUUCUUUUAUCAUACCCAGUUUUUAUGCAUUAGAUCAAUCCUCAAACAUUGCAUGAUUAGGAUCUAAUUAAUUUGUGGGUUUUGGGAAGUAGUUGAGGUAGUACCUAUUACCUGUUUUAUUUUCAAACCUUUGGGAGUUACUUCUACGUUUGCUUAUUAUGCCAUGCUAUGCUAGUAGACGUGGAUUGGGUGAGUGUAUCCAUGAUAGAUGUGAGAUUGUUAAUUAAUGGUUUACUUAAGGUGGCAACUUAAACACACAUCUGGGUGGAUUGAGGUACCUGGUUUCCAGGAUUACCUAUUUUUCUUUGGACCGCCACCCAGGCUCAAAGAGAUUAUAAGAUUAUUCAUGCUAGAAACUUCCGUGUGCAGCCACAUGCUACUAUGGGCUCUAGCAUAGUUGACUAAGUCAUGCGAACUCUUACAGUGGUAGACUAGCUGAUGUAGGGGUUGUAGGUUGGUACGGUCUACCCGUUACGUAAGGUGCAAGCGCUUCUGAAAGACUAUUUCUCGGUCAGCCGUUUCUCUAACACCAUGGAGUGCGAGAAAUCAAACGGAGGAGAUCGAGUCAUGUGGGGAAAAAUGCGCAAACCUCUGCAAAGUGUAACAAACUAAUCAUGAUUAGCCGUGUCCCCAGUUAUGGACAUCUUGAGUAUCUAGUACUUGGAUAUCAUGUGAAUCUCAUCAUGUUACUUGUAAUUAAUAUUGAUGGGAUGUUAAUGAGUACUUUUAAUUGGGAUUGAGAAUGUUGUCAACCAUUCUCAAUGUUUAACAACCACCAUGAUAGUUAAAUAAAUUUAUUCCUUUGCAGUAGGGAAAAAUUGGCUUUACGCAAAACUGUAACCAUAGAGCUUUACAGCAGCCAAAUAUGCAUGUAGUAUAACUUACUCUUUCAUUACUCUUUAUGUGUUACAUUGCUAGCAUAUUCCAUGUGCUGACCCGUUUUCGGGCUGCAACGUUUCAUGUUGCAGAAUUUUCAGACGACGAGUAAGGUGCCUUUAGGUCGUGGUUCUAUACUCAGUGAUGCCGUUGGAGUUGAUGGACUCACUUAUCUUCCAAGCCUUCCGCUGUUAUCGUUAUUAGAUGGCCUUAAGCCAUAUUUAUUGUAAUAAGCUCUCUUUGGAGACACUCGAUGUAAUAAGUGUGUGAUUGCUACUCUGUUAUAAAUCCUUCAAGUACUGUGUGGUGUCAGCAUUACUGAUCCAGGGAUGACACCUGAGCACAGAGAUCGGACUAUUUGAGGUCUGGUCGCUACAUGCAAUCCCCUACACUUGUGGGUUAUCAAGACUCUUUUCUUGUGUCGUUGCCGGGGAGCAUAGCUCUAUUCUUUGAGUCACUUGGGAUUUAUAUCUGUUGAUCACUAUGAAGAACUUGAAAGACGCUAAGACCAAGAUUUUGCCCUCAACUAUGAGGGGAGGUAAGGAACUGCCAUCUAGCUCUGCACUAGAUUCUCCCUCCAUUAUUAGUAGGCUUGCGACACCUAAACCUGCUACUGCUAUGAAUUCUGAUAUGUUAUAUGUUAUUGAUGAUGCCACUUCUGCUAUGCAUGAUGAAACUACUUCUGUGCGUGAUACUACUUUGCCAUUAGGUGAAUUUCUAGAUGAACAACUUGCUAUAGUUAGGGGAAAUGAAAAUAUUGAAGAACCUAUUAUUGAUGAUAGUGAUGAUGAAUGUUCCCCCAAUGAUUAUGUAUUACCUGUUGUUCCUAAGGGUAAUGUUAUGAAUGAAGCAGCUACUAUGGAAAUUCUUGCUUGCAAUGAUAGAAAUGAUCUUAAGAAAUUAUUAGCUAAAUGGAAGCAGCAGUCUCUUAAUGCUAGAAGGAAACCCAAUCCUGCUUUUGCUACUUCACCUAUCUGUGUUAAUGAUAAGGAUUAUGAAUUCUCUGUUGAUCAUGAUAUUAUUACUUUAGUUGAAUCUGAUCCGUUUUAUGGCCUUGAAUCUAAAACUGUUGUGGCACAUCUUACCAAGUUGAAUGAUAUAGCCACCCUGUUUACUCAUGAUGAGAAGUCUCGCUAUUUAUAUAUCCUUAAGAUAUUUCCAUUCUCAUUAAAGGGUGAUGCUAAGACUUGGUAUAAUUCUCUUGCUCCUGGUUGUGUGCGCAGUCCCCAGGAUAUGAUUUAUUACUUCUCUGCUAAAUAUUUCCCUGCUCAUAAGAAACAAGCUGCCUUGCAGGAAGUAUAUAAUUUUGUGCAAAUCAAAGAAGAGAGUCUCCCACAAGCUUGGGGGAGGCUUCUCCGGUUACUUAAUGCUUUGCCUGGUCAUCCUCUUAAGAAAAAUGAAAUACUUGAUAUCUUUUAUAAUGGACUAACCGAUGCUUCCAAAGACUACUUGGAUAGUUGUGCUGGUUGUGUUUUCAGUGAAAGAACAGUCGAUGAAGCUGAAAUAUUAUUGAAUAAUAUGUUAACUAAUGAAAAUAAUUGGACUCUUUCCGAGCCAGUUCCUGAAGUAAUUCCUGAACCAAUUGAGCCAACUCCUGAACCUAUUCCUAAACCCACUCCGAAGAAGGGAGGUGUUUUAUUUCUCAGUCCUGAAGAUAUGCAAGAGGCAAAGAAAUCAAUGAAAUAAAAAGGUAUUAAAGCUGAAGAUGUUAAGAAUUUACCACCUAUUGAAGAAAUACAUGGUCUUAAUAUACCGCCUGAAGAACCACAUUGUCUUGAUAACCCGACACAGGUAGUAAAGGUAAAUUCUCUCUAUAGAUAUGAUAAAGUUGAAAUACCCUCUACUAAAUUUCAUAGCCCAUGCUUAGAUGAAUUUGAUGACUUUAUGGCUAGACAAGAAAGUUUUAAUGCUUAUGUUGGUAGAAAGUUAAAGAAUAAUGCUUUCGAGAUAGGACACGUAGGUGAUAAUCUGGCUAGAGUUAAAGAUGAACUUCACCGCUUAGCAAAUAUGCUUCUAUGGUUGCUACUCAAGCUGAGCAAGUACUCAAAGCUCAAAAUGAUUUGCUUGAGGAAUUAAAUAAUAAAAAUGACUUUGCCGUUAGAGUGGCUACUAGAACUCGUAGAAUGACUCAGGAACCUUUGUAUCCUGAAGGCCACCCUAAGAGAAUCGAGCAAGAUUCUCAGAGAAAUAAUUUAGAGGCACCUAGUUCUUCUAAAAAGAAGAAAAAGAAAAAUGAUAGAACCUUGCAUGCUUCUAGUCCCUGUUCAAGAAUUCAUCCGAUUAACCAGUUAACUUGCCGGUUAAUCCCUACUCGUAGGGUCACCAAGUAGCCGAUUAACAGAUUAAUCGCCCGAGUAAUUGAUUAAAUGGCCGAUUAACUUGCCGAUUAGCCUAUUAAUCCCCUACUCAUCAGCUAACCGAGCAGCUACCAGUUAACGAUUUCCUCAACAAUGCUUCUAGUGAACCUACUGUAGACACACCUGAGAAUCCCAAUGAUAUUUCUAUUUCUGAUGCUGAAACACAAUCAGGUGAUGAACAUGAACCUAGCGAUAAUGUUAAUGAUAAUGUUCAUGUUGAUGCUCAACCUAGCAAAAACAAUGAUGUAGAGAUUGAACCUACUAUUGAUCUUGAUAACCCACAAUCAAAGAAUCAACGUUAUGAUAAGAGAGAUUUUGUUGCUAGGAAGCACGGUAAAGAAAGAGAACCAUGGGUUUAGAAACCCAUGCCCUUUCCUCCUAAACCAUCCAAGUCAAAGGAUAAUGACGAUUUUGAGCGCUUUGCUGAAAUGAUUAGACCUAUUUUCGUACGUAUGCGCUUAACUAAUAUGCUUAAAGUAAAUCCUUAUGCUAAGUAUAUGAAGGAUAUCAUCACAAAUAAAAGAAAGAUACUGGAAGCUGAAAUUUCCACCAUGCUUGCUAAUUACACUUUUAAGGGUGGAAUACCAAAGAAACUUAGAGAUCCGGGUGUUCCAACUAUACCAUGCUCCAUUAAAAGAAAUUAUGUCAGAACUGCUUUAUGUGAUCUUGGAGCCGGUGUUAGUGUUAUGCCUCUCUCUUUAUAUCAUAGACUUGAAUUGAAUAAGUUGACACCUACUGAAAUAUAUUUGCAAAUGGCUGAUAAAUCAACUGCUAUACCUGUCGGUAUUUGUGAGGAUGUGCCUAUUGUGGUUGUAAAUGUCACUAUCUUAAUGGACUUUGUUAUUCUUGAUAUUCCCGAGGAUGAUAGUAUGUCUAUUAUCCUUGGUAGACCUUUUCUUAAUACUGCAGGGGCUGUUAUUGAUUGCAACAAAGGCAAUGUCACUUUUGAUGUUAAUGGUAAUGAGCAUACGGCACACUUUCCAAGGAAACAAUCUCAAGUUCAUAGCAUCAAUUCUAUUGAAAAAGUUCCAACUAUCAUUUUUGGAGGUUUUGAAUUUCCUCUCCCUACUGUCAAGAAAAAGUAUGAUAUUCUUAUUGUUGGGGAUUUUCAUAUUCCUAUUGAGGUAACUUAGUGUUAUUCGAAAUUUCUCCGGUUCCGUGUUAUUCAAAAUGAGUUUGUUAACAAGACUUGAUCAACCUUGUUAGCGGGUUCAUUUUGAUGAUCACGAGAUGGAUGAAACUAGAAGGCACAACCUUCUGUACCCUCUUUUUACUUUCUGUUAUUUAGAAUAAAUAAAGCAAAAAUAGUAUUAUCCGUCUGUUUUCUGAAUUAUCCGUGCAUUCAAAAAUAGUCCAAAAAUAAAAGUGCUCCAAAUGCGCUGCAAAUUUAGUAUGAUUUUUUCUGGAAUAUUUGAGGAUUUUAGGCAUUGAAAACACUGCAGGAGGGGCAAGCACCAGGCCACGAGAGAGGAGGGUGCCCCCCCUGUAGGGCGCGCCCCCUUUCUCCUGGGCCCCUGGUGGCUCCCCUCCACUUAUGCCAGCACCCACACACUUCACCUUCUACCCCAAAAAAUACCCAUCCAGCUCAAGCACGAGUUCUAGCUCGUUUGGCUACGAUUUUCGAUCUCCUUGGUCAAAGCUCCAUUCACAAAACUAUUUUGGGAGAUUGUUGCUUGGUAUGUGAUUCCUCCAUUGGUCCAAUUAGUUUUUGUUCUAGUGGUUUAUUCAUUGCAAAUUUUUGUUGCUUAGGUGACCAUGUUCUUGAGCUUGCAUGUUAAAUUUUUGAGGUCCCAAGCAAUUCCAAUGCAUGAUAUGGGCUCUAGGCACUUGUAGGAGUAGUUGCUAUCAGUCUUGUUUAGUUUUAUCCACUUUUAUUUUGAAGUUACUAAAAUUUCAGAAAUUUUCAGAAAAAGAAAUAUGCUUAGAAGAAUGUACCAAGGAGGUUCCUUAGCAAAGAAUGGGCCAAGAAUUGCUAUACGUGAACAAGAUGUUAAUUUGCCAAGGGACGCAAUUGUACGGGCUUAUGAGUGGACAUCCGAUGAUUUUAUGGUCGAAGCAGGCUUUAAGGAAGAAUUUGACGCGUAUGUGCGUAAUGCCGACCUGGAGGACUUCUUAAAAAAUAAGUGUCCUCAAUAUUAUCAAUUGACCGAUUCCUUUGUGCGGAGGUUCGAAUAUAUUUCUGCGCGUAAAUCUCCUAGUGUCAUGUUUGAUAUUUAUGAUACAUCUUAUACCAUGGAUUUAGAGGAUUUCACAACUGCUUGCAAACUCCCUCAGUGGGGUAAUAUUAAUGAUCCUCGCAAAUCUGAAUUUAGAUAUUUUCUUGCUAGUAUUACUGUGGGAGAAUCUAGGGACGUUGCACAAGCUACCAUAGGGAGCAUUCACUUUCCUGCUUUACAUUACUUUGCUCUCUUUAUUGGUAGAUGCAUUAACGGUAAGGACGAGGUAUGUCACAUGUGUGCCCCUGAUCUUUGUGUCCUCAAGAGUGCUGUGUCAGGUUAUAAAGGUUAUAACUUGGGGGCAAUAGUUGCACGUAGGUUGCAGAAUAAUAGUAAAAGGGGAAAUUUCUUUGGAGGAAUUUAUGCAACCCGUGUGGCUAAUUUUCUUAAUAUAUCUCCACGAGAGGGGUAUAUGAUUGUACCUCCUGUUUAUUUGGAUAAAGAAGCUAUGUUUGAUCAUCAUUUUCUUGAGAGGAAUGAACAAUUCCUCCAUUAUCGACUAAUCUAUGAUAGACGCAACGUCAUCCCUGUUACUCUUCCUGCUCCCUACCUUUUUGAUUAUCAGGCAAAAGGAAGAUAUAUAUGUUGUCACUAGGGAAGAAACAACUGGAUAUGAGAGGGGAAUGGAGGCAGCUCGCCAACACGCUGCUACUCAGGAGGCGGUCGCCUCUGCAUCUCAGUACUACCCCAGUUCCACUUAUGGAUAUCAGCCAGGCGGUCCUUGGUAUUAAACCAACUUAGGCCAAAAGCCUAAGCUUGGGGGAGUACGUAUUUCUGACCGACUUUACAUUCAUGUUCACACACUAGUCGUCAGUGCUUAUACUCUUUCAUUGUAUUAUCCAUGCUAGUUUAAAUUUAUUUUUCUAGUUUUCUUCUUAUGUGUUUGAUAAACCUUGAGAAAAAACAAAAAAUAGUUAGUUUAAUUUCCUUGCUUGUAGUAGGAAUUAAAAUGAAAACCCAAAAAGAUUUCUCGUUCUUCUUUUACUUGUUGGGAGCUUUCCCGUGUAAAUAGUUUUAUUUUCGUUUCUUUCCUUUGGGGGUCGAGAAGACCAUAUUGAAAAUGCUUAGUGGCUCUUAUAUGCAUGAUUGUUUAUUUAAUUUAGAGCCCAUAUUACUUGUCCUCUCUCUUGAGUUGAAUGCUUGCAGAUUCCAGCUUAGUCCAAUGCACGUGCGCUCUUAUUAUUAUACACAUCGUUCGGUCAUGCGAGUGAAAGGCAAUAAUGACGAUAUAUGAUGGACUUAUUGGGAUGAGAAAAACUGGUAUGAACUCGACCUCUCUUAUUUUUGUAAAUAUGAUGAUUCAUCGUUCCUGAGUCAGCUAUUAUGAAGUAAACAUAUUUGCAAUGACAUUUAGAGAUUAUAGUUACUUGUGGCAUGCUUGAUUAGCUAUGAGUUAUAAUUGUUUACCUUGCGUGCCAACAUGCUAUUAGAAUGAUUAUGAUGUGGUAUGAUGGGAUGGUAUCCUCCUUUGAAUGAAUUGAGUGACUCGACUUGGCACAUCUUCACACAUGUAGUUGAAUCAAAUCAACAUAGCCUUCAUGAUAUUUAUGUUCAUGGUGGAUUAUAUCCUACUCAUGCUUGUACUCAGUGUGAAUUAAUUUUAGUGCAUGCUUACGACUGUUGUCGCUCUCUCAGUUGGUCGCUUCCCAGUCUUUUGCUAGCCUUCACCUGUACUAAGCGGGAAUACUACUUGUGCAUCCAAAGUCCUUAAACCCCAAAGUUGUUCCAUAUGAGUCCACUAUACCUACCUAUAUGCCGUAUCUACCUUCCGUUCCAAGUAAAUUUGUAUGUGCCAAACUCCAAACCAUCAAAUGAAAUUCUGUUUUGUAUGCUCGAGUAGCUCAUGUUACAACUAGGGCUGCCUAUAUCUUCCAUGCUAGGUGGGUUAUUCUCAAGAGGAGUGGACUCCGCUCCUCAUUCACGAGAAAGGGCCGGUAACCGGGAUGCCCAGUCCCAUGAUCCAAAAAGAUCAAAGCAAAUCAAAAUAAUUAAACAAAACUCCCCCAGGGCUGUUGUAUGUUGGAGGCACUCGUUGUUUCGAGCAAGCCAUGGAUUGAUGCUUGUUGGUGGUUGGGGGAGUAUAAACCUUUACCAUUCUGUUUGGGAACUGCCUAUAAUGCAUGUAGUAUGGAAGAUACAGCCAUCUCAUAGAUGUUGCAUUGAUAGUGAAAGUAUGCCGCUCAAAAUGUUGUUCAAUCUCUAUUUUAAAAUCGAGCUCUGGCACCUUUACAAAUCCCUGCUUCCCUCUGCGAAGGGCCUAUCUAUUUACUUUUAUGUUGAGUCAUCACCCUUCUUAUUAAAAGCACCCGCUGGAGAGCACACUGUCAUUUGCAUUUAUUAUUAUUGGUUUAUAUUGGGUAUGACUUGAUUGGAUCUCUUUUACCAUGAAUUACAAUGUUUAGUCAGUCCUUGAUCUUUAAAGGUGCUCUGCAUUUAUGUUUUGCGGUCUCAGAAAGGGCUAGCGAGAUACCAUUUUGUUAUAUCAUGUUAUAAUUAUUUUGAGAAAGUGUUGUCAUCCGAGUUUUAUUAUUAUGGCUCGCUAGCUGAUUAUGCUAUUGAUAUGAGUGAUUGUGAGAGCUAAGUAUUAUUGUGAGUAUGGUUAGUUCAUAAUAUUUGCUGAAACUUGAAUGCGGGCUUUUUCAUGUUUACAACAACAAGAGCAAACAGAGUUUGUAAAUGUUUUUCUUUAUCACUUUUAGUUUCUCAACUGAAUUGCUGGAGGACAAGCAAAGGUUUAAGCUUGGGGGACUUGAUACGUCUCCAACGUAUCUACUUUUCCAAACACUUUUGCCCUUGUUUUGGACUCUAACUUGCAUGAUUUGAAUGAAACUAACCCGGACCGAUGCUGUUUUCAGCAGAACUGCCAUGAUGUUGUUUUAUGUGUAGAAAAGAAAAGUUCUCGGAAUGUCCAGGAAAUCCAUGGAUUCACUUUUUGGAAUUUAUAAGAAUUUUUGGUGAAAGAAUUAAUGCCAGGGGGCCCACAGCCUGUCCACGAGACAGGGGGGCGCCCCCCGCCUAGGGCGCGGCCUCCUAUCUCGUGGGCCCCCUGGACCUCCUCUGACCUCAACUCCAACUCCAUAUAUUCCGUCUCAGGGAGAAAAAAAACAGAGAGAAAGUUUCAUCGCGUUUUACGACAUGGAGCCGCCGCCAAGCCCUAAUCUCUCUCGGGAGGGCUGAUCUGGAGUCCGUUCAGGGAUCCGGAGAGGGGGAUUCGUAGCCGUCGUCAUCAUCAACCAUCCUCCAUCACCAAUUUCAUGAUGCUCACCGCCAUAUGUGAGUAAUUCCAUCGUAGGCUUGCUGGACGGUGAUGGAUUGGAUGAGAUUUACCAUGUAAUCAAGUUAGUUUUGUUAGGGUUUGAUCCCUAUUAUCCACUAUGUUCUGAGAUUGAUGUUGCUAUGACUUUUCUAUGCUUAAUGCUUGUCACUAGGGCCCGAGUGCCAUGAUUUCAGAUCUGAACCUAUUAUGUUUUCAUGAAUAUAUGUGUGUUCUUGAUCCUAUCUUGCAAGUCUAUAGUCACCUAUUAUGUGUUAUGACCCGACAACCCCGAAGUGACAAUAAUCAAGAUACUUCUCGGUGAUGACCGUAGUUUGAGGAGUUCAUGUAUUCACUAUAUGUUAAUGCUUUGGUCCAUUCCUCUAUUAAAAGGAGGCCUUAAUAUCCCUUAGUUUCCAUGAGGACCCCGCUGCAAUGGGAGGGUAGGACAAAAGAUGUCAUGCAAGUUCUUUUCCAUAAGCACGUAUGAUUAUUUACGGAAUACAUGCCUACAUUACAUUGAUGAAUUGGAGCUAGUUCUAUAUCACCCUAUGUUAUAACUAUUGCAUGAGGAAUCACAUCCGGCAUAAUUAACCAUCAAUGAUCCAUUGCCUACGAGCUUUUCAUAUAUUGUUCUUCGCUUAUUUACUUUUCCGUUGCUACUGUUACAACUACUACAAAACCCAAAAACAUUUAUCUUUACUGUUGCUACAGUUACCUUUAUUAUCAUACCACUUUUGCUACUAAACACUUUGCUGCAGAUACUAAGUUUUCCAGGUGUGGUUGAAUUGACAACUCAACUACUAAUUCUCAAGAAUAUUCUUUGGCUCCCCUUGUGUCAAAUCAAUAAAUUUGGGUUGUACUACACCCUCGAAAGCUGUUGUGAUCCCCUACACUUGUGGGUUAUCAAUGUAGAGGGAUAAACUCAUGCAAUAUGAUAUAAACCCCAUCUUGUUAUCCUCGAUGGCAGCAAUACAAUACGUGCCUUCCUGCCCCUGCUGUCACUGGAAAAGGACACCGCAAGAUUCAACCCAAAGCUAAGCACUUCUCCCAUUGCAAGAAAGAUCAAUCUAGUAGGCCAAACCAAAUUGAUAAUUCAAAGAGACUUGCAAAGAUAACUUAAUCACACAUUAAAGAAUUCAGAGGAGAUUCAAAUAUUUCUCAUGGAUAAACUUGAUCAUAAACCUACAAUUCAUCGGAUCUCGACAAACACACCGCAAAAAGAGUUACAUCAAAUAGAUCUCCACAAGAGAGGGGUAGAACAUGUGAUACGUCUCCAACGUAUCUAUAAUUUUGGAUUGCUCCAUGCUAUAUUAUCUACUGUUUUAGGCAAUAUUGGGCUUUAUUAUCCACUUUUAUAUUAUUUUUGGGACUAACCUAUUAACCGGAGGCCCAGCCCAGAUUUGCUGUUUUAUGCCUAUUUAAGUUUUUCAAGGAAAAUGAAUAUCAGACGGAGUCAAAACGGAACGAAAUCAAUUGGAGAAGUUAUUUUUAGAAGGAAACCCACCUGAUGGACUUGGACCCCACGUCAGAAGAUACGGGAGGUGCUCACGAGGGUGGGGGCGCGCCCACCCCCCUAGGGCGCGCCCCCUGCCUCGUGGGGCCCCCGUAGCUCCACCGAUGUACCCCUUGCACCCAUAUAUACCUACGUACCCUAAAACUUCAAGAACAGAAUAUAGAUCGGGAGUUCCGACACUGCAAGCCUCUGUAGCUACCAAAAAACUCUCGGGAGCCCGUUUCGGCACCCUGCCGGAGGGGGAACCCAUCACCGAUGGCCAUCUUCAUCAUCCCGGCGCUCUCCAUGACAAGGAGGGAGUAGCUCACCCUCGGGGCUGAGGGUAUGUACCAGUAGCUAUGUGUUUGAUCUCUCUCUCUCUCUCUCUCUCUCUCGUGUUCUUGAUUUGGCACGAUCUUGAUGUAUCGCGAGCUUUGCUAUUAUAGUUGGAUCUUAUGUUUCUUCUCCCCCUCUACUCUCUUGUAAUGGAUUAAGUUUCCCCUUUGAAGUUAUGUUAUCGGAUUGAGUCUUUAAAGAUUUGAGAACACUUGAUGUAUGUCUUGCCGUGAUUAUCUGUGGUGACAAUGGGAUAUCAUGUGCCACUUGAUGUAUGUUUUGGUGACCAACUUGUGGAUUCCACCCAUGAAUCUAUGCAUAGGGGUUGGCACAUGUUUUCAUCGUGAUUCUCCGGUAGAAACUUUAGGACACUCUUUGAAGUACUUUUAUGUUGGUUGGAUGAAUCUGAGAUUGUGUGACGCAUAUCAUAUAAUCAUGCCCACAGAUACUUGAGGUGACAAUGGAGUAUCUAGGUGACAUUAGGGUUUUGGUUGAUUUGUGUCUUAAGGUGUUAUUCUAGUACGAACUCUUUUAUAGAUCGAUCCGAAAGAAUAACUUUGAGGUGGUUUCGUACCCUACCAUAAUCUCUAUGUUUGUUCUCCGCUAUUAGUCGCUUCGGAGUGACUCUUUGUUGCAUGCCGAGGGCUUGUUAUAUGAUCUGUCUAUGUUAUUAUUGUUGAGAGAACUUGAACUAGUGAAAGUAUGAACCCUAGGCCUUGUUUCCUAUCAUUGCAAUACCGUUUACGCUCACUUUUACCACUUGUUACCUUGCUGUUUUUAUAAUUUAAGAUUACGAAAACCUUUAUCUACUAUCUAUUUUGCACUUGUAUCACCAUCUCUUCACCGAACUAAUGCACCUAUACAAUUUGCCAUUGUAUUGGGUGUGUUGGGGACACAAGAGACUCUUUGUUAUUUGGUUGCAGGGUUGUUUGAGAGAGACCAUCUUCAUCCUACGCCUCCUACGGAUUGAUAAACCUUAGGUCAUCCACUUGAGGGAAAUUUGCUACUGUCCUACAAACCUGUGCACUUGCAGGCCCAACAACGUGUACAAGAAGAAGGUUGUGUAGUAGACAUCAAGCUCUUUUCUGACGCCGUUGCCGGGGAGUCUAGGUAAAGGGCACUCACUCACACCCCGUCAACUAAGCUCUUUUCUGGCGCCGUUGCCGGGGAGGUUAGCGCUUGAAGGUAUAUCUUUAGAUCUUGCAAUCGAAUCUUUUUGUUUCUUGUUUUAGCCCUAGUUUAGUUUAUAAAAGAAAAUUAAAAAAAAAUGGAGUUAAGUUUGUCACAUACGCUUCACCUUUUUAAUAUCUUUCGUGAGUAUGAUGGAAAGGAAAAUUGUGCUCAAGUACUAGAAGAAGAAUUACAUAGAAUUCUUGGCAUAAAAUAUGUGAAAGAUGAGCAUGAUUGCAAUGAUGUUAGUAUGAAUUCCCUGAAUAUCCAUGAUGCUAAUGAUAUGCAAAGCCACAAGCUUGGGGAAGCUAUGUUUGAUGGAGAUGAUAUUUUUUGUCCCCCAAACUUUGAUGAGAAAAUUUACUAUGAUGAAAGCAUGCCUCCUAUCUAUGAUGAUUAUUGUGAUGACACGUAUGCUUUAAAGAAUAAUGAUAACCAUGAAACUUGUCAUCUUGAUCUUAAUUUUCAAUCAUAUGAUAGUUUUUUUGUUGAGUUUCCUCCCACUACUAUUCAUGAGAAGAAUUUUGCUUAUGUGGAGAAUAGUAAAUUUUCUAUGCUUGUAGAUCAUGAAAAGAAUGCUUCAGGUGCGGUUUAUAUUGUUGAAUUCAUUCAUGAUGCUACUGAAAAUUAUUGUGAGGGAGGAACUUACGCUUGUAGGAAUUGCAAUAAUAUCAAGUUUCCUCUCUAUGUGCUUAAAGUUUUGAAGUUAUGCUUGUUUUGCCUUCCUAUGCUAGUUCAUUAUUGUUCCCAUAAGUUGUUUGCUCACAAAAUCCCUAUGCAUAGGAAGUGUGUUAGGCUUAAAUGUGCUAGUCAUAUGCUUCAUGAUGCUCCCGUUAUGUUUCAAUUCUUAUCUUUUAUGUGAGCAUCAUUGCCAUCAUCAUGCCUAGCUAAAAAGGCAUUAAAGAAAAGCGCUUGUUGGGAGACAACCCAAUAUUUACCCUUACUGUUUUUGUGUGUCCACAUGAUUAUGCUACUGUAGUAAUCAUGUUUUAUAGCUUUUGUUUCAAUAAAGUGCCAAGUAGAACCUUUGGAAAGACUUGGGUGAAGUUUAUGUGAUUUUGCUGUAAAAAACAGAAACUUUUGCGCUCACGAGAUUAGAUGCUAUGUUUUACUGGAGAGUGAUUUUAGGUUGAUUCUUUUUGCAGAUGAUUAAUAGACAAAUUACUCAGGUCCAGAAAUUUAUUUCAUAAUUUUUGGCGUUCCAUAAGUAUAUGUUUGUUACAGAUUAUUACAGACUGUUCUGUUUUUGACAGAUUCUGUUUUCUAUGUGUUGUUUGCUUAUUUUGAUGAAUCUAUGAGUAAUAUCGGAGGAUAUGAACCAUAGAUAAGUUGGAGUAGAGUAGAUAUUACACCAAUAUGAAUUUAGAAUGAGUUCAUUACAGUACCUAAGUGGUUGUUUUAUUUUCUUAUACUAACGGAGCUUACGAGUUUUUUUUUUUAGUUUUGUGUGGUUGAAGUUUUCAAGUUUUGGGUAAAGAUUCGAUGUACUAUGGAAUAAGGAGUGGAAAGAGCCUAAGAUUGGGGAUGCCCAAGGCACCCCUAGGUAAUAUUCAAGGACAACCAAGAGCCUAAGCUUGGGGAUGCCCCGGAUGGCAUCCCCUCCUUCGUCUUUGUUCAUCGGUAACUUUACUUGGAGCUAUAUUUUUAUUCACCACAUGAUAUGUGUUUUGCUUGGAGAGUCAUUUUAUUUUGUUAGUUUUUGCUUGAUGUUAGUUAUAAUAAUGUUUUGCAUCUUUAGUUUCAAUAAAAAGGUCAAGGAUAGCCUUUGCCAUGCUUAUUUUGCCAGUAUUCAUGUUGCUGUUUGAAAACAGAAAGUUUACCACUGUUGCAAAAAUUCCCUAGAAAAGUCAAAGAAUGGUAUAACGUUGAAUCUUUUUGCAUAUUAAGCUCUGAUAAAUAUAUUACAGUGGUAAUUUUAGUUCAUAAUUUUUGGGGUCAGGGAAGUAUUCAUCCUCUUGCAUUCGUUACAGACUAUACUGUUUUGGCAGAUUGCUGUUAUGGUUGCAUUGUUUGCAUAUGUUUGUUUGUUUAAUGAUUCUAUUUGAGGAUAGGAGUAUUAAAUAUACAUAGGCAUUUAUUAUGCAAUGUUUAAUAAUAAUUUUAGUGAUUUUACAGUACAAAAUAAUAAGGUUUUGUAUUGGUUUAUACUAACCUAUCUCACGAGUUCUUGUUGAGUUUGUUGUGAAUGAAGCGUUUGGUAAAAAGAGAAACCAUGAUAUGAGAGGAAUUAAGGAGACACAAAAGUUCAAGCUUGGGGAUGCCAAGGCACCCCAAGAUAAUAUUUCAAGAAGUCUCAAGCAUCUAUGCUUGGGGAUGCCCCGGUAGGCAUCCCACCUUUCUUCUUCAACAACUAUCGGUUAGUAUCGGUUGAGCAUAAGUUUUUGCUUCUUCACAUGAGUCGUGCUAUCCUUGCAAAGUCAUUUGUUUUGUUUUUCUUUCUGUUUGAAUAAGAUACCAAGAUCUGAAAUUCUUUAAUGUUAGAGAGUCUUCACAUAGUUGCACCAUUAUUCGACUACUCAUUGAUCUUCACUUAUAUCUUUCGGAGUAGUUUUUGUUAUUGCUCUAGUACUUCACUUAUAUCUUUUAGAGCUUGGUCGUAGUUUAUUUUGAAGAAAUAUAUGAACUCUCAUGCUUCACUUAUAUUAUUUUGAGAGUCGUUAAUAGCAUGGUAAUUUGCUUAAUAUUAAUAUACUUGGUAUUCAAGAUAUGUGAAACUUUCUUUUGAGUGCGUUGAAUACUAAGAUAAGUUUGAUGCUUGAUAAUUGUUUUGAGAUAUGGAGGUAGUGAUAUUAAAGUGAUGCUAGUUGGGUGAUUAUGAAUUUAAAGAAUGGUUGUGUUGAAGUUUGUGAUUCCCGUAGCAUGCACGUAUGGUGAACCGCUUUGUGAUGAAGUCGGAACAUGAUUUAUUUAUUGAUUGUCUUCCUUAUGAGUGGCGGUCGGGGACGAGCGAUGGUCUUUUCCUACCAAUCUAUCCCCCUAGGAGCAUGCGCGUAAUACUUUGCUUUGAUAACUUGUAGAUUUUUUCAACAAGUUUAUGAGUUCUUUUGCUUAAUGUUGAGUCAAUGGAUUAUACGCACUCUCACCCUUCCACCAUUGCUAGCCUCUCUAAUAGCGCGCACUUUUCGCUGGUAUCAUACACCCACCAUAUACCUUCCUCAAAACAGCCACCAUACCUACCUAUCAUGGCAUUUCCAUGGCCAUUCCAAGAUAUCUUGCCAUGCAACUUUCCACCGUUCCGUUCAUAUGACACACAUUACUUUUGUCAUAUUGCUUUUUGCAUGAACAUGUAGUAGACAUUGUAUUUGUGGCAAAGCCACCGUUCAUAAUUUUCAUAGAUGUUGAUCUUGAUUCAUUGCAUAUCCCGGUACACCGCUGGAGGCAUUCAUAUAGAGUCAUAUUUUGUUCUAAGUAUUGAGUUGUAAUUGUUGAGUUGUAAGAAAAAUAAAAGUGUGACGAUCAUCAUUAUUAGAGCAUUGUCCCAGUGAGGAAAGGAUGAUGGAGACUAUGAUUCCCCCAUAAGUCGGGAUGAGACUCCGGACGAAAAAAAGAGGCCAUAAAAAAAAGAGAAAAGGCCCAAACAAAAAAAACCAAAAAAAAUGAGAGAAAAAGAGAGAAGGGACAAUGUUACUAUCAUUUUACCACACUUGUGCUUCAAAGUAGCACCAUGAUCUUCAUAAUAGAGAGUCUCUCGUUUUAUCACUUUCAUAUACUAGAGGGAAUCUUUCAUUAUAGAACUUGGCUUGUAUAUUACAAUGAUGGGCUUCCUCAAAAUGCCCUAGGUCUUCGUGAGCAAGCGAGAUGGAUGCACACCCACUUAGUUUCUUUUUGUUGAGCUUUCAUAUACUUAUAACUCUAGUGCAUCUGUUGCAUGGCAAUCCCUACUCACUCACAUUGAUAUCUAUUGAUGGGCAUCUCCAUAGCCCGUUGAUACGCCUAGUUGAUGUGAGACUAUAUUCCCUCCUUUUGUCUUCUCCACAACCACCAUUCUAUUCCACAUAUAGUGUUAUGUCCAUGGCUCACGCUCAUGUAUUACGUGAAAGUUGAAAUCGUUUGAGAUUAUUAAAGUAUGAAACGAUUGCUUGGCUUGUCAUUGGGGUUGUGCAUGAUUUAAAUAUUUUGUGUGGGGAAGAUGGAGCAUAGCCAGACUAUAUGAUUUUGUAGGGAUAACUUUCUUUGGACAUGUUAUUUUGAGAAGACAUAAUUGCUUAGUUAGUAUGCUUGAAGUAUUAUUAUUUUUAUGUCAAUAUGUACUUUUGUCUUGAACCUUGUGGAUCUGAAUAUUCAUACUACAAUUAAGAAGAAUUACAUUGAAAUUAUGCCAAGUAGCACUCCGCAUCAAAAAUUCUUUUUUUAUCAUUUACCUACUCAAGGACGAGCAGGAAUUAAGCUUGGGGAUGCUUGAUACGUCUCCAACGUAUCUAUAAUUUUUGAUUGCUCCAUGCUAUAUUAUCUACUGUUUUAGGCAAUAUUGGGCUUUAUUAUCCACUUUUAUAUUAUUUUUGGGACUAACCUAUUAACCGGAGGCCCAGCCCAGAUUUGCUGUUUUAUGCCUAUUUCAGUGUUUCGAAGAAAAGGAAUAUCAGACGGAGUCAAAACAGAACGAAAUCAAUUGGAGAAGUUAUUUUUGGAAGGAAACCCACCUGAUGGACUUGGACCCCACGUCAGAAGAUACGGGACGUGCUCACGAGGGUGGGGGCGCGCCCACCCCCCUAGGGCGCGCCCCCCUGCCUCAUGGGGCCCCUGUAGCUCCACCGACGUACCCCUUGCACCCAUAUAUACCUACGUACCCUAAAACUUCCAGAACAGAAUAUAGAUCGGGAGUUCCGCCGCUGCAAGCCUCUGUAGCUACCAAAAACCUCUCGGGAGCCCGUUCCGGCACCCUGCCGGAGGGGGAACCCAUCACCGGUGGCCAUCUUCAUCAUCCCGGCACUCUCCAUGACGAGGAGGGAGUAGUUCACCAUCGGGGCUGAGGGUAUGUCCCAGUAGCUAUGUGUUUGAUCUCUCUCUCUCUCUCUCUCUCUCUCUCUCUCUCUCUCGUGUUCUUGAUUUGGCACGAUCUUGAUGUAUCGCGAGCUUUGCUGUUAUAGUUGGAUCUUAUAUUUCUUCUCCCCCUAUACUCUCUUGUAAUGGAUUGAGUUUCCCCUUUGAAGUUAUGUUAUCGGAUUGAGUCUUUAAAGAUUUGAGAACACUUGAUGUAUGUCUUGCCGUGAUUAUCUGUGGUGACAAUGGGAUAUCAUGUGCCACUUGAUGUAUGUUUUGGUGACCAACUUGCAGGUUCCACCCAUGAACCUAUGCAUAGGGGUUGGCACACAUUUUCGUCGUGAUUCUCCGGUAGAAAUUUUGGGGCACUCUUGGAAGUACUUUUAUGUUGGUUGGAUGAAUCUGAGAUUGCGUGACACAUAUCGUAUAAUCAUGCCCACGGAUACUUGAGGUGACAAUGGAGUAUCUAGGUGACAUUAAGGUUUUGGUUGAUUUGUGUCUUAAUGUGUUAUUCUAGUACAAACUCUUUUAUAGAUCGAUCCGUAAGAAUAACUUUGAGGUGGUUUCGUACCCUACCAUAAUCUCUACGUUUGUUCUCCACUAUUAUUGGCUUCGGAGUGACUCUUUGUUGCAUGUUGAGGGCUUGUUAUAUGAUCUGUCUAUGUUAUUAUUGUUGAGAGAACUUGCACUAGUGAAAGUAUGAACCCUAGGCCUUGUUUCCUAUCAUUGCAAUACCGUUUACGCUCACUUUUACCACUUGUUACCUUGCUGUUUUUAUAAUUUCAGAUUACAAAAACCUUUAUCUACUAUCUAUUUUGCACUUGUAUCACCAUCUCUUCGCCGAACUAGUGCACCUAUACAAUUUGCCAUUGUAUUGGGUGUGUUGGGGACACAAGAGACUCUUUGUUAUUUGGUUGCAGGGUUGUUUGAGAGAGACCAUCUUCAUCCGACGCCUCCUACGGAUUGAUAAACCUUAGGUCAUCCACUUGAGGGAAAUUUGCUACUAUCCUACAAACAUGUGCACUUGCAGGCCCAACAACGUCUACAAGAAGAAGGUUGUGUAGUAGACAUCAACAUGGUAUUGAGAUCCAAAAAGAGAGAAGAAGCCAUCUAGCUAAUAACUAUGGACCCAAAGGUCUGUGGUAAAUUACUCACAACUCAUUGGAGGGGCUAUGGUGUUGAUGUAGAAGCCCUCCAUGGUCGAUUCCCCCUCCAGCGGAGCGCCGGCGAAGGCUCCAAGAUGGGAGCUCGCGGAUACAAAAGGUUAUAGCGGUGGAAAUUAUUUUUCGUUGGCUCCCUGGAUGUUUUCGGGGUACGUGGGUAUAUAUAGGAGGAAGAAGUAGGUCAGUGGCCGCCCGAGGGGCCCACGAGAUAGGGGGCGCGCCCUCCAUCCUCGUGGCCGCCUUGGCUGCUUCUUGGAUUGCACUCCAAGUCCUCUGGAUCACGUUUGUUCCAAAAAUCACGCUCCCGAAGGUUUCAUUCCAUUUGGACUCCGUUUGAUAUUCCUUUUCUUCGAAAUACUGAAAUAGGCAAAAAAAAACAGCAAUACAGGCUAGGCCUCCGGUUAGUAGGUUAGUCCCAAAAAUGAUAUAAAUGUGUAACUAAAGCCCAUAAACAUCCAAAAGGGGUAAUAUAAUAGCAUGGAACAAUAAAAAAUUAUAGAUACGUUGGAGAUGUAUCAAGCAUCCCCAAGCUUAAUUCCUGCUCGUCCUCGAGUAGGUAAAUAAUAAAAACAUAAUUUUUGAUGUGGAAUGCUACCUAGCAGAAUUCUCAAUGUAAUUUUCUUUAUUGUGGCAUGAAUGUUCAGAUCCAAAUGAUUCAAAAUAAAAGUUCAUAUUGACAUAAGAAAUAUUAAUACUUCAAGCAUACUAAUCAAAGCAAUCAUGUCUUCUCAAAAUAACAUGGCUAAAGAAAGUUCAUCCCUACAAAAUCAUAUAGUUAGGCUAUGCUUCAUUUUCAUCACGUAAAAAUGUUCCCAAAUUCUACACCCCCGAUGACAAGACAAGCAAUUGUUUCGUACUUAAAUAAUCUCAUACUUUUCAACUUUCACGCAAUACAUGAGCGUGAGCCAUGGAUAUAGCACUAUGGGUGGAAUAGAAUAUGAUGAUGGGGAUUGUGUGGAGAAGACAAAAAAAGAGAAAGUCUCACAUUGACGAGGAUAAUCAAUGGGCUAUGGAGAUGCCCAUCAAUUGAUGCCAACAUGAGGAGUAGGGAUUGCCAUGCAACGGAUGCACUAGAGCUAUAAAUGAAUGAAAGCUCAACAAAAGAAAACUAGUGGGUGUGCAUCCAACUUGCUUGCUCACGAAAACCUAGGGCAUUUUGAGGAAGCCCAUCGUAGGAAUAUACAAGCCAAGUUCCAUAAUGAAAAUUUUCCACUAGUAUAUGGAAGUGACAACAUAUGAGACUCACUAUAUGAAGAACAUGGUGCUACUUUGAAGCACAAGUGUGGAAAAAGAGAUAGUAACAUUGCCCCUUUUUAUUUAUUUUCUUUUUUUCCUUUUUUUAUUUUUUUCCUUUUUUUCUUUGGCCUUUUCUUUUUUUUGGCCUUUCUUUUUUUUCUUUUUUUUCUUUUUGGGGACAAUGCUCUAAUAAUGAUGAUCAUCACACUUUUAUUAAUUUACAACACAUGAAUUACAACUCAAAACUAGAAAAAGAUAUGACUCUAUAUGAAUGCCUCCGGCGGUGUACUGGGAUGGUGCAAUGAAUCAAGAGUGACAUGUAUGAAAAAUUAUGCAUGGUGGCUUUUCCACAAAUACGAUGUCAACUACAUGAUCAUGCAAUGGCAAUAUGACAAUAGUAAUGCGUAUCAUGAUGAUAAACGGAACGGUGGAAAGUUGCAUGGCAAUAUAUCUCGGAAUGGCUAUGGAAAUGCCAUAAUAGGUAGGUAUGGUGGUUGUUUUGAGGAAGAUAUGAGGAGGUUUAUGUGUGAUAGAGUGUAUCAUAUCAUGGGGUUUGGAUGCACCGGCGAAGUUUGCACCAACUCUCAAGGUGAGAAAGGGCAAUGCAUGGUACCGAAGAGGCUAGCAAUGAUGGAAAGGUAAAAGUGUGUAUAAUCCAUGGACUCAACAUUAGUCAAAAGAACUCAUAUACUUAUUGCAAAAAUUUAGAAGUCAUCAAAAACCAAGCACUACGCGCAUGCUCCUGGAGGGAUAGAUUGGUAGGAAAAGACCAUCGCUCGUCCCCGACCACCAAUCAUAAGGAUGCACAAUUCAAGUACACUUCAUGUUUCAAAUUUGUUACACAACUUUAACCAUACGUGCAUGCUACGGGACUUGCUAAAUUUAACACAAGCAUUUUUUAAAUUCAUAAUCCCCCAACUAGCAUGACUUUAAUAUCACUACACUAGUAGAAAAGGGGACAAAGGUCCAGGCCAGGUCAGCCCAUUAGUCCCGGUUCAGUCCAGAACCGGGACCCAUGGGGGCAUUGGACCCGUUUCGUGAGCCCCGGGGGCUGGCCAGGCCACGUGGGCCAUUGGUCCCGGUUCGUCUGGACCUUUUGGUCCCGGUUGGUGGAACGAACCGGGACCAAUGGGCCUCACUCCUGGCCCACCACCAUUGGUCCCGGUUGGUGGCUUGAACCGGGACCAAAGGCUGCCCUUUAGUCCCGGUUCAUGCCACCAACCGGGACCAAUGAGGUACCUAUAUAUACCCCCUCGCGUAAGAGCAGAUCACACUGCUCUGUUUUUUCUGGCCGCCGAGGGGGAGAGGGCUUGGUGGUGCUCUAGCUCACAUCCUAUGCACACAAGGUGUUCGAUGGAAUGCCCGAGCCACACUACUUAAUCUUUCUCCUCUCCAAGCUCGACAUCCAAGCUCCAUUUUCCUCAAUAUUUGUCUAGGUUUAGCGGUCCGUCACGCCCCGUCCCCGUCUUCACCGUCGUCGAUCACUCGUGCUGAUCUCAUCGCCGACACCCCCAUGGUGAUCCUCUUGUUUUUAUCUUCUUUCUGAAAGAAAAAAUAUUCUUACUUGUAUGUUUAGAUAGAUACUUGUAUUAUUUUCUUACUUUUAUUAUGGCAUCUUAUAUAGUGCGAUGGUUUUGGUAUCCGCCCCCAUCGGCCCUCGUCCUGUCUAUGAUUCAGAUGCGGUAUAUAUUAUCUUUUCAUAACUAUUGGUUCAUUUGUUGUUUAUGACAAUUAUGCCAACCAACGUGACAUAGAUUUUAUUUAUCUAGGAGGUUGUUGAACCAGAAAUUCCAACCGACCCUAUUGUCGAGAGGUUAAAUUUAGUUGAAGAAGAAAACAAUUUCAUGAAGGAAAAAAUAAGAAAAAUUGAGGAGAAGAUGAUAUUGGAGUUGCAUGUUGCGGAUGUCGUCGAUGAUAACAAGAUCAAGAUGGAUGCAAUGCGCUUGAAGAUUAGAAGGAUUAGAAAAUAUGCCAUUCAUACCGAGUCUUGGUAUCAUUACGCUGUUGGAUCAGUUGUUACCUUGGUUGCAAUUAUGAUCGCAUUUGUUUUCGCAUUGAAAUGUUUUACAUAGUUUCAAUGUAUGGUUUAAUUAAUUUAGAUGCUCUGUAGAGCUUUAUGUUGUUAGAUGAGAACUAUGUAUGUACUUUGGUUUUAAUGUGAUGAUGAACUUCUAUUAAUUUGAUCACUUAGCUAUCUAUUCAUGAUGUUCUAUAAUGAUUUUUGAUACACUUAAUUAUAUAUAAUGCACGCAGAUGAACCGGUAAUGGAUGUACGGUAACAGACACACCUCCGAGUACAUUAAGGGCGUGCAUGAUUUUCUCGAAGUGGCUGAGGUAAACAAGCAGAAUGGUUUUAUGUGUUGUCCAUGCCUUAUAUGUGGGAAUAGGAAGUCUUACUCUGACCAGAAAAUCCUUCACACCCACCUGCUUUACAAGGGUUUCAUGCCACACUAUAAUGUUUGGACGAGGCACGGAGAAAUAGGGGUUAUGAUGGAAGACGGCGAAGAAGAAGAGUACGAUGACAACUAUGUGCCCCCUGAAUACGGUGAUGUUAUUGAACAUCAAGAGGAACCAGAAGAUGUGCACGAUGAUGUUGCAAUGGGCGAAGCUGCUGAAGAUCAAGAGGAACCAGACGAUGUGCCCGAUGAUGAUGAUCUCCGCCGGGUCAUUGUCGAUGCAAGGACGCAAUGCGAAAGUCAAAAGGAGAAGCUGAAGUUCGAUCACAUGUUAGAGGAUCACAAAAAAGGGUUGUACCCCAAUUGCGAAGAUGGCAACACAAAGCUCGGUACCAUACUGGAAUUGCUGCAAUGGAAGGCAGAGAAUGUUGUGCCUGACAAAGGAUUUGAGAAGCUAGUGAAAAUAUUGAAGAAGAAGCUUCCAAAGGAUAACGAAUUGCCCGACAGUACAUACGCAACAAAGAAGGUCGUAUGCCCUCUAGGAUUGGAGGUGCAGAAGAUACAUGCAUGCCCUAAUGACUGCAUCCUCUACCGUGGUGCGUACAAGGAUCUGAACGCAUGCCCGGUAUAUGGUGCAUUACGGUAUAAGAUCAGAUGAGAUGACCUUGGUGAUGUUGACGGCGAGCCCCCCAGGAAGAGGGUUCCUGCGAAGGUGAUGUGCUAUGCUCCUAUAAUACCACGGUUGAAACGUCUGUUCAGAAACGGAGAGCAUGCCAAGUUGAUGCGAUGGCACAGUGAGGACCGUAAGAAAGACGGGAAGUUGAGAGCACCCGCUAACGGGUCGCAGUGGUGAAAAAUCGAGAGAAUGUACUGGGAUGAGUUUGCAAGUGACCCAAGGAACGUAUGGUUUGCUUUAAGCGCGGAUGGCAUUAAUCCUUUCGGGGAGCAGAGCAGCAAUCACAGCACCUGGCCCGUGAAUCUAUGUAUGUAUAACCUUCCUCCUUGGAUGUGCAUGAAGCGGAAGUUCAUUAUGAUGUCAGUUCUCAUCCAAGGCCCUAAGCUACCCAACAACGAUAUAGAUGUGUACCUAAGACCAUUAGUUGAAUAACUUUUACAGCUGUGGAGUGGGAACGGUGUACGUACGUGGGAUGAGCACAAAAAGGAGGAAUUUGACCUAAAGGCGUUGCUGUUCGUGACCAUCAACGAUUGGCCCGCUCUUAGUAACCUUUCAGGACAGACAAACAAGGGAUACCAUGCAUGCACACACUGUUUACUUGACACCGAUAGUAUAUACCUGGAAAAGCUGCAGGAAGAAUUUGUACCUGGGCCAUCGUCGAUUUCUUCCGACCAACCAUCAAUGUUGAAAGAAAGGCAAGCAUUUCAAAGGCGAGGCAGAUCACUGGAAGAAGCCCGCCAUGUGUACCGGUGAUCACGUACUUGCUAUGGUCAAUGAUUUACACGUAAUCUUUGGAAAGGGUCCCGACGCACUAGCUGUUCCGAAUGAAGUUGAGGGACACGCACCCAUGUGGAAGAAGAAAUCUAUAUUUUGGGACCUACCCUACUGGAAAGACCUAGAGGUCCGCUCUUCAAUCGACAUGAUGCACGUGACGAAGAACCUUUGCGUGAACCUACUAGGAUUCUUGGGCGUGUAUGGAAAGACAAAAGAUACACCUGAGGCAUGGGAGGACCUGCAAUGUUUGCACGAAAAAGACGGCAUGCCUCCGAAGUAGUAUGAAGUUCCCGCCAGCUACGCUCUUAUGAAAGAAGAGAAAGAAAUCUUCUUUGAAUGCCUGCUUACUAUGAAGGUCCCGACUGGCUUCUCGUCUAAUAUAAAGGGAAUAAUAAAUAUGCCAGAGAAAAAGUUCCAGAACCUAAAGUCUCAUGACUGCCACGUGAUUAUGACGCAACUGCUUCCGGUUGCAUUGAGGGGGCUUCUAUCGGAAAACGUCCGAUUAGCCAUUGUGAAGCUAUGUGCAUUCCUCAAUGCAAUCUCUCAGAAGGUGAUUGAUCUAGAAAACAUAGCAAGGCUAAGGAGUUAUGUGGCGCAAUGUCUUGUCAAUUUCGAGCUGGUGUUCCCACCAUCCUUCUUCAAUAUCAUGACGCACAUCCUAGUUCAUCUAGUCGACGAGAUUGUCAUUCUGGGGCCCGUAUUUCUACACAAUAUGUUCCCCAUUGAGAGGUUCAUGGGAGUCCUACAGAAAUAUGUCCGUAACCACGCUAGGCCAGAAGGAAGCAUCUCCGUGGGCCAUCAAACAGAGGAUGUCAUCGGGUUUUGUGUUGACUUCAUUCCUGGCCUUAAGAAGAUAGGUCUCCAUAAAUCGCGGUAUGAGGGGAGACUGACUGGAAAAGGCACGCUUGGAAGGGACUCAAUAAUAUGCAGGGACGGAUAUUCUUGGUCUCAAGCACACUACACAGUUCUACAGAACUCUACCUUGGUGACCCCGUAUGUCGAUGAACACAAGAACAGUCUGCGCUCCAAACACCCGGAGCAGUGCGACGACUAGAUUACAUGUGAACACAUUAGGACUUUCAGCAGUUGGUUGGAAACACAUCUCAGAGGUGACAACGCUGUUUGUGAUGAGUUGUACUUGUUGUCCAGGGGACCAUCUUUGACUGUUACGAUUUGGAAAGGAUAUGAGAUAAAUGGGAAUAUAUUUUACACGAUUGACCAAGAUCAAAAGGGCACCAACCAAAACAGCGGUGUCCGCUUUGAUGCAACAACCGAGAGGGGAAAGGACACAUAUUAUGGUUACAUAGUGGACAUAUGGGAACUUGACUAUGGACAUGAUUUUAAGGUCCCUUUGUUUAAGUGCAAAUGGGUCAAUCUGUCAGGAGGCGGUGUACAGUGGAUCUGAAAAAUCUUGGGUACACUAACGAACUGUUCGUCCUAGCCAAUGAUGUCGCACAGGUUAUCUAUGUGAAGGACAUGUCUACCAGACCGAGAAAAAGAAAAGAUAGGGAAGCGAAUACAUCAUACGAUGAGCCAAAGCGCCACAUAGUUCUUUUAGAGAAAAGGGACAUCGUGGGAGUGGAGGGCAAGACAGACACGUCUGAAGAUUAUGAAAAGUUUCAUGAAAUUCCUCCCUUCAAAGUCAAGGCUGACCCAAGCAUCCUGAUAAACGAUGAAGAUUAUCCAUGGUUACGGUGCAAUAAGCAAAUGACACAAGGGAAGAAAAAGUCAAGACUUUCUCCCGCAACUAUUAUGAUGAUACCAUGCCAACUUUGUAACAGACGAGUAUGAUACCAUUCUCCGUUUUGUACAUGUACAUGCUAUGUGGGUGAAAUUAUGAUACCAUGCCAACUUUCAACUUUUUCAGAGUUCAUUUGAAAUGCUUUAAUGUCUUAUGGUUCGGCCGUCGUAAUACCAUUAAUCAAGGUUCGCUCCUUGUCAACUAUGUUCUCACCAAGAACACUCUCAAGAGGGCAGCCACAUGGGCCAUUGGUCCCGGUUCGUCUGGACCUUUUGGUCCCGGUUCCACGCACGAACCGGGACCAAUGCACCUCGCCCGGGACCAUGACCAUUAGUGCCGGUUUGUGCCACAAACCGUGACUAAAGGGUUGGUACUCGUUUCGCUCAGAGUUUAGUCCCACCUCGCCAACCGAAGGGUGCUCACACCAGUUUAUAAGCCCGUCCCACUCUGCCUUGUUGAGCUCCUCUCAAAGUGAAAAUAGAUGCCCCUGUACAGGGAAUUUGACCUAAAAUCAUAGUGAAUUUCUCUGAAAUUCAUAGAAAUUUAUUAUGAAUUUAGGUUGAAUUUUCUCUAUUGGCGCAUCUAUGUUCAUUUUUUUAGUAAAGUUAAUCACAAACUUGUGAUUCACACAAAUUUCAAAGAAUUCAAAUUUUAACUAUUCAAAUUUGAAAACUAAUGGCACUAAUAGAAAGUUUAUAAUUUUUCUAAAACUAAUGGCACUAACAAAAAGUUUAUAAUUUUCCUGACCUAAAAGCAAAAAGAAUUAAAAAUAAUGCAAAAAACAAAAGAAAAUAAAUAAUGCAGAAAACAAAACAAAAAAACAGGAAACAAAAUAAAAAUAGCAACAAUAAUUAUUUUUUUGUAAGUAGAAACAAAAUAAAAUAAAUAAAGCAACAAACGAAGAAAACAAAAAAGGGUUUUCAAAUUUGAAAACUAAUGGCACUAAUAGAAAGUUUAUAAUUUUUCUAAAACUAAAAGCAAAAAAGAAUUAAAAAAUAAAGAAAAAAACAAAAGAAAAUAAAUAAUGCAGAAAACAAAACAAAAAAACUGGAAAAAAAUAAAAAUAGCAACAAUAAGUAAAGAAAACAAAAAACAAAAAAAGUGCCUCCUACUAGGCCCCCACGACCUGAAUACGACUAGAAACCCAACAAUGGGCCAGGAUUUAGGCCCGCAGUAAGCCCAGUAGGCCCACAGGCACAUAGAGACAGAUUAGGCCCGAAAGCCUGAUUUAGAGAGGAGCUCGAGAGGGUUGGCACAUCGCACCUUAUAAACAGGUGCGUCUCUCUCUCAGCUAGCGAGGUGGGACUAAACUCCCACCACCACGCCGUUGUGCAAGGCCCAUUGGUCCCGGUUGGAGCUACCAACCGGUACCAAUGCCCCCCCCCUUUAGUCUCGGUUGGUGCCACCAACCGGGACCAAAGGGCGCCGCUUCCCGCACUUUGGGAUGCUGAAAACUGGCCUUUCGUCCCGGUUGGUGGCACGAACCGGGACCAAAGGGGGCAUUCGUCCCGGUUUGUGCCACAAACCGGGACCAAAGCCUUUCCUAUAUAACCAAACACUUGGGAAAUUUCCCCCACCCGCCAUUCUNNNNNNNNNNNNNNNNNNNNNNNNNNNNNNNNNNNNNNNNNNNNNNNNNNNNNNNNNNNNNNNNNNNNNNNNNNNNNNNNNNNNNNNNNNNNNNNNNNNNNNNNNNNNNNNNNNNNNNNNNNNNNNNNNNNNNNNNNNNNNNNNNNNNNNNNNNNNNNNNNNNNNNNNNNNNNNNNNNNNNNNNNNNNNNNNNNNNNNNNNNNNNNNNNNNNNNNNNNNNNNNNNNNNNNNNNNNNNNNNNNNNNNNNNNNNNNNNNNNNNNNNNNNNNNNNNNNNNNNNNNNNNNNNNNNNNNNNNNNNNNNNNNNNNNNNNNNNNNNNNNNNNNNNNNNNNNNNNNNNNNNNNNNNNNNNNNNNNNNNNNNNNNNNNNNNNNNNNNNNNNNNNNNNNNNNNNNNNNNNNNNNNNNNNNNNNNNNNNNNNNNNNNNNNNNNNNNNNNNNNNNNNNNNNNNNNNNNNNNNNNNNNNNNNNNNNNNNNNNNNNNNNNNNNNNNNNNNNNNNNNNNNNNNNNNNNNNNNNNNNNNNNNNNNNNNNNNNNNNNNNNNNNNNNNNNNNNNNNNNNNNNNNNNNNNNNNNNNNNNNNNNNNNNNNNNNNNNNNNNNNNNNNNNNNNNNNNNNNNNNNNNNNNNNNNNNNNNNNNNNNNNNNNNNNNNNNNNNNNNNNNNNNNNNNNNNNNNNNNNNNNNNNNNNNNNNNNNNNNNNNNNNNNNNNNNNNNNNNNNNNNNNNNNNNNNNNNNNNNNNNNNNNNNNNNNNNNNNNNNNNNNNNNNNNNNNNNNNNNNNNNNNNNNNNNNNNNNNNNNNNNNNNNNNNNNNNNNNNNNNNNNNNNNNNNNNNNNNNNNNNNNNNNNNNNNNNNNNNNNNNNNNNNNNNNNNNNNNNNNNNNNNNNNNNNNNNNNNNNNNNNNNNNNNNNNNNNNNNNNNNNNNNNNNNNNNNNNNNNNNNNNNNNNNNNNNNNNNNNNNNNNNNNNNNNNNNNNNNNNNNNNNNNNNNNNNNNNNNNNNNNNNNNNNNNNNNNNNNNNNNNNNNNNNNNNNNNNNNNNNNNNNNNNNNNNNNNNNNNNNNNNNNNNNNNNNNNNNNNNNNNNNNNNNNNNNNNNNNNNNNNNNNNNNNNNNNNNNNNNNNNNNNNNNNNNNGGGGGUCGAUAUACCCGCUCCCAAUAACUUCAACACAUGGGGGGGGUCGAUAUACCCCCUCCCCGAUAAUAUUAUUUUCCUAUGUACGUAUGUCGUCGUUGUCGAUAUAAACCCCUCCCGAUAACUUCAACAUGUGGGGGGUCGAUAUACCUCCUCCUGAUAACUUCAACACAUGGGGGGGGUCGAUAUACCCCCUCCCCGAUAACAUUAUUUUCCCGUGUAUGUAUCUCGUCGUUGUCGAUAUUACCCCCUUGAAGCAUUGUCGAGGCCACCCCAAACCCUAGAGAAGCAGCGUCGAGGCCACUAAUUAAUAUGAUUCCUUACUGUGAUUAGCUAACUAGUUCUACGUUUGCCACUAAUAUAUCCAUAUAUGUCAUGUUUGAAUAAUAGUUGCCAUGUUGUAAAUAUUUGUAGAAACUAUGGACACCCCCCGAGAUGAAGCAACAGAAGCGAUGUUGGGGGAGAUAAUCGCACAUGGAAGUGAUGCCGUCUUAUCGUUUCUAAAUGACACCAAUGGUCUGGAAGGACAGGGUGAAGAAGCAGGCAAUUAUGAUGGCUCCUUUGACCCAAUGCCGGUGCAAGGAGACCAUGAGGACGGCUCCAGUGACCCAAUGAUGGUGCAAGAAGGAGACUGUGAUGACGGCUCCGGUGACCGAACCGAGUCUGGCCAGGUAUAUAUAUUAGUUAAGCCUGUACUGACUAGCUAAUUGAUGCAUUCAUUGUUUUGGUAUAUGUACACAUAUUAAUUAACUCUCGUCUUUCUUCUUUUUUCUAGCCCUCCGGAUCGAGCACAACUUCAGUAAGGAGACGAGACCCGAAGAAAAAGUUGAGCUCGGAUGAAAGGUUUGAGAUCACAGCAAUCACGCGCGACGACGAACCGAUUGAACCCAUCCGGACAAAGAACGCAUUUUCUGCUCAGUGCGGGGUUCUUGUUAGGGACAAGAUCCCGAUCAGCAUCCACCAAUGGUAUAAGACUAAGGAGGAAGACCCUGAGGUGUCUUAUGUCAAUGAUAUGCAGAAAGAUGAUCUUUGGACUGAGCUGAAGGCAAAUUUCACCCUACCGCCAGAGGAGGAUCUGGAGAAGCCAGUUAAAGAGCAAUUAAUCAAGUCUUGUGAUCUUAAGAAGAUGGCAGGCCUAUUCAGGAGGUGGAGGAAAGAGCUAAAAAAGUUUGUCGACAAAGAAGAGACACUAGAAUUCAUCGACAAAUAUGAGAAGAUCAGAUAUCACUGGCCCGCAUUUGUGGCCCACAAGACAUCGGAAAAAGAGUAAGAAGAUGUCGGCGACAAACAAGCAAAAUUCUGUGAAGAAGAAGUUUCACCAUCGCACGGGGUCAGGUGGCUACCUCAAAGCCCAGCGUAAGUGGUCCAAGGCUGAGAAUGAUCUGCUUGAUAAAGGGAUCGAACCAGAGACAAUGAACUGGCCAGACCAUUGCUGGACUUGGUUCUUCGGGGCUGGCGGAAUCUUGGACCCUGUAUCAUGGAAGUGCCAUUGCACGGACGAGCAACUGAAAAUAACAGUCAAUAGGCUUCGGCACUAUAUCGAUGCAGCGCAGCAAGGGACGUUCGUUCCAGACAGGGAGAAGGACGAGCACACAAUGGCCCUUGGGAAUCCUGAGCACCCUGGACGGACACGAGGCACGCCAGGCUCCAUUCCAUGGAAGGUUGGUUUUCCGGACGCAGGCGGUUACAAAUGCCAUGAGAGGAGGAAGAAAGUGGAGCAUAGCCAACUGGAGGCGCUGCACGCAAGGGUACAAGGGCUAGAGGAACGAGAAGCAUAUCACAGCAAACGACCUGCCGAAGCUUCCCCCGAAGCUACCCCGCCAUCUCAGCGGAGAAGCAGCGUGGCUUCCACCGAGUUGCUUCAGCCGGAGCAUGUCUUGAUGGCUCCUGCUAGCUACCCCAUGGAUUUUAUCACGGAGUCUCAAAAUUUCCACCUUAUGAUGCAAUGGCAGAACUUAAAAGUCAAGGCGGCUGUCGGCCAAGUUUGACCUUCUGAACCCGGCGCAACUUUUCACUGUCUUACGAUUACAGAAGGAUAUGCUAGGGUGAUGGUGGAAAAAUAACGGAGGGAUUUGAGGACCCUACCGGUGAAGGGGAGACUCGGCUGGGUUCUGCUCUGAAGACUCCAUGCCUAUGGAGGAAGGAGUUCAUGAAGCUUCCGAACUGGACGCCUCCUCCUCCUCCUCCGGCGAGUCAGGGCACUCCGCCUCCUCCACCGCCUACUCCUCCGGCGAGUAACGAUCAGGGCACUCGGCCUCCUUCUCCGGCGCGUGGCGGCACUCCGCCUCCUUCUCCGCCUGUGCCGGCGCGCCCGAGCAGCCAGCAGCCUCCUCCUUCUCCACCUCGCCAGCAAGGGCGGAAGAGAUCCGUCACCGCACUGGCUACUCCGGCGCGUCGUAGUACUUCUCCUCCGCCUCGUAAGCAAGCACGAAAGAAGACAAACGCUGCAGCCGCUCUGUCUGCUCCGGUGUCUAGCAGUACAGCCAGCAGAGGUGGGAGGCAAUACAUAUAUAGUCCUUCUCUCAAGCCUCUAGUGAAGUUACCGUACGAGAGGACCAAGGAGGAAAACGCGAAGAUCGUGCGGACCGAAGUGGAGGACUUCUUUAAAGGCUUGAAAGCAAAGAGACAUCCACCUCCGGAGGAGAAGGUAGAUCUAGUGAAAGCAAAGCGCACUAUCGAUGCCCUGAGGAAACCACCAAAGUCUCCAUCGAGAACCAACUAUGAGCGCAAUACUGAACAGGCAUAUCUCGCAGCGGAGCGGUGGGGAAGUACUGUCAGUGAUCGAAGGUUAAAAGAACGAGCAACUAAGAAAAAAAUUGCCCAGCUCGACGAACAAGCAAAUCAAUCGUAGCCCCCGCUCAAUGUGUCUAGCGGCGACAUCAUCGCUAAUGCUCCGGGGAUGGUGCCCAGUUAUAACAAUCUUGCAGAUUACCUGCCUGAUGAUACGUCCAUUUUGCAUCAUGCUUUUAUAUCAAUAUUUAUUGCAUUAUGGGAUGUUAUUACACAUUAUAUCUCAAUACUUAUCUGUUGGAAAUAUGCCCUAGAGGCAAUAAUAAAAUGAUUAUUAUUAUAUUUCCUUGUUCAUGAUAAUUGUCUAUUAUUCAUGCUAUAAUUGUGUUAUCCGGAAAUCAUAAUACAUGUGUGAAUACAUAGACCACAACAUGUCCCUAGUGAGCCUCUAGUUGACUAGCUCAUUGAUCAACAGAUAGACAUGGUUUCCUGAUUAUGGACAUUGGAUGUCAUUGAUAACGGGAUCACAUCAUUAGGAGAAUGAUGUGAUGGACAACACCCAAUCCUAAGCAUAGCACAAGAUCGUGUAGUUCGUUUGCUAGAGCUUUUCCAAUGUCAAGUAACAUUUCCUUAGACCAUGAGAUCAUGUAACUCCCGGAUACCGUAGGAGUGCUUUGGGUGUACCAAACGUCACAACGUAACUGGGUGACUAUAAAGGUAUACUACAGGUAUCCCCGAAAGUGUCUGUUGGGUUGACACGGAUCGAGACUGAGAUUUGUCACUCCGUAUGACGGGGAGGUAUCUCUGGGCCCACUCGGUAACGCAUCAUCAUAAUGAGCUCAAUGUGACCAAGUGGUUGGUCACGGGAUCAUGCAUUAUGGUACGAGUAAAGUGACUUGCCGGUAACGAGAUUGAACGAGGUAUUGGGAUACCGACGAUCGAAUCUCGAGCAAGUAACGUACCGAUUGACAAAGGGAAUAGUAUACGGGAUUAAUUGAAUCCUCGACAUCGUGGUUCAUUCAAUGAGAUCAUCAUGGAACAUGUGGGAGACAACAUGUGUAUCCAGAUCUCGCUGUUGGUUAUUGGCUGGAGAGCUGUCUCGGUCAUGUUUGCGUGAUUCCCGAACCCGUAGGGUCUACACACUUAAGGUUCGGUUACGCUAGGGUUGUAGAGAUAUUAGUAUGCGGUAAUCCAAAAUUGUUCGGAGUACCGGAUGAGAUCCCGGAUGCCACGAGGAGUUCCGGAAUGGUCCGGAGGUAAAGAUUUGUAUAUGGGAAGUCCAGUUUCGGCCACCGAGAAAGUUUCGGGGGUCACCGGUAUUGUACCGGGACCAACAGAAGGGUCCCGGGGGUCCACCGGGUGGGGCCACCUAUCCCGGAGGGCCCUAUGAGCUGAAGUGGGAAGGUAACCAGCCCCUGAUGGGAUGGUGCGCCCCCUUGGGCCUCCCCCUGUGCCUAGGGUUGGAAACCCUGGGGGUGGGGGCGCCCCACCUGACUUGGGGGGCAAGUCCCNNNNNNNNNNNNNNNNNNNNNNNNNNNNNNNNNNNNNNNNNNNNNNNNNNNNNNNNNNNNNNNNNNNNNNNNNNNNNNNNNNNNNNNNNNNNNNNNNNNNNNNNNNNNNNNNNNNNNNNNNNNNNNNNNNNNNNNNNNNNNNNNNNNNNNNNNNNNNNNNNNNNNNNNNNNNNNNNNNNNNNNNNNNNNNNNNNNNNNNNNNNNNNNNNNNNNNNNNNNNNNNNNNNNNNNNNNNNNNNNNNNNNNNNNNNNNNNNNNNNNNNNNNNNNNNNNNNNNNNNNNNNNNNNNNNNNNNNNNNNNNNNNNNNNNNNNNCCCCCUAUAUAAAGAGGGGGGAGGGAGGGCUGCGUACCCUAGCCCCUGGCGCCUCCCUCUCCCCCAUAACACCUCUCCCUCUCGCUGAGCUUGGCGAAGCCCUGCCGAGAUCCCUGCUACUUCCACCACCACUUCGUCAUGCUGCUGGAUCUCCAUCAACAUCUCCUUCCCCCUUUCUAGAUCAAGAAGGAGGAGAUGUCUUCCCCAACCGUACGUGUGUUGAAUGCGGAGGUGCCGUCUGUUCGGCACUAGGAUAUUCAGUGAUUUGGAUCACGACGAGUACGACUCCAUCAACCCCGUUCUCUUGAACGCUUCCGCUCGCGAUCUACAAGGGUAUGUAGAUGCACUCCUCUCUCUUGUUGCUAGAUGACUCCAUAGAUUGAUCUUGGUGAAGCGUAGAAAAUUUUUAUUUUCUGCAAGGUUCCCCAACAGUGGCAUCAUGAUCUAGGUUUAUGCAUAGUUUCUAUGCACGAGUAGAACACAAUUUUGUUGUGGGCAUAGAUUUUGUCAAUUUACUUGCCACUACUAGUCUUAUCUUGUUUCAGUGGCACCAUGGGAUGAAGCGGCCCGGACCGACCUUACACGUACGCUUAUGUGAGACAGGUUCCACCGACUGACAUGCACUAGUUGCAUAAGGUGGCUAGCGGGUGUCUGUCUCUCCCACUUUAGUCGGAUCGGAUUCGAUGAAAAGGGUCCUUAUGAAGGGUAAAUAUAAAUUGGCAUAUCACGUUGUGGUUUUGAUGUAGGUAAGAAUCGUUCUUGCUAGAGCCCUAUAGCAGCCACGUAAAACUUGCAACAACAAUUAGAGGACGUCUAACUUGUUUUUGCAGCAUAUGCCUUGUGAUGUGAUAUGGCCAAAAGGAUGUGAUGAAUGAAUUAUAUGUGAUGUAUGAGAUUGAUCAUGUUCUUGUAAUAAGAAUAACGACUUGCAUGUCGAUGAGUAUGACAACCGGAAGGAGCCAUAAGAGUUGUCUUUAUUUAUUGUAUGACCUGCGUGUCAUGGAAUAACGCCAUGUAAUUACUUUACUUCUUUGCUAAACCAUUAGCUAUAGUAGUAGAAGUAAUAGUUGGCGAACAACUUCAUGGAGACACGAUGAUGGAGAUCAUGGUGUCAUGCCGGUGACAAUGAUGAUCAUGGCGCCCCGAAGAUGGAGAUCAAAAGGAGCAAAAAAUGAUAUUGGCCAUAUCAUGUCACUAUUUGAUUGCAUGUGAUGUUUAUCAUGCUUUUGCGUCUUAUUUGCUUAGAACGAUGGUAGUAAAUAAGAAGAUCCCUCAUAAUAAUUUCAAGGAAGUGUUCCCCCUAAUUGUGCGCCAUUGCGAAAGUUCGUUGUCUCGAAGCACCACGUGAUGAUCGGGUGUGAUAGAUCCUAAAGUUCACAUACAAUGGGUGUAAGCCAGAUUUACACAUGCAAAACACUUAGGUUGACUUGACGAGCCUAGCAUGUACAGACAAGGCCUCAGAACACAAGAGACCGAAAGGUCGAACAUGAGUCGUAUAGAAGAUCGGACACGGCCUAGUUGAAUCGGAUCAUGGAUCACUUAGAUGACUAGAGGGAUGUCUAUCUGAGUGGGAGUUCAUUAAAUAAUUUGAUUAGAUGAACUUAAUUAUCAUGAACUUAGUCUAAAACUUUUGCAAUAUGUCUUGUGGAUCAAAUGGCCCACGCUAAUGUUGCCCUCAACUUCAACGCGUUCCUAGAGAAAACCAAGCUGAAAGACGAUGGCAGCAACUAUACGGACUGGGUCCGGAGCUUGAGGAUCAUCCUCAUAGCUGCGAAAAGAGCAUAUGUCCUAGAUGCACCGUUAGGUGAAGCACCCGUUUUCCCCGCAACUCAAGAUGUUAUGAACGCCUGGCAGUCGCGUGUUGAUGACUACUCCCUCGUUCAGUGCGGCAUGCUUUACAUCUUAGAACCGGGGCUCCAAAAGCGUUUUGAGCAACACAGAGCAUAUGAGAUGUUCGAAGAACUGAAAAUGGUUUUCCAAGCUCAUGCCCGGGUCGAGAGAUAUGAAGUCUCUGACAAGUUCUACAGUUCUAAGAUGGAGGAAAAUAGUUCUAUCAUUGAGCACAUACUCAAAAUGUCUGGGUUGCACAACCGCUUGUACCAGCUGGACAUUAACCUCCCGAAUGAGGCGGUCAUUGACAGAAUCCUUCAGUCGCUCCCACCUAGCUACAACAGCUUUGUGAUGAACUACAAUAUGCAGGGGAUGGUGAAAACUAUUCCUGAGGUAUUUUCAAUGCUGAAAUCAGCGGAGGUGGAAAUCAAAAAGGAACAUCAAGUGUUGAUGGUCAAUAAAACCACUAGUUUCAAGAAAGGCAAGGGUAAAAAGAACUUCAAGAAGGACGGCAAGGGAGUUGCCGCGCCCGGUAAUCCAGUUGCCGAGAACAAGCCAAAGCAUGGACCCAAACCUGAGACUGGGUGCUUUUAUUGCAAGGGAAACGGACACUGGAAGCGGAACUGCCCCAAGUACUUAGCGGACAAGAAGGCCGGCAACACCAAAGGUAUAUGUGAUAUACAUGUAAUUGAUGUGUACCUUACCAGUACUCAUAGUAGCUCCUGGGUAUUUGAUACCGGUGCGGUUGCUCAUAUUUGUAACUCAAAACAGGAGUUGUGGAAUAAGCGGAGACUAGCGAAGGACGAGGUGACGAUGCGCGUCGGGAAUGGUUCCAAGGUCGAUGUGAUCGCUGUCGGCACGCUACCUCUACAUUUACCUACGGGAUUAGUUUUAAACCUCAAUAAUUGUUAUUUAGUGCCAGCUUUGAGCAUGAACAUUGUAUCUGGAUCUUGUUUAAUAUGAGAUGGCUACUCAUUUAAAUCCGAGAAUAAUGGUUGUUCUAUUUAUAUGAGAGAUAUGUUUUAUGGUCAUGCCCCGCUGGUCAAUGGUUUAUUCUUAAUGAAUCUCGAACGUGAAGUUACACAUAUUCAUAGUGUGAAUACCAAAAGAUGUAAUAUUGAUAUUGAUAGUCCCACAUAUCUAUGGCUGCCGCCUUGGCCACAUUGGUGUCAAACACAUGAAGAAGCUCCAUACAGAUGGACUUUUGGAGUCUCUUGAUUUUGAAUCAUUUAACACGUGCGAACCAUGCCUCAUGGGUAAAAUGACCAAGACUCUGUUCUCCAGAACAAUGGAGCGAGCAACCAACUUAUUGGAAAUGAUACAUACUGAUGUGUGCGGUCCAAUGAGAGUUGAGGCUCGCGGUGGCUAUCGUUAUGUUGUCACCCUCACUGAUGACUUGAGUAGAUAUGGGUAUGUUUACUUGAUGAAACACAAGUCUGAGACCAUUGAAAAGUUCAAGGAAUUUUAGAAUGAGGUAGAGAAUCAACGUCACGAAUUUGGUACGCACUUAUGGAAAUGUGCAAUCAUUUCACAACUCACGCCGCCUGGAACACCUCAGCGUAGUGGUGUGUCCGAACGUCGUAAUCGCACUCUAUUGGAUAUGUUGCGAUCUAUGAUGUCACUCAUCAAUUUACCGCUAUCAUUUUGGGGAUACGCUCUAGAGACAGCUACAUUCACUUUAAAUAGGGUACCGUCUAAAUCCAUUGAGACAGCACCGUAUGAAUUAUGGUUUGGGAAGAAACCUAAGCUGUCGUUUCUAAAAGUUUGGGGAUGUGAUGCUUAUGUCAAGAAGCUUCAACCUGAAAAGCUCGAACCCAAAUCGGAAAAAUGCGUCUUCAUAGGAUACCCUAAGGAAACCAUUGGGUAUACCUUCUACCUAAGAUCCGAAGGCAGGAUUUUCGUUGCCAAGAAUGGGUCCUUUCUGGAGAAAGAGUUUCUCUCGAAGGAAAUAAGUGGGAGGAAAGUAGAACUCGAUGAAGUACUGCCUCUUGAACCAGAAAGUAGCACAGCUCAGGAAGAUGUUCCUGUGGUGCCUGCACCGACUAGAGAGGAAGUUAAUGAUGAUGAUCGAGGUACUUCGGAUCAAGUUGCUACUGAACUUCGUAGGUCCACAAGGACACGUUCCACACCAGAAUGGUAUGGCAACCUUGUCCUGGAAAUAAUGUUGUUAGACAACGGUGAACCUUCGAACUAUGAAGAAGCGAUGGAGGGCCCAGAUUCCAACAAAUUGCUUGAAGCCAUGCAUCCCGAGAUAGGAUCCAUGUAUGAAAACAAAGUAUGGACUUUGACAGACUUGCCCGAUGAUCGGUGAGCAGUAGAAAACAAAUGGAUCUUUAAGAAGAAGACGGACGCGGAUGGUAAUGUAACCAUCUAUAAAGCUCGACUUGUUGCUAAGGGUUAUCGGCAAGUUCAAGGAGUUGACUACGAUGAGACUUUCUCUCCCUUAGCGAAGCUGAAGUCCGUCCGAAUCAUGUUAGCAAUUGUCGCAUACUAUGAUUAUGAGAUAUGGCAAAUGGACGUCAAAACGGCAUUCCUUAACGGCUAUCUUAAGGAAGAACUGUAUAUGAUGCAGCCGGAAGGUUUUGUCGAUCCUAAGAAUGCUAACAAUGUAUGCAAGCUCCAGCGAUCCAUUUGGGUUUAUGAAGACUUAUGGAGAAGCCUGCGUUUACAAGAAAGUGAGUGGGAGCUCUGUAGCAUUUUUCAUAUUAUAUGUAGAUGACAUACUUUUGAUGGGAAAUGAUAUAGAAAUUUUGGACAGCAUUAAGGCCUACUUGAAUAAGUGUUUUUCAAUGAAGGACCUUGGAGAAGCUGCUUACAUAUUAGUCAUCAAGAUCUAUAGAGAUAGAUCGAGACGCCUCAUAGGUCUUUCACAAAGCACAUACCUUGAUAAGAUAUUGAAGAAAUUCAAUAUGGAUCAGUCCAAGAAGGGGUUCUUGCCUGUGUUGCAAGGUGUGAAAUUGAGCUUCGCUCAAUGCCCGACCACGGCAGAAGAUAGAGAAAAGAUGAGUGUCAACCCCUAUGCCUCGGCUAUAGGUCUAUUAUGUAUGCCAUGCUGUGUACCAGACCUGAUGUAAACCUUGCCGUAAGAAGUUACCAAAGUAAUCCCGGCAUGGAACACUGGACAACGGUCAAGAAUAUCCUGAAGUACCUGAAAAGGACUAAGGAUAUGUUUCUCGUUUAUGGAGGUGACGAAGAGCUCGUCGUAAAGGGUUACGUCGAUGCUAGCUUCGACACAGAUCUGGAUGACUCUAAGUCACAAACCGGAUACGUGUAUAUUUUGAAUGGUGGGGCAGUAAGCUGGUGCAGUUGCAAGCAAAGCGUCAUGGCAGGAUCUACAUGUGAAGCAGAGUACAUGGCAGCCUCGGAGGCAGUGCAUGAAGCAAUAUGGAUGAAGGAGGUCAUCACCGACCUAGGAGUCAUACCCAAUGCGUCAGGGCCGAUCACUCUCUUCUGUGACAACGCUGGAGCUAUUACCCUUGCCAAGGAGCCCAGGUUUCACAAGAAGACCAGGCACGUCAAGCGUCGCUUCAAAUCCAUUUUUGAAAAUGUUCAAGAUGGAGACAUUGAUAUUUGCAAAGUGCAUACAGAUCUGAAUGUCACAGAUCCGUUGACUAAACCUCUUCCGCGAGCAAAACAUGAUCAACACCAGAACACUAUGGGUGUUUGAUUCAUCACAAUGUAACUAGAUUAUUGACUCUCGUGCAAGUGGGAGAUUGUUGGAAAUAUGCCCUAGAGGCAAUAAUAAAAUGAUUAUUAUUAUAUUUCCUUGUUCAUGAUAAUUGUCUAUUAUUCAUGCUAUAAUUGUGUUUUCCGGAAAUCAUAAUACAUGUGUGAAUAAAUAGACCACAACAUGUCCCUGGUGAGCCUCUAGUUGGCUAGCUCGUUGAUCAACAGAUAGUCAUGGUUUCCUGAGUAUGGACAUUGGAUGUCAUUGAUAACGGGAUCACAUCAUUAGGAGAAUGAUGUGAUGGACAAGACCCAAUCCUAAGCAUAGCACAAGAUCAUGUAGUUCAUUUGCUAGAGCUUUUCCAAUGUCAAUUAUCAUUUCCUUAGACCAUGAGAUCGUGUAACUCUCGGAUACCGUAGGAGUGCUUUGGGUGUACCAAACGUAACAACGUAACUGGGUGACUAUAAAGGUAUACUACAGGUAUCCCCGAAAGUGUCUCUUGGGUUGACACGGAUUGAGACUGGGAUUUGUCACUCCGUAUGAUGGAGAGGUAUCUCUGGGCCCACUCGGUAAUGCAUCAUCAUAAUGAGCUCAAUGUGACCAAGUGGUUGGUCACGGGAUCAUGCAUUACGGUACGAGUAAAGUGACUUGCCGGUAACGAGAUUAAACGAGGUAUUGGGAUACCGACGAUCGAAUCUCGGGCAAGUAACGUACCGAUUGACAAAGGGAAUUGUAUACGGGAUUACUUGAAUCCUCGACAUCGUGGUUCAUUCGAUGAGAUCAUCAUGGAAUAUGUGGGAUCCAACAUGGGUAUCCGGAUCCCGCUGUUGGUUAUUGGCCGGAGAGCUGUCUUGGUCAUGUCUGCGUGAUUCCCGAACCCAUUGGGUCUACACACUUAAGGUCCGGUGACACUAGGGUUGUAGAGAUAUUAGUAUGCGGUAAUCCGAAAGUUGUUCGGAGUCCCGGAUGAGAUCCUGGAUGUCAUGAGGAAUUCCAGAAUGGUCCGGAGGUAAAUAUUUAUAUAUGGGAAGUGCAGUUUCGGCCACCAGGAAAGUUUCGGUCAUCACCGGUAUUGUACCGGGACCACAGAAAGGGUCCCGGGGUUCCACCGGGUGAGGCCACCUAUCCCGGAGGGCCCUAUGGGCUGAAGUGGGAAGGGAACCAGCCCACCACACCCCCUCGGACCUUCCCCUGCACCUAGGGUUGGAAACCCUGGGGGUGGGGGGCGCCCCACCUGACUUGGGGGCGCAAGUCCCCCCCUUUGCCCCCCCCCCUCCCCCUUGAGAUUGGAUCUCUAGGGGGCGGCGCCCCCCCAGGGCCCCCUAUAUAAAGAGGGGGGAGGGAGGGCUGCGUACCCUAGCCCCUGGCGCCUCCCUCUCCCACCGUAACACCUCUCCCUCUCGCUGAGCAUGGCGAAGCCCUGCCGAGAUCCCNNNNNNNNNNNNNNNNNNNNNNNNNNNNNNNNNNNNNNNNNNNNNNNNNNNNNNNNNNNNNNNNNNNNNNNNNNNNNNNNNNNNNNNNNNNNNNNNNNNNNNNNNNNNNNNNNNNNNNNNNNNNNNNNNNNNNNNNNNNNNNNNNNNNNNNNNNNNNNNNNNNNNNNNNNNNNNNNNNNNNNNNNNNNNNNNNNNNNNNNNNNNNNNNNNNNNNNNNNNNNNNNNNNNNNNNNNNNNNNNNNNNNNNNNNNNNNNNNNNNNNNNNNNNNNNNNNNNNNNNNNNNNNNNNNNNNNNNNNNNNNNNNNNNNNNNNNNNNNNNNNNNNNNNNNNNNNNNNNNNNNNNNNNNNNNNNNNNNNNNNNNNNNNNNNNNNNNNNNNNNNNNNNNNNNNNNNNNNNNNNNNNNNNNNNNNNNNNNNNNNNNNNNNNNNNNNNNNNNNNNNNNNNNNNNNNNNNNNNGUGAGGCCACCUAUCCCGGAGGGCCCUAUGGGCUGAAGUGGGAAGGGAACCAGCCCACCACACCCCCUCGGACCUUCCCCUGCACCUAGGGUUGGAAACCCUGGGGGUGGGGGGCGCCCCACCUGACUUGGGGGCGCAAGUCCCCCCCUUUGCCCCCCCCCCCCCCCCUUGAGAUUGGAUCUCUAGGGGGCGGCGCCCCCCCAGGGCCCCCUAUAUAAAGAGGGGGGAGGGAGGGCUGCGUACCCUAGCCCCUGGCGCCUCCCUCUCCCACCGUAACACCUCUCCCUCUCGCUGAGCAUGGCGAAGCCCUGCCGAGAUCCCCGCUACUAUCACCACCACGCUGUCGUGCUGCUGGAUCUCCAUCAACCUCUCCUUCCCCCUUGCUGGAUCAAGAAGGAGGAUACGUCUUCCCCAACCGUACGUGUUUUGAACGCGGAGGUGCCGUCCAUUCGGCACUUGGAUCUUCGGUGAUUUGGAUCACGACGAGUACGACUCCAUCACCCCCGCUUUCUUGAACGCUUCCGCUCGCGAUCUACAAGGGUAUGUAGAUGCACUCCUCUCUCUCGUUGCUAGAUGACUCCAUAGAUUGAUCUUGGUGAAGCGUAGAAUUUUUUUAUUUUCUGCAACGUUCCCCAACAUUAUGUCUAUUCUCUCUUAUUUUACAAGGUUUACCAUGAAGAGGGGGAAUGCCGACAGCUGGAAUUCUGGCUGGAAAAGGAGCAAACGUUGGAAACCUAUUCUGCACAACUCCAAAAGUCCUGAAACUCCAUGAAACAACUUUUUGGAUUUAUUAAGAAUUUAUGAGCAAAAGAAAUAGGCCAGGGAGCCCACACCCUGUCCAGGAGACAGGGGGCGCCCCCCCCCCCUGUAGGGCGCGGCCCCCUAUCUCCUGGGCCCCCUGGUGGGCCUCCGGCGUCCAUCUUCAGCUAUAUAAUCACUCUUUCUCUGGAAAAAAAUCUAGGGCUCUGGCGGAGCUGUUCUGCCAGGGAAACUUCCCUCCAGGAGGGGGAAAUCAUCACCAACAUCAUCACCAACGAUCCUCUCAUCGGGAGGGGGUCAAUCUCCAUCAACAUCUUCACCAGCACCAUCUCCUCUCAAAACCCGAGUUCAUCUCUUGUAUCCAAUCUUGUAUCAAAACCACAAAUUGGUACCUGUGGGUUGCUAGUAGUGUUGAUUAUUCCUUGUAGUUGAUACUAAUUGGUUUACUUGGUGAAAGAUCAUAUGUUCAGAUCCUUUAUGCAUAUUAUUACUCCUCUGAUUAUGAACAUGAAUAUGCUUUGUGAGUAGUUACGUUUGUUCCUGAGGACACGGGUGAAGUCUUGCUAUUAGUAGUCAUGUGAAUUUGGUAUUCGUUCGAUAUGUUGAUGAGAUGUAUGUUGUCUUUCCUCUAGUGGUGUUAUGUGAACGUCGACUACAUGACACUUCACCAUUAUUUUGGCCUAGAGGAAGCCAUAGGGAAGUAAUAAGUAGAUGAUGGGUUGCUAGAGUGACAGAAGCUUAAACCCUAGUUUAUGCGUUGCUUCAUUAGGGGUUGCUAUGGACCCAUAUGUUUAAUGUCGUGGUUAGGUUUACCUUAAUACUCCUUUUUGUAGUUGCGGAUGCUUGCAAUAGGGGUUAAUCAUAAGUGGGAUGCUUGUCCAAGUUAGGGCAGUACCCAAGUUCCGGUCCACCCAUAUAUCAAAUUAUCAAAGUACCGAAUGCGAAUCUUACGAACGUGAUGAAACUAGCUUGACGAUAAUUCCCAAUGUGUCCUCGGGAGCUCCUUUCUCAUUAUUAGAAUUGUCCAGGCUUAUCCUUUGCUACAUAAAGGAUUGGGCCACCUUGCUGCACUUUAUUUACUUUAUUUACUUUUUGCUCGUUACUAUUUAUCUUAUCACAAAACUAUCUAUUACCUACUAUUUCAGUGCUUGCAGAGAAAACCUUACUGAAAACUGCUUAUCAUUUCCUUCUGCUCCUUGUUGGGUUCGACACUCUUAUUUAUCGAAAGGACUAUGAUAGAUCCCCUACACUUAUGGGUCAUCUGGCGCCGUUGCCGGGGAGUGUAGCGCUUUUGGUGAGUGGAACUUGGUAAGGAAACACUUAUAUAGUGUGCUGAAAUUUGUUGUUACUUGUGACUAUGGAAACUAAUUCUUUGAAGGGUUUGUUUGGGGUAUCUUCACCCCAACCAGAAGAACAAAGAGAUUCUCCUCAACCUACUGAACCUUAAGAAAAUAUUCACUUUGAGAUUCCUUCGGGUAUGAUAGAAAAACUGCUAGCUAAUCCUUUUGCAGAAGAUGGAACAUUGCAUCCCGAUUUACAUCUUAUCUUUGUGGAUGAAGUUUGUGGAUUAUUUAAGCUUGCAGGUAUCCCCGAUGAUGUUGUCAAAAGGAAGUUCUUCCCUUUAUCUUUGAAGGGAGAUGCAAUGACAUGGUAUAGGCUAUGUGAUGAUACGAGAUUUUGGAAUUAUAAACGAUUGAAGUUGGAAUUUCACCCGAAGUUCUAUCCUAUGCAUCUUGUUCAUUGUGAUCGUAAUUACAUAUAUAAUUUCUGGCCUUGCGAAGGAGAAAGCAUCGCUCAAGCUUGGGGGAGGCUUAAGUCAAUGUUAUAUUCAUGCCCCAAUCAUGAGCUCUCUCGGGAAAUGAUUAUUCAGAAUUUUUAUGCUCGGCUUUCUCUUGAUAAUCACAACCUGCUCGAUACUUCCUGUGCGGGUUCCUAUAUACUGAAGACUAUUGAUUUCAAAUGGGAUUUAUUGGAAAGAAUUAAACGCAACUCUGAAGAUUGGGGUUCCGACGAUGGUAAGGAGUCAGGUAUGACACCUAAGUUCGAUUGUGUUAAAUUUUUAUGGAUACCGAUGCUUUCCGUGGAUUUAGCUCUAAGUAUGGACUUGACUCUGAGAUAGUAGCUACUUUUUGUGAAACUUUUUCUACUCACAUUGAUCUCCCAAAAGAGAAGUGGUUUAAAUAUAAUCCUCCUGUUGAAGUGAAAUUAGUUGCACCUAUUACAGUCGAAGAAAAGACUAUUACAUAUAGUGAUCCUAUUAUUCCUACUGCUUAUGUUGAAAAACCUCCUUUUCCUGUUAGGAUAAAAGAUCAUGUUAAAGCUUCGACUGUUGUUCGUAAGAGUAAUACUAGGACUUAUACACCUCCUAAGAAAAUUAAUGUUGAACCUGGUAUUGCUAUGAUUAAAGAUCUCUUGGAUGAGGAUUUAGAUGGGCAUGUUAUCUCUUUCUUGGGUGAAACUGCUAAUAUUGCUAGACCCGAUACUAAGACACGUAGACCCGUUGUAGGCACGCCUGUUAUUUCUGUUAAAAUAGGAGAUCAUUGUUAUCAUGGCUUAUGUGAUAUGGGUGCUAGUGCUAAUGCUAUACCUUAUGAUCUUUAUAAAGAAAUUAUGCACGAUAUUGCACAUGUUGAAUUAGAAGACAUUGAUGUUACUAUUAAGCUUGCUAAUAGGGACACCAUUAAACCUAUUGGGAUUGUUAGAGAUGUUGAAGUCCUGUGUGGGAAGAUUAAAUACCCUGCUGAUUUUCUUGUUCUUGGUUCCCCACAAGAUGAUUUUUGUCCCAUUAUUUUUGGUAGACCCUUCUUGAAUACUGCUAGUGCUAAGAUUAAUUGUGAAAAGAAUAUUGUCACUAUUGGCAUAGAUGGUAUGUCUCAUGAGUUUAAUUUCGCUAAGCUUAGUAGAAAACCUCGUGAAAGGGAACCACCUAAUAAGGAUGAAAUUAUUGGUCUUGCUUCCAUUGAUGUUCCUCCAACGGAUCCGUUAGAACAAUAUUUGUUAGACCAUGAAAACAAUAUGUUUAUGAAGGAAAGGGAAGAGAUAGAUGAAGUGUUCCUUAAACAAGAACCUAUGCUAAAACAUAACCUUCAUGUUGAAAUUCUUGGGGAUCCCCCUCCACCCAAGGGUGAUCCUGUGUUCGAACUCAAACCCUUACCUGAUAAUCUCAAGUAUGCUUAUCUUGAUGAAAAAGAAAUAUAUCCUGUUAUUAUUAGUGCUAACCUUUCAAAGAAAGAAGAAGAAAGAUUAUUGAAAACUCUGAAGAAGCACCGAGAUGCUAUUGGAUAUGCUCUGGACGAUCUUAAGGGCAUUAGUCCCACAUUAUGCCAACACAAAAUUUCAGUGGAGAAAGAUGCCAAACCAGUUAGAGUUCCUCAAAGACGAUUAAAUCAUAAAAUGAAGGAAGUGGUAAGAAAGGAGAUUCUAAAACUCCUUGAGGCAGGUAUUAUUUAUCCCGUUGCCGAUAGUGAAUGGUAAGCCCUGUCCAUUGUGUCCCUAAAAAGGGAGGUAUUACCGCUCUUCCUAAUGACAAAGAUGAAUUGAUCCCGCAAAGAAUUAUUACAGGCUAUAGGAUGGUAAUUGAUUUCCGUAAGCUAAAUAAAGCUACUAAGAAAGAUCAUUACCCUUUACCUUUUAUUGAUCAAAUGCUAGAAAGGCUAUCCAAACACACACAUUUUUGCUUUCUAGAUGGUUAUUCUGGCUUCUCUCAAAUACCUGUGUCCGCGAAGGAUCAAUCUAAAACUACUUUUACUUGCCCUUUUGGUACUUUUGCUUAGAGACGUAUGCCUUUUGGUUUAUGUAAUGCACUUGCUACCUUGCAAAGAUGCAUGAUGGCUAUAUUCUCGGAUUUUUGUGAAAAGAUUUUUGAGGUAUUCAUGGAUGACUUCUCCGUCUAUGGAUCCUCUUUUGAUGAUUGUUUGAGCAACCUUGAUCGAGUUUUGCAGAGAUGUGAAGACACUAGUCUCAUACUGAAUUGGGAAAAGUGUCACUUUAUGGUUAAUGAAGGCAUUGUCUUGGGGCACAAGAUCUCCGAGAGAGGUAUUGAAGUUGAUAAAGCUAAAGUUGAUGCUAUUGAAAAUAUGCCAUGUCCCAAGGACAUAAAAGGUAUAAGAAGUUUCCUUGGUCAUGCCGGCUUUUAUUGGAGGUUCAUUAAGGACUCUUCUAAAAUCUCUAGGCCUCUGACUAAUUUAUUGCAAAAAGAUAUUCCUUUUGUCUUUGAUGAUGAUUGUGUAGAAGCAUUUGAAACACUUAAGAAAGCUUUGAUCACAGCACCUAUUGUUCAGCCAGCUGAUUGGAAUUUACAUUUUGAAAUUAUGUCCGAUGCUAGUGAUUAUGAUGUAGGUGCUGUUUUAGGGCAAAGAGUCGAUAAGAAAUUGAAUGGUAUCCAGUAUACUAGUAAGACUCUUGAUCUGCCCAGAGAAAUUAUGCUACUACUAAAAAAGAGUUCUUAGCAGUUGUGUUUGCAUGUGAUAAGUUUAGACCUUAUAUUGUUGAUUCCAAAGUUACUAUUCACACUGAUCAUGCUGCUUUAAAUAUCUUAUGGAAAAGAAAGAUGCUAAGCCUAGACUCAUUAGAUGGGUUCUCUUGCUCCAAGAAUUUGACUUGCAUAUUAUUGAUAGAAAGGGAGCUGAGAACCCCGUUGCAGACAACUUGUCUAGGUUAGAGAAUGUUCUUGAUGACCCACUGCCUAUUAAUGAUAGUUUUCCUGAUGAACAAUUAGCGGUUGUCAAUGCUUCUCGUACUGCUCCUUGGUAUGCUGAUUAUGCUAAUUACAUUGUUGCUAAAUAUAUAGCGCCUAGUUUCACAUACCAGCAAAAGAAAAAGUUCUUUCAUGAUUUAAGACAUUACUUCUGUGAUGAUCCACACCUUUAUAAAGAAGGAGUUGAUGGUAUUAUUAGAUGUUGUGUUCCUAAGCAUGAACAGGAAGAAAUCCUACGCAAGUGUCACUCUGAAUCUUAUGGAGGACACCAUGCUGGAGAUAGAACUGCACACAAGGUACUACUAUCUGGUUUUUAUUGGCCUACUCUCUUCAAAGAUGCUCGCAAGUUUGUCUUAUCCUGUGAUGAAUGUCAAAGAAUAGGUAACAUUAGUAGACGUCAAGAAAUACCUAUGAAUUAUUCUCUUGUUAUUGAACCGUUUGAUGUUUGGGGCUUUGAAUAUAUGGGACCUUUUCCUGCCUCCAAUGGUUAUACACAUAUUUUAGUUGCUAUUGAUUACGUUACUAAGUGGGUAGAAGCUAUUCCAACUAGUAGUGCUGAUCAUAACACUUCUAUUAAAAUGCUUAAAGAAGUUAUUUUUCCGAGGUUUGGAGUCCCUAGAUAUCUUAUGACUGAUGGUGGUUCACACUUUAUUCAUGGUGCUUUUUGUAAGAUGCUUGCUAAGUAUGAUGUCAAUCAUAGAAUCGCAUCUCCUUAUCACCCGCAGUCUAGUGGUCAAGUAGAGUUGAGCAAUAGAGAGCUCAAAUUAAUUUUGCAAAAGACUGUGAAUAGAUCUAGAAAGAAUUGGUCCAAAAAACUUGAUGAUGCAUUAUGGGCCUAUAGAACUGCAUAAAAAAAUCCUAUGGGUAUGUCUCCAUAUAAGAUGGUUUAUGGAAAAGCAUGUCAUUUACCUCUUGAACCUGAACAUAAAGCAUAUUGGGCUAUUAAAGAGCUCAAUUAUGACUUCAAACUUGCCGGUGAGAAGAGGUUGUUUGAUAUUAGCUCACUUGAUGAAUGGAGAACCCAAGCAUAUGCGAAUGCCAAGCUUUUCAAAGAAAAAGUCAAACGCUGGCAUGAUAAGAGGAUACAAAAGCGUGAGUUUAACGUAGGAGAUUAUGUGUUAUUAUUCAACUCUCGUUUAAGAUUUUUUGCAGGAAAACUUCUCUCAAAAUGGGAAGGUCCCUACAUUAUCGAGGAGGUUUAUCGUUCUGGUGCUAUAAAAAUCAACAACUUCGAAGGCACAAAUCCGAGGGAGGUAAACGGUCAAAGAAUUAAACAUUAUAUUUCAGGUAAUCGUAUCAAUGUUGAAACUAAUAUUAUUGAAACCAUAACCCCUGAGGACUACAUAAGAGACACUUUCCAGAACGUUCUAGACUCCGAAAAGGCAUAGGUAUGUGGUACGGUAAGUAAACCGACUCCAAAACAACUCUAAUGGCAAUUUUUAUCAGUUUUGGAUUAUUUAAGAAUUUUAGGAAGAAAGAAGUAGUCCAAAAGGGACACGAGGCUCCCACGAGAGAGGAGGCCGCGCCCCCCUGUAGGGCGCGCCCCCUGUCUCGUGGGCACCUCGUGUGCCUCCCGGACUCCGUUUUCUUGUAUGUUAAGUAUUUUGGUCGGUAAAAAUUCAUUAUAUAUACUCCCGAAGGUUUUGACCACCGUAUCAUGCAAAUAUCCUAUGUUUUCGUUUCGAGUUGUUUCCGUUGCAGAUUUAGAGCACCAUGACUUCUCCCUCCCCCAACAACGAAGACAAGGAUGCUUGGCUAUUGAAGAUAGAGUUGAAAAGAUAGGAACCAGAAGAGAUCAACAAGGAUGAAGGGAUCAAGAAAGCCAUGGAGGUUCAAGUUCCGGUGGUGAAAGAAGAAGACAUCCCUCAACCUUUACCUAACCUUUUCACUCCAACAGAGAUUAAAGCUUUCAGGAUGAUUGAGUUAGCCCGCAUACAGAACAAGUAUCUCACACAGGAGAAUAUUUUGUUGAAGGAUCAUAUUGCUGGGCUCAAGGGCAUUAUCCGUAAGUUGGAGGAGAUUUUACGCUCGAUGUGCGACUAUCCACCGUCAUCAUCACCACCUCCAUCACCUCCGAGGAAAUAAUCAUAUGGGUAUGGGCACUCCCCUUGGCAACUGCCAAGCUUGGGGGAGGUGCCUCGGUAUCGUAUCACCAUCACGCUCCUAUCUUUACUGCUUUAUUUAGUUUGAUCCUUUUAGUAGUAUCUUGAUCUAGUAGAUUGAAGUUUCAUUCCAAGUAGUUUUGAGUUUUGCAUUGUGAUCUCUUUAUGUAAGGAGUCUGUGUGCUAUCUAUAAUAAAGAUUAGUGUUAAGUCAAGGGCUUUGCUAUUUUGCUAUGAUCUUGAGAAAGUAGCUAGAAAGAACAAAAGAGUUCAUAUUGAUCUUAUGGAUAGUAAUAACUUCACACAUAGAAAGUAUGAGGCAUAAAAAUUGUUGAGAGUUGAUGAACGUAGCAUUGGUCAUCGUUGCAAUUAAAUGGAAGUGAUAACGAAAGAUGGGUUCACAUAUAAAUAUAUUAUCUUGGACAUCUUUUAUGAUUGUGAAGCACUCAUUGAGUAUGACAUGCUAAAAGAGUUGAUGUUGGACAAGGAAGACAACGUAAUGGUUUAUGUUGUCCGACAUCUCAGUUACAGUAUAUUGUCAUUGACCUUCCAAACAUUUAGAGCUUGCCUUUCCCCCUCUUGCUAGCCAAAUUCCUUGCACCAAGUAGAGAUACUACUUGUGCUUCCAAAUAUCCUCAAACCCAGUUUUGCCAUGAGAGUCCACCAUACCUACCUAUGGAUUGCGUAAGAUCCUUCAAGUAAGUUGUCAUCGGUGCAAGCAAUAAAAAUUGCUCUCUAAGUAUGUAUGACUUAUUAGUGCAGAGAAAAUAAGCUUUGUACGAACUUGUUGUGGAAGUAAUAAAAGCAACGGAUUGCAUAAUAAAGGUCCACAUACAAGGGGCAAUAUAAAGUGCGUUCUUUUGCAUUAAGAUUUCGUGCAUCAACCAUAAAUGCGCAUGACAACCUCUGCUUCCCUCUACGAAGGGCCUAUCUUUUACUGUAUGUUUUUACUUUAUGCUUGAGUCAAGGUGAUCUUCACCUUUCCUCAUGUUUGAAAGAUCAUGAUACAUAUAUCCAAUUGGAUGUAAGUUGGCAUAGGCUAUUAUUGUUGACAUCACCUAAAGGUGAAUACGUCGGGAGGCAACAUAAUAAGCCCCUAUCUUUCUCAAUGUCCGGCUGAAACUUUAUAACCAUAAGUAUUGCGUGAGUGUUAGCAAUUAUGGGAGACUACGAGAUAGUUGAGUAUGUGAGCUUGUUGAAAAGCUCUAUUAUUUACUCUUUCUGAUGUUACGAUAAAUUGCAAUUGCUUCAGUGACUGAGAUUAUAGUUUGUUAGUUCCCAAUGAAGUUUAUGAACUAUACUUGACAUUGUGAAUUGCUUAUUACUUGAGCAUAGGAAAUCAUAUGACAAACUCUAUAUAGGUUGCUGUUAUUAGAAUGAUCAUGAUGCCCUCAUGUCCGUAUUUUAUUUUUAUCGACACCUCUAUCUCUGAACAUGCGGACAUAUUUUUCGAUCUUGGCUUCCGCUUGAGGACAAGCGAGGUCUAAGCUUGGGGGAGUUGAUACGUCCAUUUUGCAUCAUGCUUUUAUAUCAAUAUUUAUUGCAUUAUGGGCUGUUAUUACACAUUAUAUCUCAAUACUUAUGGCUAUUCUCUCUUAUUUUACAAGGUUUACCAUGAAGAGGGGGAAUGCCGGCAGCUGGAAUUCUGGCUGCAAAAGGAGCAAACAUUGGAAACUUAUUCUGCACAACUCCAAAACUCCUGAAACUCCACGAAACAACUUUUUGGAUUUAUUAACAAUUUAUGAGUGAAGGCCAGGGGGCCCACACCCUGUCCAGGAGACAGGGGGGCACCCCCCCUGUAGGGCGCGGCCCCCUAUCUCCUGGGCUCCCUGGUGGGCCUCCGGCAUCCAUCUUCUGCUAUAUCAUCACUCCGUUCCCUGGAAAAACUCCGCCGCAACGAGGUGGAACCUUGGCGGAAUCAAUCUAGGGCUCUGGCGGAGCUGUUCUGCCAGGGAAACUUCCCUCCAGGAGGGCGAACUCAUCACCAACGUCAUCACCAACGAUCCUCUCAUCGGGAGGGGGUCGAUCACCAUCAACAUCUUCACCAGCACCAUCUCCUCUCAAAACCCUAGUUCAUCUCUUGUAUCCAAUCUUGUAUCAAAACCACAAAUUGGUACUUGUGGGUUGCUAGUAGUAUUGAUUACUCCAUGUAGUUGAUACUAAUUGGUUUACUUGGUGGAAUAUCAUAUGUGCAGAUCCUUUAUGCAUAUUAUUACUCCUCUAAUUAUGAACAUGAAUAUGCUUUGUGAGUAGUUACGUUUGUUCCUGAGGACAUGGGUGAAGUCUUGCUAUUAGUAGUCAUGUGAAUUUGGUAUUCGUUCGAUAUUUUGAUGAGAUGUAUGUUGUCUUUCCUCUAGUGGUGUUAUGUGAAUGUCGACUACAUGACACUUCACCAUUAUUUGGGCCUAGAGGAAGGCAUAGGGAAGUAAUAAGUAGAUGAUGGGUUGCUAGAGUGAGAGAAGCUUAAGCCCUAGUUUAUGCGUUGCUUCGAUAGGGGUUGAUAUGGACCCAUAUGUUUGAUGUUGUGGUUAGUGAGGGAGUCUUGGAUAAGGGGGUAUCCAGACAGCCGGACUAUAUUCAUCAUCCAGACUAUAGAAGCGUCAAGAUACAAGACUCAAGACUUCAGCUCGUGCCCGGAUGGGACUCUCCUUUGCAUGGAAGACAAGCUUGGCGAUCCGGAUAUUAUGUUUCCUUCCUUGUAACCGACUCCAUGUAAACCCUAGCUCUUCGGUGUCUAUAUAAACCAGAUAGGAUGGUCCUUAGAAGUCCGAUCACAAUUACAAUCAUACCAUGAUAGGCUAGCUCUUAGGGUUUAGCUUCUACGAUCUCAUGGUAGAUGUACUCUUGUACUACUCAUAUCUUCAAUAUUAAUCAAGCAGGAAGUAGGGUUUUACCUCCAUCGAGAGGGCCCGAACUUGGGUAAACAUUGUGUCCCUUGCUUCCUAUUACCAUCAGCCUAAGAAGCAUAGAUCGGGACCCCCUACCCGAGAUCAGCCGGUUUUGACACCGACAUUGGUGCUUUCAUCGAGAGUUCCUCUGUGUCGCCACUGCAAAGGCUCGAUGGCUUGUCUCAUUGUCAAGGACGACAUCACUUCUGGGGGAGCACUGGCUGUAGGCCAGACUCUCCGGCUUGGCAGCUUCAUUAUGACCGCCCCAUUGGCUGUCGCGCCGACGAUGGCCUCUCAGGUCAUCACACAUAACCUUCACGUCAAUUCGGAGCUUGCCGAACAGAUGGAUCCGAUAGAACUCUCCUCUCUUAACGAGCUCUUGGAUCACAUCGCCGCUUUGGGAGUCACUACGGACUACGACCGGAUUGGGAUUAAACCCGACCAGAGGGACAUUAGAUCCCCGCCGGCCACCCAUGAGAUAGCGGUAGUGGAGGAACCACACGUGGGUCGCCCCUCGACUUUGAGAACGAAUUAUGUCUGGAUCACUGAACUCAGUGAGCCAAACACCCACUCAAAGGAAGACAUGACCCAGGUCCCGGACUUAGAAUCGGGCAUUGGGCCAAAGGGAUUAGGUAAUACUCCAGAUCCCGAACUGUCAGGCUCGGUACUUCCCGUGCCCCCAGGCAUCAGAUCUGACCAGAAUCCGGAUUUAGCCAAUGAUGCCCGCUCGGACUUAAACCGUCUCUUCCGUACCAGGCAGGAGCCCCAGGAGACGGUACACCGUUACUGUGCCAGAUUCCUCCUUGCUCUAAAUAAGGUUAAGGACUGCCACAAGGAGGACGUAGUCUCUCUUUUCUGCAGAAACUGCACGAACAGAGGACUCCUUAAUGUUAUAAGUCGACGUGACAUAGUGCACUUUACGGACUUGGCAACCAUAGUACAGAAGUAUUGUGCGAUGGAAACUGCCUGCAAGACCCAAACCGAAUUUUGGGAUAGUACAGCCUUCACCAGAACCUUUGUCCGAACUAAACGUCUGAACUCUCGUAAGUCGACCAACUCAAUUCCCAAGAAACCAAAACCCGCCCCAGGGCGCGGAACCGUAUUGGAAGAAUGGCUCAACGGGCCAUGUAAGCUUCACAGCACGCCGGAUGCAGCGCCGACCCAUAGCCUUAGAGCAUGUUGGAUACUCCGGCAGGUAGCUAAGAGUGGCGAGGAUCUCCUCGAGAACCAUAAACCAGAACCACAUCCCGCCAAGGAACACAAUACGGUACUGGUGGUCUUCGAGACCUUCGCCUCAAACAAUAUGCGCAAGCAAGUGCAUCGAAGCUCCACUGAAAUUUGCCAUGUGGCAAAAAUAAAUCUGUGGAACGACACUGCUAUAACCUUCAAUGCCAGUGACGAACCCCAAUUCCAGUCCGUCUGGGCGCCGGCCGCUCUAGUCCUCAGCCCAAUAGUGGACGGCUUUCGGCUCACUAAAGUACUCAUGGACGGUGGAAGCGGAUUAAACCUAAUCUACGAAGAAACACUCAAGAAGAUGGAGAUUGUCAAAAGCCGCAUUGAACAAAGUGGCACAACCUUCAGGGGAAUUAUCCCAAGUCGGGAGGCACGGUGUGCGGGAAAAAUCACACUCGAUGUGGUAUUCGGCACCCCAGAGAAUUACAGGUCCGAAGAAAUCACCUUCUAAGUGGCUCCUUUCAACAGCGGAUACCACACCCUUCGAGGGCGGGACGCGCUUGCAUGCUUUCAAGCCAUACCCCAUUAUGGGUACAUGAAGCUCAAAAUGCCCGGACCCAAUGGAAUUAUCACUCUAGCUAGUGAUCCGGACGUCGCACUCCGUGCCGAAAACAAAACCGCGGCACUAGCGUUGGAAGCACUAUCCGAAGCCCUAGCGGCAGAAGAAUUAACAACGUUGUGCGCCACCGUGGACAGGGACGACGUGAUACUCGACAAGCGACCCAAGUCCACCUCAUUUAAACCCACAGAUGAGAUAGUCAAAUUCCAAGUCCACCCAACCGACCCCACGAAGACAGCUUCCAUCGGGACAUAGUUGAACCCCGCUAUGGACGCCGCACUGCGCGACUUCUUACGUGAGAAUUGGGAUGUCUUCGCCUGGCACCCAUCAGACAUGUCGGGCAUCCCACGCAAAUUGGCCGAACACAGCCUCAACAUACUAAAGGGAUACAAACCUGUUAAACAGACCCUAAGGCGAUUUGUGGAACCCAAACGGCAAGCCAUGGGGGAGGAGCUAGCCAAGCUACUUGAGGCUGGAUUCAUCAAAGAUAUCAAACAUCCGGAUUGGCUGGCGAACUUGGUAAUGGUACCAAAGAAGGACAAAUCCUGGCGCCUGUGCGUCGACUUCAAAUACCUUAACAAGGCUUGCCCCAAGGAUCCCUUUCCCCUCCCCUGCAUUGAUCAAAUCAUCGAUGCCACAGCUGGACACGACUCGUUGUGUUUCCUCGACGCAUACUCUGGAUACCAUCAAAUAAAGAUGGCAGAGUCCGACCAAGAUGCAACAAAUUUCAUAACGCCAUAUGGCCCUUUCUGCUUCAACACUAUGCCUUUCAGUCUUAAGAAUGACGGAGCAACCUAUCAACACAUGAUUCAAACAUGCUUGGAAAAGCAAAUCGACAAAACAGUGCAGUCAUACAUGGACGACGUAGUCAUAAAAACAAGACACGUUGAAACCCUAAUAGAUGACUUGAGGCUUACGUUCGACAACCUACAAACAUAUGACAUCAAGCUGAAUCUGGAGAAAUGCAUUUUUGGCGUCCCCUCUAGAAAACUGUUGGGCUUCAUCGUUUCCAAUAGAGGAAUUGAAGCUAAUCCGGCAAAAAUCCGAGCUUUGUCGCAGUUGGCUAUACCAACAGACCUCAAACAUAUCCAGAAACUAGUUGGAUGUGUGGCUGCUUUAAGCCGCUUUAUCUCCAGGUUAGGAGAAAAAGCAUUGCCUCUUUACCGCCUUCUUUGGCGUACCGAACACUUCGUGUGGACGGAUGCAGCCGCGGCCGGACUCGAUGAAAUAAAGACCUUGUUGGCCAAUAAUCCAGUCCUAACAGCGCCAAAUAUUGGCGAACCUAUGCUGCUGUACAUAGCUGCAACACACCAAGUUGUAAGCACAAUACUCGUUGUCGAGCGAGAGGUUGACGGAUACAAAUUCCCGCUACAAAAGCCGGGUUAUUACGUAUCCACGGUCCUCACCCGAUGCAAAUCCCGAUACCCACACUAUCAAAAAAUAGCAUACGCGGUCUUCAUGUCAUCUCGAAAGCUACGACACUACUUUCAAGAGUGUUCGAUUAUGGUGGCCUCCGAAGUACCACUAAACAAUAUAAUAAAUAACUGCGAUGCCACGGGCCAGAUCGCUAAAUGGGCCAUCGAGCUCCUUCCAUUUGACAUAACAUACAAGCCUUGGCGGUCUAUGAAGUCGCAAGUAUUAGCCGACUUCGUCGCCGAAUGGACGGAAGCCGAACUGCCUAAAGAGUACGGCGCAUACUCUAACUGGAUCAUGCACUUUGACGGCUCUAAAAUGCUGGCCGGAUUGGGAGCAUGCGUAGUCCUGACUUCUCCCAUCGGAGACACGGUCCAAUACGUCCUCCAAAUAUUAUACACAGAUUCCAACAAUGCAGCCGAAUAUGAGGCUCUGUUGCACGGUCUCCGGAUGGCAGUCUCUAUGGGCAUUCAACGCCUAGAAGUGCGCGGGGAUUCAAACCUCGCAAUAUCACAAAUAAAUGGAGACUUUGAUGCCAAGGAUCCGAAAAUGGCAGCCUAUCGCAAUGUCGUCCUUAAAAUGUCAGCUCGGUUUGAGGGGCUCGAAUUCCACCAUGUGGCUCGAGAAAACAAUCAAGCGGCAGAUGUCCUUGCCCGCAUCGGCGCUAAACACGACCCCGUCCCACCUAACGUAUUCCUGGAAAGGCUGUUCAAGCCAUCCAUGGUAUGGGAAGGGGAGUCCGGCAAUACCAGCACGGAUCCGAAUACAUCCCCAGAUUCCGAACUAUCAGACAUAAUCGGAGGUUCUACCACCGAAAUAACAUCGUCAGCCCACGAAAUAAUGGCUGUCAUCGCCCCGUGGACUAAGACUUUCUUAGCCUACCUAAGUAGGCAGGAGCUCACUGAAGACCAAAAUGAAGCACGCUGCAUUGUCCAGCGUUCUAAACCUUACAAAGUCCAUGAAGGGGAACUCUAUAAGAAAAGUGUCACCGGAGUGCUCCAAAGGUGCAUCUCCGAAUAGGAAGGGCGGCAGCUCUUGGCUGAAAUCCAUGUCGGACUAGGCGGUCGCCAUGCUGCGGCUCGAGCAUUAGUCAGCAAGGCCUUCCGUACAGGUUUCUAUUGGCCCACAGCUCGAGCAGACACACAAGACCUUGUCCAACACUGCGUAGGUUGCCAGUUGUUUGCCAAUCAGAGUCAUAUGCCCCCUACCGCUCUCCAAACAAUCCCCAUAACUUGGCCCUUCGUGGUCUGGGGGUUGGAUAUGGUUGGACCCCUUAAAGGGGGAAGCCAUAAGAAAAAAUACUUAUUGGUCAUGGUUGACAAGUUCACCAAAUGGAUAGAAGCCAAACCAGUGAAAACGGCCGAGUCCGGACUAGUAAUAGACUUUAUAUCCGGGUCAUACACCGAUACGGUGUCCCCCACAGCAUCAUCACCGAUAAUGGCUCAAAUUUCACGGCCGAUGAGGUGAAAUCUUAGUGCGGCAAAAUGGGCAUUAAGCUCGGCUAUGCUUCCGUCUACCAUCCUCAAACAAAUGGCCAGGUCGAACGGGCAAACGGUCUUAUCAUGAGCGGCAUCAAACCCAGACUAGUGUGAUCCUUGACAGAGUCCAAUACUCGGUCGGUCGAGGAGCUCGACUCCGUACUCUGGGGGCUGCGGACCACGCCGAAUCGCACCACCGGAUAUACACCAUUUUUAUGGUGUACGGCGCGGAAGCAAUACUACCAUGCGACAUAAUACAUGAUUCGCCACGCGUACGCAUGUACGAAGAGAAGGAAGCCGAGUUAGAUCGCCAGGAUAAUUUGGAUGCCCUAGAGGAGGAGCGCGAUGUCACUAAGGCCCGUUCCGCAUUCUAUCAGCAACAGGCUCGACGAUACCAAAACAGAGAAGUGUGGGCCAAAACUUAUAAUAUUCGUGAACUCGUUCUACGCUUACCGGAGAAGAAGAAGGACAAGCUCAAACCCAAGUGGGAAUUCCCCUUCAUCAUCAACCGGAGGAGCAUACCACUUACUAAUGCUUCUGGACUCGAGCCGAACCCAUGGAACGCGGCCAGACUCCGGAGAUUCUACGCCUAGCACCGAACUCAGUGUUCGUCUCCUUAACCCUCCUUUUUCAAUUAUGCUCCCCCCCUUUUCCUUUCUCGAUCUUUUUCUUUUCACACACAAUAUUUAAUAUAGUACGGACUACCGGAUUACUCCGGCCGCACUAUGUGUGUAAAUUUUACCUGGGGGCUUCCUAUACGGAAGCUAAAUAUCAAUUACUUUCAGGGCUUUUUGCCCGUCGCACAUGCAUUUCUUUUUCCAUGGGUGCCUUUUCUUCACCAUUAUAUGCAUCGAUAUGACUUAAGACGUGGCCAAGAUGGGUUGCCUGGCUCCUAUGUUUAUGCCCUACAUUCCCAUUAAUUCGGUUAGGGCAUAAGGGGAGCACCUCUGCGAUUGUUACUGCCGGUUGAGCCGGAUGUGUACCUCAGACUGGGUGAAGCGGAAAGCUAGUUUCCUUAAGAGAAUAUUCGGUCGGUGAACAAAAGAUGUGUUCGUUUAUUAUAACAUUAAUACCCAAAAGUUUUGUAUCCUGCGCUUUGGUUCGUAGUCCGGACAUGUGCCUUGACACAUGCUUACCCAGGGAAAGGAACCUUAACGGAACUAUUCUCCCUGGAAGAUAUUUCUUACUAACCAUGUAAUAUAACAUAACUAGUUGGGUACUUGUCUGUUCAAGCACUUAUGACCCCUACGCGCAUACUCCGGUUUUGUAUAACCGAGCGGGUAUUCGGACACACCCCGGACAUUAGGAUCCGGGGGCUGAAGCGAAAAGGUCCGCCAUGACAAAUGAUUUUAAUCCGGCUAGGGGCUACUUAUGUCCAUCGAAUUACACAGUCAUUUGGACUGAUUAUAUUCAUCCUCUAUACCAUCCAACAGGCUAUCUAGCUUACAAUCCUGUUGAGAAUACUUUGUGGCUAACGCCACCUGGUCAUAUACUAGACUCACGGGAAUUUCUUCCCCAUCUAGCCCGGCCGGUCCAACUUCGGCCAUAUGGUCCGGGUCCAGCUUGGUGUAGCGCGUCUUCACCAUCGCCCAUGCUUCUCUUGCACCUUGCCGGCAGGCUGAUAUCUUUCACAAACGGAAGCACUGUCGUGCCCCUUGACGCAUGUACACAAGCCCCCCCCCAUGCCAUUUGGCAGGGAGCUUGAUGGCCACAGAGACUGCGCAAUGCCCUGCAUCACCUGCCGAGCUCUCUCGUGCAGUUAGGAGAGGUCCUGUAGUACAUCACCUGAAGAAGCGGGCAUCUCCUCCUCAGGGCGACCCGUCAGCUUUCCUGCAAACAUAACUUUUUCAAUAUACUUCCUCACCGAACUAUGCUAUAGUUCGUUUAGGCACUUACGAUAAAUGUCGCGGCGAAGCCUUCUGUUCUCCUUCACGGAGUCUUCCAGAUGCGUGCGGACGUCCUUCAAUUCCACGUCUAGCCGAACCUUGGCAUCUUGGAGCAUAAUCUUAUCAUCUUUCACUUGCGUAAGAAUGCGCUCACCGGCCUUUAGUUGCCUCUGGAGAUGCGACUCGUCAUCCCCGCCGCCCUCCGGAUUUACUCCGGGGUUGUCUACAGAACUUUCUGUUAAAUUUGGCAUACCAGCCAGUUGCCAACUAGUGCACUUUCAUAUAAUUCAGAUAAAUGUUACCAUAUGAGGCCUUCUGGGAUUCCUCUAGCUUGGCAACUGUGGCCCUCAGUUGAGUCUUGCACUCCUCUAGCUCCCGAGACAAUUGCUCAUUUUUAUCUACAAGAACCUGUGCAUGAAUUGAUACUUAAAACUACUGUUUCAACCGUUUCAAGUCUCAGGGGCUACUGCUAUAUAUAUGCUCAUCAAAUUUUCUUACCCAUAUAUCUUUGGUAUACUGGACUGUUGCCCGAGCGAGUCCGCUUUGAGCAGCUCGGAUGUAUGCGUCUCCCGAAUUGAAAGCAUUAAAUGCCUCUUCGGAAAAGAUGUUGUUGCGAAGCACGGCCCGUCGACGCCGAUGAUGCAUGGCGCUCUCUACUUCCGAAUUUGUGGCAGAGAGAAUGUAUGCGUCCUCUGUCGGAGGACUAUGCGGUGUCGGCCCUACGUCCGCCUCCUCUCUCGAAGUUGGUCUUGGAUCCCGACUGGUGGAGGCGUGGUUGGCAGGAUCUCCGGAUACAGUUUGGAUAAUCCUCUUCCUGCCAAGAUGUAAAAAGGGCACUGUUAGACUUCAAAUGACAACAAAUUACAUGAUAGGUUGUUUUCUUACCUCUGUAGAGGCGUGUCGGUUCUAAUUGCUUUCCUCUUGAGCCUACCCAAUCCGUACGCCUGUGGCUGACGGGUCCCUAGGGGCUAAGCCCUAUGCUCCGAACGUCGCUUCUGCAAAAGCACGACCUAUUAGGGAUAAGAUGUGGUAUCAGGAAAGAAUCCUCUUCGAAGGAUCGAGUUUUCGGCUUGACUUACACGCGACCAAGGUAACAGUCCGGGAUAAUUAGUGGUGAUAGCCACUGGGGCGCCGUCACGGCUCGCCCGAUAAAAUAUCCCGUCGACAAGAUCCACGGCCACAUCUGGGUCUUCUUCGAGUCCCGGAUCCAGGGCCCUUUCGGGGUCCUCAGGCUGCGGGGAAGGGCUGGAGAUUCCUUCCACAUCCCUCCUCAAUUCCUGCUCGGAAAUAUCGAUGCAGAUAACUUUAGCAAAGAACGCCAUAAUAAGUGGAGCAAGGAAAUAAAUGACGGCUUACCCAGUUAGGGGGAUUAUACAUGGAGAAUCUGUCCCGCAGUUUGAUAUGGAGGAAGUCUUCCUCUUCUCCUUUGUAUAGGUCGGACAGUAUCCUUGCCAGAAAGGUGGGGGAGUCCGAACCCUUAUGGCCACAAUGGGUGGCGUCAUCUGUCCCGUUGAAGUGCCACAUGGGAUUGCUCUGAUAUUGAAGCGGUUGCACUCCCCGCAUUAUGCAUAUUGCCAUCACCUCGACUAUUGUCAGUCCGGAUUUGGCUAGUAACUUUAUCCUGCUCAUCAAGAAAUGUACUUCCUUGGAAUCCUCUUCUUGGAGGCCUCGGGGGCACCAGCUUAGAUGUACCCUCGGCGGGGUGUUACUGAACUUGGGGAGUCCUGUCCGGACUGGAUCCGAAAGGGGAGCGUCGUCAAUAUAAAACCACUCUGAAGCCCAGUCAUCUGGUGCCUUCUUGGGAGUACCGGAUAGCUAUCCGGUCUUAGCGAUACGCCAUACUUCGGCCCUGCCCACUUGACAUAGGGAUUCUCCCUGGUUGCGGGGGACAAGGCAGAACAGUUUCUUCCACAAUCCGAAAUGAGCCUCGCAGCCUAGAAAUAAUUCACAAAGGGCGACGUACCCUGCUAUAUGCAGUAUGGAGGCUGGUGUAAGAUUGUGCAACUGGAGGCCGUAGAAGUCAAGAAGCCCACGAAGGAACAGGUGAAUAGGAAACACGACACCCCUUAGAAGAUGCGGAAUUAGGCAUAUUCGCUCCUCUAGAGAUGGAUUGAGGAAUCUCUCCACCUGUUCUCCGCCGUUAUAGGUUGCCACUCCGGCUCGAACGGGGACCAUGAACGCCGGCGGGAGGAGCCCUUGGGUUUGUAACUUUAUCAAACGACUAUGAGGGACUGAACACUCUCCCCAGUCCCCCGGCUUGGGGCAAGGGGAGCGAGCAGAAGAGCUGCGAUGACCGGCCAUGUUGGAAUGAUUUUUUCUGGCCGCUCUGUUGGAUGCUUGCUCGAGGAGGGAGAGUGGGGUUUGGAUCUUAGGAUCCUCCGUCUCUUCAAAUAGAAGGCUAGCCCGAAGGAACGACGGUGGCAAAUGCAAAAAUGCCUCAACUCCUCGCAUUCACUCGACACGUGGAAAUGGUCAUUAUUGAAGCACUGAAGCCGAGGAGUAAAACAUUGAUGAAGAUGCUGACACUGUUCGUCAUGAUGGGAUCAUUGGAGUAUUCGGAGGAAGGAACCCGCCUUGCAAUGACGAAGACAAGACUGCGCGUCGGACUCAUCGUCAUUGAAGCCUGGUUCAGGGGAUACUGAGGGAGUCCUGUAUAAGGGGGUAUCCGGAAAGCCGGACUAUAUUCAUCGUCCGGGCUAUAGAAGCGUCAAGAUACAAGACUCAAGACUUCGGCUCGUGUCCGGUGGGACUCUCCUUUGCGUGGAAGACAAGCUUGGCGAUCUGGAUAUUAUGUUUCCUUCCUUGUAACCGACUCCAUGUAAACUCUAGCUCUCUAGUGUCUAUAUAAACCGGAGAGGAUGGUCCUUAGAAGGCCGAUCACAAUUACAAUCAUACCAUCAUAGGCUAGCUCUUAGGGUUUAGCCUCUACGAUCUCGUGGUAGAUCUACUCCUGUACUACUCAUAUCUUCAAUAUUAAUCAAGUAGGAAGUAGGGUUUUACCUCCAUCGAGAGGGCCUGAACCUGGGUAAACAUUGUGUCCCUUGCUUCCUGUUACCAUCAGCCUAAGACGCACAGAUCGGGACCCCCUACCCGAGAUCCGCCGGUUUUGACACCGACAGUUAGGUUUACCUUAAUACUCCUUUUUGUAGUUGUGGAUGCUUGCAAUAGGGGUUAAUCAUAAGUGGGAUGCUUGUCCAAGUUAGGGCAGUGCCCAAGUGCUGGUCCACUCACAUAUCAAAUUAUCAAAGUACCGAAUGCGAAUCUUACGAACGUGUUGAAACUAGCUUGACGAUAAUUCCCAAUGUGUCCUCGGGAGCUUCUUUCUCAUUAUUAGAAUUGUCCUAGCUUAUCCUUUGCUACAUAAAGGAUUGGGCCACCUUGCUGCACUUUAUUUACUUUAUUUACUUUUUGCUUGUUACUAUUUAUCUUAUCACAAAAUUAUCUAUCACCUACUAUUUCAGUGCUUGCAGAGAAAACCUUAUUGAAAACCGCUUAACAUUUCCUUCAGCUCCUUGUUGGGUUCGACACUCUUAUUUAUCGAAAGGACUACGAUAGAUCCCCUGCACUUGUGGGUCAUCACCUGACAAUGUAAAUAUUGAUUUCAUGGAGGUGGACGAACACAGAUACGAGUACGGGAAGCCUCUCGUCAAAGAUGAAAAAUCUCUAACAACGAUGAUGCGAAGAUUCCAUAAUUGGUACAUGAAAACCUGCAGAGAGUCUGGGUGGAUGAAUACUUUGUAUCUAAGAAUUAAAGAGGAGCACGACCUCGUUGGAAUUGAUUUGUUGCCUGUUCCAUUUGAGGAGUUCUUCGAGUUCUUCAAUCAAAAGGCCCUCGAUAAAUUAAGGGUCUUUUACUACUGUCUGUAAGUACUAUUUCUGUCAUUAAGUCUCUAUAUAUAGCUCAGCUCUUUCAUUGCAUGUAUUUAUAAUUAAUUAUCCUCACUAUAUUAUGCAGAUUGAAGAUCGUCGAGUGCAGAAAACAAGAAAUGUAUGAUAUUGGGUUCAUUAACACAAAUAUCAUAGAUGAAUUUCAGGUUAAAAAGCACGCCGAAGAGGCCGAGGCCAACUUGCUACAAUCGUUGAUCAAAAAUCAAAACAAAGAUUUAAUACUCUUUCCUUACAACUUCAAGUGAGUGCUACUGUCGUGUGCAUAUUCGGUUUCCCUUAUUACUCGAGCGAGGUUAUAGUAAUGUAAUUGAUGAGUUAUGCAUGCGUGCGUAGCUUCCACUAUGUUCUUCUGGAGGUUAAGCUUGAGCGGGGACUAGUAACCGUCUUAGACUCGAGACGAAAAGAUCCCGAAACCUAUGCGGACAUGACUAAAUUGCUCAACAAGUAAGUUCAAUCGAUCAUUAUCGCACCAUAUCGGCAACUUUUUGUUCAUUUCCUGAUAUCUCAAGUAAUAAUAAUUAUUUUCUUUGUCUUGCAGGGUUUGGAAACAGUUCACCGCAGAAGCUCCGGGACUGCCGAAGGAGCUGCCAUAUACAUACCCAAACGUAAGUACUACUGGCUAGCUAGUUGCGCGCAUCUCCCGUUGAUUCUAUAGCUAUACUUUCAUCAAUGCCAUUUAUAUUGCUUCAUUAUCAGUUUGAUUGACCUCUAUUUCUCGUAAAGUGCUUGUGGCAGGAACAAGGGAAUAAUUUAUGUGGAUACUACGUGUGCGAGUUCAUCUACAACGCAGCUUUGAAAAAUAAGCGGGGCUACUCUAAAAGACAAUAUGAAGUGCGUAAGCAAUAAUAUUCACAAUUUCAUUUUAUUACACCAUCAUUUCUAUUGAGUUUCAUUCAUAUAUAUGUAUUAACCCCCUUCUUCAAAUUAGACGUGGCAGAUGCGGGAUGAACUCCUAGAACAAGAUUGCAUGAAAGCAAUUCAAGAGGAAUUGGCGGGAUUCUUUCUUGACCACGUCAUCAAUAAAGUCGGAGAAUACCAUGUGGAAGUUGAUUUCAAUUGCUAGGGGAUUGUAAGAGAUCUUACAUAUUGUAUAUGUAUGUAGCCAGUAGCAUCGGCUAGAUAAUACGAAAACUUGUUGUUUGACCAAUCUCUCGGGGAAGGAGAGGUCGAUCGAUCACUUCUCUUGGUAUGCAUGACGAACUUCUGUACUUAAUGGUUCCCUUCAUUUUCUUACUAGCUAGCGUGUCGAGGGCCUCUCUAUGUACAGUACGUAGCGUCGACCAAGCACGGAUAUAAGAGAGGACACUUCUCUCUAUUAAUUAGCUAGCUAACACAAUAUAUGAAACACCUUAAUUAACCNNNNNNNNNNNNNNNNNNNNNNNNNNNNNNNNNNNNNNNNNNNNNNNNNNNNNNNNNNNNNNNNNNNNNNNNNNNNNNNNNNNNNNNNNNNNNNNNNNNNNNNNNNNNNNNNNNNNNNNNNNNNNNNNNNNNNNNNNNNNNNNNNNNNNNNNNNNNNNNNNNNNNNNNNNNNNNNNNNNNNNNNNNNNNNNNNNNNNNNNNNNNNNNNNNNNNNNNNNNNNNNNNNNNNNNNNNNNNNNNNNNNNNNNNNNNNNNNNNNNNNNNNNNNNNNNNNNNNNNNNNNNNNNNNNNNNNNNNNNNNNNNNNNNNNNNNNNNNNNNNNNNNNNNNNNNNNNNNNNNNNNNNNNNNNNNNNNNNNNNNNNNNNNNNNNNNNNNNNNNNNNNNNACCCCAGCCACUGAAAUGCUGACGCGUGGAUGCCUUUUGGUCCCGGUUGGUGCCACCAACCGGGACCAAAGGCCCUCCUGCCUGGUCUCGGCGCACCGGCCACGUGGAGGCCCAUCUGUCCCGGUUCGUGUUAGAACCGGGACUAAAGGUCUAGGGCAUUAGUAACGACCCUUUAGUCCCGGUUCAAGAACCGGGACAAAAGGCCCUCAUCAACCGGGACUAAUAGGGGUUUUUCUACUAGUGCUACCUCCAUAUCUCAAAACAAUUAUCAAGUAUCAAAUUGAUCAUAGCAUCCAAUUCACUUCCUAUGAUAGUUUUUAUUAUACUGAACUUGGAUGCCUACCAUUCUAGGACCAAUUUUAUAAGCAUAGCAAAUACCAUGUUGUUCUAAGAGACUCUCAAAAUAAUAUAAGUGAAGCAUGAGAGACUAGCAAUUUCUACAAAAUUAAGCCACCAUCAUGCUCUAAAAGAUAUAAGUGAAGCACUAGAGCAAAAAUUAUCUAGCUCAAAUGAUAUAAGUGAAGCACAUAGAGUAUUAUAAUAAAUUUCAAUCAAGUGGGAUUCUCCCAAAAGGUGUGUACAGCAAGGAUGAUUGUGUAAAACUAAAAAGAAAAUACUAAUAUCAUACACGAUGCUCCAAGCAAAACACAUAUCAUGUGGCAAAUAAAAAUAUAGCUCCAAGUAAAGUUACCAAUGAACGAAGAAGAAAGAGGGGAUGCCUUCCGGGGGCAUCCCCAAGCUUAGGCUUUUGGCUAUUCUUGAAUAUCUUGGGGUGCCAUGGGAAUCCCCAAGCUUAGGCUCUUGCCACUCUUUAUUCCAUAGUCCUUCAAAUCUUUACCCAAAACUUGAAAACUUCACAACACAAAACUCAACAGGAAAUCUCAUAAGCUCCGUUAGUGAAAGAAAGCAAAACCACCACAUAAGGUACUGUAAUGAACUCAUUAUUUAUUUAUUUUGGUGUUAAACGAACUGUAUUCCAAGUUCUCUAUGUUUCAUACCACUUAAUACUAGCCAUAGAUGCAUCAAAAUAAGCAAACAACACACGAAAAACAGAAUCUGUCAAAAACAGAACAGUCUGUAGCAAUCUGUAACUAACGCAAACUUCUGGAGCUCUAAAAAUCCUACCAAAAUAGGAAGUCCUGGAUAAUUUGCCUAUUGAUUAGCAGCAAAAAGAAUUAACGCAAAAUCACGUUUCUGUGAUUUAACAAAACUAAUUUCGUGCCCGCAAAGUUUCUGUUUUUCAGCAGAAUUAAAUCACCUAUCACCACAGGUUAUCCUAUAGGUUCUACUUGGCACAAACACUAAUUAAAACAUAAAAACACAUCUAAACAGAAGAUAUAUGUAAAAUUCAUUACUAAACACAAACAAAAACACAAAACACAAAUAAAAUUGGGUUGCCUCCCAACUAACGCUAUCGUUUAACGCCCCUAGCUAGGCAUAAAAGCGAAGAUAGAUCUAAGUAGUGCCAUCUUUGGCACUCGGAAAGGAAAAGGAGGAUCUCCUUUCUAUGGAAUUCAUUCUUCUAUUUAGGGUAAGCACAUUGCCAUUAAUGGAUGAAGUAAGAUUAAGCACGUUACGGAAAUUUGCAUCUAAACUAGACUUCAUCUCUUUGAUAAUUUCAUUUUGAUAAAAGCACACGAGAGUAGUUGAUUCAACCUUAUCAUUCAUAGGGUGCCCAAAUAUGGUUUUCAUUUUUUCAUAGGUAUGUAUUGCAUCCCCUUUAAGAAAACCUUCUUCAAAAAUAGAAUCUAGAACUUGCUUGAAAGAAGCGGGUAAGCCAACAUAAAAACUUUUUAAACUUCAAUUUGAUAUUGUGGCACAUAGCUAGCCUGAAUCUUUAAUAACCUAUCCCAAGCAUCUUUUAAAGACUCGUCAAGCAAAUAGCGAAAAAUUCCAGAGUCAUCUUCAUCAAAAUUAUUUAAGCUCUCAUUGGUGACCCCGGUGGGUCUUUCCAUAGCAUCAUUAUUUAUGAGCUUAGAAAGGAUAGAGGGGUUAUCCAAGGUACUAGAACCCUGGAAGAGACCCUUGGUGAUCUUAGAUUCGGCCAUGGCAACGGAAAGGCAAACGGAAAAGAGAGGAGAUUGGGAAAGAGAGGGAAAAUAAAACGGCAAGGGUGAAGUGGGGGAGAGGAAAACCGAGAGGUAAAUGGCAAAUAAUGAAAAUGUGAGGGAGAUGAGUUUGUGAUGGGUACUUGGUAUGUCUUGACUUGAGCGAAGACCUCCCCGGCAACGGCGCCAGAAAUCCUUCUUGCUACGUCUUGAGCUUGCGUUGGUUUUCCUUGAAGAGGAAAGAGUGAUGCAGCAAUAGUAGCAUAAGUAUUUCCCUCAGUUUUUGAGAACCAAGGUAUCAAUCCAGUAGGAGGCUCCUCAAAAGUCCCACGCACUGAUGUCUACUACACAACCUUCUUCUUGUAGACGUUGUUCGGCCUACAAGUGCACAAGUUUGUAGGACAGUAGCAAAUUUCCCCCAAGUGGAUGAACUAAGGUUUAUCAAUCCGUCGGAGGCGUAGUAUGAAGAUGGUCUCUCUCAAACAACCCUGGAACCAAAUAACAAAGAGUCUCUUGUGUCCCCAACACACCCAAUACAAUGGUAAAUUGAAUAGGUGCACUAGUUCGGCGAAGAGAUGGUGAUACAAGUGCAAUAUGGAUAGUAGAUAUAGGUUUUUGUAAUAUGAAAUUAUAAAAACAGCAAGGUAACAGGUGGUAAAAGUGAGUGUAAAUGGUAUUGCAAUGGUAGGAAACAAGGCAUAAGGUUCAUACUUCCACUAGUGCAAGUUCUCUCAACAAUAAUAACAUAGAUAGAAUAUAUAACAAUCCCUCAACAUGCAACAAAGAGUCACUCCAAAGAUACUAAUAGAGGAGAACAAACGAAGAGUUUAUGGUAGGGUACGGAACCACUUCAAAGUUAUCCUUUCUGUUCUAUCUAUUCAAGAGUUCGUAGUAAAAUAACAUGAAGCUAUUCUUUCCGCUCAAUCUAUCAUAGAGUUCAUACUAGAAUAACACCUCAAGACACAAAUCAACAAAAACCCUAAUGUCACCUAGAUACUCCAUUGUCACCUCAAGUAUCCAUGGGCAUGAUUAUACGAUAUGCAUCACACAAUCUCAGAUUCAUCUAUUCAACCAACACAAAGUACUUCAAAGAGUGCCCCAAAGUUUCUACCGGAGAGUCAAGAUGAAAACGUGCGCCAACCCCUAUGCAUAGGUUCAUGGGCGGAACCCGCAAGUUGGUCAACAAAACAUACAUCAAGUGGCACAUGAUAUCCCAUUGUCACCACAGAUAAGCAAGGCAAGACAUACAUCAAGUGUUCUCAAAUCAUAAAAGACUCAAUCAGAUAAGAUAACUUCAAAGGGGAAAACUCAAUCCAUUACAAGAGAGUAGAGGGGGAGAAACAUCACAAUAUCCAACUAUAAUAGCAAAGCUCGCAAUAGAUAAAGAUCGUGCUAUAGAGAGAACACGAGAGAGAGAGGGAUUAAACACAUAGCUACUGGUACAUACCCUCAGCCCCAAGGGUGAACUACUCCCUCCUCGUCAUGGAGAGCGCCGGGAUGAUGAAGAUGGCCACCGGUGAUGGGUUCCCCCUCCGGAAGGGUGCCGAAACGGGCUACCGAGAGGUUUUUGGUGGCUACAAAGGCUUGCGGCGGCGGAACUCCAGAUCUAUCUUUGUUCUCGGUGUUUUUAGGGUACGUGGGCUUAUACAGGCGAAAGAAGUCGGUCAGGGGGUGCUCAAGGGGCCCACGAGACAGGGGGAGCGCCUAGGGGGGUGCACCCUCCUAUCUUCUGGCCUCCUCGAGGAUCUUCUCAUGUGAACUCCAAGUCUAGGAUCAUAUUCUUCCAAAAAAUCACGCUGCCGAAGGUUUCAUUCCGUUUGGACUCCGUUUGAUAUUCCUUUUCUUUGAAAUACUAAAACAGGCUAUAAAACAACAAUAUGGGCUGGGCCUGUGGUUAAUAGGUUAGUCCCAAAAGUAAUAUAAAAGUGUAUAAUAAAGCCCAUAAUCAUUCAAAAUAGAUAAUAAAAUAGCAUGAAUGCUUCAUAAAUUAUAGAUAUGUUGGAGACGUAUCAGCAUCCCCAAGCUUAAUUCCUGCUCGUCCUCAAGUAGGUAAAUGAUAAAAGAAAGAAUUUAUGAAGUGUGAAUGCUAGAGGUGCACAAGUUUGAUCAAUGAUAAUUUCAAUCACCUUUACGAGCAUCAUUAUAUGUCAUAACAGUAGUUCAUCUCAUAAAACUUUUCAUGAUCAAGUAACAAGCUAUUCACAUGUUAAAGCAUAGACCAUAAACAUUCUUUAAAACUAGCAAACUUCAUUCUUAGUCAUCAAACAAUUGCAAUUCAUCUUAUUUUCAGGAAGGGUCUAUGUUAGAGCUUUGAUUUAGCAAACUUCACAUACUCAACUAUCAUAUAGUCUUCUACAAUUGCUAACACUCACACAAUACUAAUGGUUAUGGAGUUUUAAUCGAACAUUGAGAAAGAUAGGGGCUUAUAGUAUUGCCUCCCAACGUAUUCACCUUUGGGUGAUGUCAACAAUAAUAGUUCAUGCUAACUUACAUCCAAUUAGAUAUAUGUAUCAGGAUCACCCCAACACAAAGUGCUUGCCAAAGGAUAAAAUGAAAAAGGGAAAGGUGAAGAUCACCUUGACUCUUGCAUAAAGUAAAAGACAUAAGGUAAAAGAUAGGACCUUCGCAGAGGGAAGCAGAGGUUGUCAUGCGCUUUUAGGGUUGGAUACACAAAAUCUUAAUGCGAAAGAACGUCACUUUAUAUUGCCCCUUGUUUAUGGACCUUUAUUAUGCAGUCCGUCGCUUUUAUUGCUUCCAUAACAAGAUCGUACAAAGCUUAUUUUCUCCGCACUAAUAAGUCAUUCAUAUUUAGAGAGCAAUUUUUAUUGCUUGCACCGAUGACAACUUACUUGAAGGAUAUUACUCAAUCCAUAGGUAGGUAUGGUGGACUCUCAUGGCAAAAACUGGGUUUAAGAGUAUUUGGAAGCACAAGUAGUAUCUCUACUUGGUUCUAGGAAUUUUGGCUAGCAUGAGGAGGAAAGGCAAGCUCAACAUGUUUGAAUGAUCCAUGACAAUAUGCUUUAACUGAGAUGUGAGAAAACAUAACCCAUUACGUUGUCUUCCUUGUCCAACAUCAACUCUUUAGCAUGUCAUACUUAAUUAGUGCUCACAAUUACAAAAGAUGUCUAAGAUAGUAUAUUUAUAUGUGAAAUUUCUCUUCCUUCAAUAUUCUUUCAUGAAUUGUUCAAAUGACCAAUACAAUGCUUGCUAACCAUCAAUAACCUUACUACCUCUACUUCUUAGAUGUGAAGUCAUUACUCCCCAUGGGAUAAGAAACUGAAACAUAUAUAAUUUUAGAUUUAUGACAUUCAACUCAUUCAACCAUUUACUCAUAGGAUAUAAGUGAAGCACACGAGUAAAUGACAAACUACUCCAAAAAGAUAUAAGUAAAGAUCAAUGAGUAGCUAAAUAAUUAUGCAACUAUGUGAAGACUCUCUCUCAUUAAAGAAUUUCAGAUCUUGGUAUAUUAUUCAAACAGCAAGUAAGCAAAAUGACAUUGCAAGGAUAGCACAACUCGUGUGAAGAAGCAAAAACUUAGGCUCAACCGAUACUAACCGAUAGUUGUUGAAGAAGAAAGGUGGGAUGCAUGCCUCACGGGGCAUCCCCAAGCUUAGAUGCUUGAGACUUCUUGAUAUAUUAUCUUGGGGUGCCCUGGGAAUCCCCAAUCUUGUGCUUUUGUGUCUCCUUAAUUCCUUUUAUAUCAUGGUUUCUCUUUUUAUCAAAAGCUUCAUCCACACCAAACUCAACAAGAACUCGUGAGAUAGGUUAGUAUAAACCAAUGCAAAAUCUUAUCAUUUUCUACUGUAAAAAAUCACUAAAAUUAUUAUUCAACAUUGCAUACUAAAUUACUCUGCAUAUUUAAUACUCCUAUCCUCAAAUAGAAUCAUUAAACAAGCAAACAUAUGCAAAUAAUGCAAACAUAACAGCAAUCUGUCAAAACAGUACAGUCUGUAAAGAAUGCAAGAGUAUCAAUACUUCCCUAACUCCUAAAAUUAUGAGAAAAAUACCACGUUGUAGAAGAUUUAUCAGAGCUCAAUAUGCAAAAAUAUUCAACAAUAUAUCACUCUCUGACUUUUCUAGGGAAUUUUUACAACAGUGGUAAACUUUCUGUUUUCAAACAGCAACAUGUAUACUUGCAAAAUUAGCAUGGUAAAGGCUAUCCUUGACAUUUUUAUUGAAAAUAUAGAUGCAAAACAUUAUUCUAAAUAACAGAAAGCAAAUACUAACAAAAUAAAAUGACGCUCCAAGCAAAACACAUAUCAUGUGGUGAAUAAAAAUAUAGCUCCAAGUAAAGUUAUCGAUGAACGAAGACGAAAGAGGGGAUGCCUUCCGGGGCAUUCCCUGUUGGAAAUAUGCCCUAGAGGAAAUAAUAAAAGGAUUAUUAUGAUAUUUAUUUGUUCAUUAUAGUUGUCUUUUAUUCAUGCUAUAAUUGUAUUAUCCGGAAAUCGUAAUACACGUGUGAAUACUUAGACCACAACAUGUCCCUAGUGAGCCUCUAGUUGACUAGCUCGUUGAUCAACAGAUAGUCAUGGUUUCCUGACUAUGGACAUUGGAUGUCAUUGAUAAUGGGAUCACAUCAUUGGGAGAAUGAUGUGAUGGACAAGACCCAAUCCUAAGCAUAGCACAAGGUCGUGUAGUUCGUUUUUCUAGAGCUUUUCCAAUGUCAAGUAUCUCUUCCUUAGACCAUGAGAUCGUGUAACUCCCGGAUACUGUAGAAGUGCUUUGGGUGUACCAAACGUCACAACGUAACUGGGUGACUAUAAAGGUGCACUACAGGUAUCUCUGAAAGUGUCUGUUGGGUUGACACGGAUCGAGACUGGGAUUUGUCACUUCGUAUUACGGAGAGGUAUCACUGGGCCCACUCGGUAGUGCAUCAUCAUAAUGAGCUCAAAGUGACCAAGUAUAUGGUCACGGGAUCAUGCAUUAUGGUAUGAGUAAAGUGACUCGCCGGCAAUGAGAUUGAACGAGGUAUUGGGAUACCGACGAUCGAAUCUCAGUCAAGUAACAUACCGUCUGACAAAGGGAAUAGUAUACGGGGUUGUUUGAAUCCUCGACAUCGUGGUUCAUCCGAUGAGAUCAUCGAGGAGUAUGUGGGAUCCAACAUGGGUAUCCAGAUCCCGUUGUUGGUUAUUGACUGGAGAGCUGUCUCGGUCAUGUCUGCAUGUCUCCCGAACCCGUAGGGUCUACACACUUAAGGUUCGGUGACGUUAGGGUUGUAUGAAUAUGAGUAUGCAGCAAACCGAAUGUUGUUCGGAGUCCCGGAUGAGAUCCCGGACGUCACGAGGAGUUCCGGAAUGGUCCGGAGGUAAAGAAUUAUAUAUAGGAAGUGCUGUUUCGGCCAUCGGGAAAGUUUCGGGGUCACCAGGUAUUGUACCAGGACCACCGGAAGGGUCCCGGGGGUCCACCGGGUGGGGCCACCUAUCCCGGAGGGCCCCGUGGGCUGAAGUGGGAGGGGAACCAGCCUCUAGUGGGCUGGUGUGCCCCCUUGGGACCCCCUGCACCUAGGGUUGAAAACCCUAGGGUGGGGGCGCACCCCACUUGCCUUGGGGGGCACUCCACCCCCCUGGCCGCCGCCCCCCCUUGGGAGAUUGGAUCUCCCAGGGCCGGCGCCCCCGCCUGGGGGCCUUUAUAAAGGAGGGGGAGGGAGGGCAGCCGCACCCUGUGUCUUGGCGCCUCCCUCCCCCUGCUACACCUCUUCCUCCUCCCGCAAUAGCUUGGCGAAGCCCUGCCAGAGUUCUGCUGCAUCCACCAUCACGCCGUCGUGCUGCUGGAUCUUCAUCAACCUCUCCUUCCCCCUUGCUGGAUCAAGACGGAGGAGACAUCACGUUGACCGUACGUGUGUUGAACACGGAGGUGCCGUCCGUUCGGCGCUAGGAUCUCCGGUGAUAGGAUCACGACGAGAACGACUACCUCAACCCCGUUCUCUUGAACGCUUCCACACGGGAUCUACAAAGUGGUAUGUAGAUGCAUCUCUCUCCUAUCACUCGUUGCUUGGAUGAACUCAUAGAUGGAUCUUGGUGAAACCGUAGAAAAAAAAUUUAUUUUCUGCAACGUUCCCCAACAGUUGCAUCAUGAUCUAGGUCUAUGCGUAGUUCUCUAUUGCACGAGUAGAGCACAAAUCUGUUGUGGGCGUAGAUCUUGUCAACUUGCUUGCCACUACUAGUCUUUUCUUGCUUCAGCGGUAUUGUGGGAUGAAGCAGCCCGGACCGACCUUACACGUACGCUUACGUGAGACAGGUUCCACCGACUGACAUGCACUAGUUGCAUAAGGUGGCUAGCGGGUGUCUAUCUCUCCUACUUUAGUUGGAGCGGAUUCGAUGAAAAGGGUCCUUAUGAAGGGUAAAUAGAAGUUGACAAAAUCACGUUGUAGUUAUUCGUAGGUAAGAAAACAUUCUUGCUAGAACCCAAUUGCAGCCACGUAAAAGAUGCAACAACAAUUAGAGGACGUCUAACUUGUUUUUGCAGCAAUUCUCAUGUGAUGUGAUAUGGCCAGAAGUUGUGAUGAAUGAUGAAUGAUAUAUUAUGAUGUAUGAGAUCAUGUUCUUGUAAUAGGAAUCACGACUUGCAUGUCGAUGAGUAUGACAACCGGCAGGAGCCAUAGGAGUUGUCUUAAUUAUUGUAUGACCUUCGUGUCAAUGAUUUAACGCCAUGUAAUUACUUUACUUUAUUCCUAAACCAUUAGCUAUAGUAGUAGAAGUAAUAGUUGGCGAGCAACUUCAUGGAGGCACGAUGAUGGAGAUCAUGAUGAUGGAGAUCAUGGUGUCAUGCCGGUGACGAAGAUGAUCAUAGAGCCCCGAAGAUGGAAAUCGAAGGAGCUAUAUGAUAUUGGCCAUAUCAUGUCACUACUUUAUAUAAUUGCAUGUGAUAUUUAUUAUGUUUUAUGCAUCUUGUUUACUUAGAACGGCAGUAGUAAAUAAGAUGAUCCCUUAUAAUAAUUUCAAGAAAGUGUUCCCCCUAACUGUGUGCCGUUGUUAAAGUUCGUCGUUUCGAAGCACCACGUGAUGAUCGGGUGUGAUAGAUCCUUACGUUCACAUAUAACGGGUGUAAGACAGUUUUACACAUGCAUAAACACUUAGGUUUAACUUGACGAGCCUAGCAUGUACAGACAUGGCCUCGGAACACAAGAGGCCGAAAGGUCGAACAUGAGUCGUAUGGAAGAUACGAUCAACAUGGAGAUGUUCACCGAUGAUGACUAGUCCGUCUCACGUGAUGAUUGGACACGGCCUAGUUGACUUGGAUCGUGUAACACUUAGACGACUAGAGGGAUGUCAAUCUGAGUGGGAGUUCAUUAAAUAAUUUGAUUAGAUCAACUUACUUAUCAUGAACUUAGUCUAAAGUCUUUGCAAAAUAUGUCUUGUAGAUCAAAUGGCCAACGCUCAUGUCAACAUGAACUUCAACGUGUUCCUAGAGAAAACCAAGCUGAAAUAUGAUGGCAGCAACUAUUCGGACUGGGUCUGGAACCUGAGGCUUAUCCUCAUAGCAGCCAAGAAAGCAUAUGUCCUAGAAGGACCGCUAGGUGAAGCACCCAUCCCAGAGAACCAAGACGUUAUGAACGCUUGGCAGUCACGUGCUGAUGAUUACUCCCUCGUUCAGUGCGGCAUGCUUUACAGCUUAGAACCGGGGCUCCAAAAGCGUUUUGAGCAACAUGGAGCAUAUGAGAUUUUCGAGGAGCUGAAAAUGGUUUUUCAAGCUCAUGCCCGGGUCGAGAGAUAUGAAGUCUCCGACAAGUUCUAUAGUUGUAACAUGGAGGAAAACAGUUCUGUCAGUGAGCACAUACUCAAAAUGUCUGGGUUGCACAACUGCCUGUCCCAGCUGGAGAUCAACCUCCCGGACGAGGCGGUCAUUGACAGAAUCCUUCAGUCGCUCCCAUCAAGUUACAAGAGCUUUGUGAUGAACUACAAUAUGCAGGGGAUGGUAAAGACCAUUCCUGAAGUAUUUUCAAUGCUGAAGUCAGCAGAGGUUGAAAUCAAGAAAGAACAUCAAGUGUUGAUGGUCAAUAAGACGACUAAGUUCAAGAAGGGCAAGGGUAAGAAGAACUUCAAGAAGGACGGCAAAGAUGUUUCCGCGCCCGGUAAGCCAGUUACCAGGAAGAAGUCAAAGAAUGGACCCAAGCCUGAGACUGAGUGCUUUUAUUGCAAAGGGAAGGGUCACUGGAAGCAGAACUGCCCCAAAUACUUAGCGGACAAGAAGGCCGGCAACACUAAAGGUAUAUAUGAUAUACAUGUAAUUGAUGUGUAGCUUACCAGUACUCGUAGUAACUCCUGGGUAUUUGAUACCGGUGCCGUUGCUCACAUUUGUAUCUCACAGCAGGAGCUGCGGAAUAAGCGGAGACUGGCGAAGGACGAGGUGACGAUGCGCGUCGGGAAUGGUUCCAAGGUCGAUGUGAUCGCCGUCGGCACGCUACCUCUACAUUUACCCACGGGAUUAGUUAUGAACCUCAAUAAUUGUUAUUUAGUGCCAAGUUUGAGCAUGAACAUUGUAUCUGGAUCUCGUUUAAUACGAGAUGGCUACUCAUUUAAAUCCGAGAAUAAUGGUUGUUCUAUUUAUAUGAGAGAUAUGUUUUAUGGUCAUGCCCCGAUGGUCAAUGGUUUAUUCUUAAUGAAUCUCGAACGUAAUGUUACACAUAUUCAUAGCGUGAAUACCAAAAGAUGUAAAGUUGAUAAUGAUAGUCCCACAUACUUGUGGCACUGCCGCCUUGGUCUAUUGGUAUCAAGCGCAUGAAGAAGCUCCAUGCUGAUGGACUUCUAGAGUCUCUCGAUUAUGAAUCAUUUGACACAUGCGAACCAUGCCUCAUGGGAAAAAUGACCAAGACUCCGUUCUUCGGAACAAUGGAGCGAGCAACCAACUUAUUGGAAAUCAUACAUACUGAUGUGUGUGGUCCAAUGAGCGUUGAGGCUCGCGGAGGAUAUCGUUAUGUUCUCACUCUCACUGAUGACUUAAGUAGAUAUGGGUAUGUCUACUUGAUGAAACACAAGUCUGAGACCUUUGAAAAGUUCAAGGAAUUUCAGAAUGAAGUAGAGAAUCAACGUGACCGAAACAUAAAAUUCUUACGAUCAGAUUGUGGAGGAGAAUAUUUAAGUCACGAAUUUGGUACGCACUUAAGGAAAUGUGGAAUCGUUUCACAACUCACGCCGCUUGGAACACCUCAGCGUAACGGUGUGUCCGAACAUCGUAAUCGCACUCUAUUGGAUAUGGUGCGAUCUAUGAUGUCUCUUACCGAUUUACCGCUAUCAUUUUGGGGAUACGCUCUAGAGACAACUACAUUCACUUUAAAUAGGGCACUGUCUAAAUCCGUUGAGACUACACCGUAUGAAUUAUGGUUUGGGAAGAAACCUAAGCUGUCGUUUCUAAAAGUUUGGGGCUGCGAUGCUUAUGUCAAGAAACUUUAACCUGAAAAGCUCGAACCCAAGUCGGAAAAAUGCGUCUUCAUAGGAUACCCCAAGGAAACCAUUGGGUAUACCUUCUACCUUAGAUCCGAAGGCAAGAUCUUUGUUGCCAAGAAAGGAUCCUUUCUGGAAAAAGAGUUUCUCUCGAAAGGAGUAAGUGGGGGGAAAGUAGAACUCGAUGAAGUACUACCUCUUGAACCGGAGAGUAGUGCAGCUCAGGAAAAUGUUCCUGUGGUGCCUACACCGACUGGAGAGGAAAUUAAUGAUGAUGAUCAAGGUACUUCAGAUCAAGUUGCUACUGAACUUUGUAGGUCCACGAGGACACGUUCCACACCAGAGUGGUAUGGCAACCUGUCCUGGAAAUCAUGUUGUUAGACAACAGUGAACCUUCGAACUAUGAAGAAGCGAUGGCGGGCCCAUAUUCCAACAAAUGGCUAGAAGCCAUGCAAUCCGAGAUAGAAGCCAUGUACGAAAACAAAGUAUGGACUUUGACUGACUUGCCCGAUGAUCGGCGAGCGAUAGAAAACAAAUGGAUCUUUAAGAAGAAGACGGACGCGGAUGGAAAUGUCACCAUCUUUAAAGCUCGACUUGUCGCUAAGGGUUAUCGGCAAGUUCAACGGGUUGACUACGAUUAGACUUUCUCUCCCGUAGCGAAGCUUAAGUCCGUCCAAAUCAUGUUAGCAAGUGCCGCAUACUAUGAUUAUGAUAUAUGGCAGAUGGACGUCAAAACGGCAUUCCUUAAUGGUUAUCUUAAGGAAGACCUGUAUAUGAUGCAGCCGGAAGGUUUUGUCGAUCCUAAGAAUGCUAACAAAGUAUGCAAGCUCCAUCGAUCCAUUUAUGGGCUGGUGCAAGCAUCUCGGAGUUGGAACAUUCGCUUUGAUGAAAUGAUCAAAGCGUUUGGGUUUAUGCAGACUUAUGGAGAAGCCUGCGUUUACAAGAAAGUGAGUUGGAGCUCUGUAGCAUUUCUCAUAUUAUAUGUAGAUGACAUACUUUUGAUGGGAAAUGAUAUAGAAUUCUUGGACAGCAUUAACGCCUACUUGAAUAAGUGUUUUUCAAUGAAGGACCUUGGAGAAGCUGCUUACAUAUUAGGCAUCAAGAUCUAUAGGGAUAGAUCGAGACGCCUCAUAGGUCUUUCACAAAGCACAUACCUUGAUAAGAUUUUGAAGAAGUUCAAAAUGGAUCAGUCCAAGAAAGGGUUCUUGCCUGUAUUGCAAGGUGUGAGAUUGAUCUCGGCUCAAUGCCCGACCACGGCAAAAGAUAAAGAAGAGAUGAGUGUCAUCCCCUAUGCCUCAGCCAUAGGAUCUAUUAUGUAUGCCAUGUUGUGUACUAGACCACAUGUAAACCUUGCCGUAAGUUUGGUAGGUAGGUACCAAAGUAAUCCCGGCAAGGAACACUAGACAGCAGUCAAGAAUAUCCUGAAGUGCCUGAAAAGGACAAAGGACAUGUUUCUCGUUUAUGGAGGUGACGAAGAGCUCGUCGUAAAGGGUUACGUCGACGCUAGCUUCGACACAGAUCUGGAUGACUCUAAGUCACAAACCGGAUACGUGUAUAUGUUGAAUCGUGGAGCAGUAAGCUAGUGCAGCUGCAAGAAGAGCGUCGUGGAGGGAUCUACAUGUGAAGCGGAGUACAUGGCAGCCUCGGAGGCAGCGCAUGAAGCAAUUUGGGUGAAGGAGUUCAUCACCGACCUAGGAGUCAUACCCAAUGCGUUUGGGCUGAUCAAACUCUUCUGUGACAACACUGGAGCUAUUGCCCUUGCCAAGGAGCCCAGGUUUCACAAGAAGACCAGGCACAUCAAGCGUCAUUUCAACUCCAUUCGUGAAAAUGACCAAGAUGGAGACAUAGAUAUUUGCAAAGUACAUACGGAUCUGAAUGUCGCAGAUCUGUUGACUAAACCUCUUCCGCGAGCAAAACAUGAUCAACAUCAAAACUCUAUGGGUGUUCGAUUCAUCACAAUGUAACUAGAUUAUUGACUCUAGUGCAAGUGGGAGACUGUUGGAAAUAUGCCCUAGAGGCAAUAAUAAAAGGAUUAUUAUUAUACUUCUUUGUUCAUGAUAGUUGUCUUUUAUUCAUGCUAUAAUUGUAUUAUCCGGAAAUCGUAAUACACGUGUGAAUACUUAGACCACAACAUGUCCCUAGUGACCCUCUAGUUGACUAGCUCGUUGAUCAACAGAUAGUCAUGGUUUCCUGACUAUGGACAUUGGAUGUUGUUGAUAACGGGAUCACAUCAUUGGGAGAAUGAUGUGAUGGACAAGACCCAAUCCUAAGCAUAGCACAAGGUCGUGUAGUUCGUUUUGCUAGAGCUUUUCCAAUGUCAAGCAUCUCUUCCUUAGACCAUGAGAUCGUGUAACUCCCGGAUACCGUAGAAGUGCUUUGGGUGUACUAAACGUCACAACGUAACUGGGUGACUAUAAAGGUGCACUACAGGUAUCUCCAAAAGUGUCUGUUGGGUUGACAUGAAUCGAGACUGGGAUUUGUCACUCCGUAUUACGGGGAGGUAUCACUGGGCCCACUCGGUAGUGCAUCAUCAUAAUGAGCUCAAAGUGACCAAGUGUAUGGUCACAGGAUCAUGCAUUACGGUACGAGUGAAGUGACUUGCCGGCAACGAGAUUGAAUGAGGUAUUGGGAUACCGACGAUCGAAUCUCGGGCAAGUAACAUACCGUCUGACAAAGGGAAUAGUAUACGGGGUUGUUUGAAUCCUCGACAUCGUGGUUCAUCCGAUGAGAUCAUCGAGGAGUAUGUGGGAGCCAACAUGAGUAUCCAGAUGCCGCUGUUGGUUAUUGACCGGAGAGCCGUCUCGGUCAUGUCUGCAUGUCUCCCGAACCCGUAGGGUCUACACACUUAAGGUUCGGUGACGCUAGGGUUGUAUGAAUAUGAGUAUGCAGCAAACCGAAUGUUGUUCGGAGUCCCGGAUGAGAUCCCGGACGUCACGAGGAGUUCCGGAAUGGUCCGGAGGUAAAGAAUUAUAUAUAGGAAGUGCUGUUUCGUCCAUCGGGAAAGUUUCGGGGUCACCCGGUAUUGUACCGGGACCACCGGAAGGGUCCCGGGGGUCCACCGGGUGGGGCCACCUAUCCCGGAGGGCCCCGUGGGCUGAAGUGGGAGGGAAACCAGCCCACUGCGCCCCCUUGGGCCCCCCUGCGCCUAGGGUUGAAAACCCUAGGGUGGGGGGCGCACCCCACUUGCCUUGGGGGGCACUCCACCCCCUGGUCGCCGCCCCCCCCUUGGGAGAUUGGAUCUCCCAGGGCCGGCGCCCCCGCCUGGGGGCCUUUAUAAAGGAGGGGGGAGGAAGGGCAGCCGCACCCUAUGUCUUGGCGCCUCCCUCCCCCUGCUACACCUCUUCCUCCUCCUGCAAUAGCUUGGCGAAGCCCUGCCGGAGUUCUGCUGCAUCCACCACCACGCCGUCGUGCUGCUGGAUCUUCAUCAACCUCUCCUUCCCCCUUGCUGGAUCAAGACGGAGGAGACGUCAUGCUGACCGUACGUGUGUUGAACACGGAGGUGCCGUCCGUUCGGCGCUAGGAUCUCCGGUGAUAGGAUCACGACGACAACGACUACCUCAACCCCGUUCUCUUGAACGCUUCCGCACGCGAUCUACAAAGUGGUAUGUAGAUGCAUCUCUCUCCUAUCACUCGUUGCUUAGAUGAACUCAUAGAUGGAUCUUGGUGAAACCGUAGAAAAAAAAUUAUUUUCUGCAACAUUCCCCAACAUCCCAAGCUUAGGCUCUUGGUUGUCCUUGAAUAUUACCUUGGGGUGCCUUGGGCACCCCCAAGAUUAGGCUCUUGCCACUCCUUAUUCCAUAGUCCAUCAAAUCUUUACCCAAAACUUGAAAACUUCAACCACACAAAACUCAACACAAAACUCGUAAGCUCUGUUAGUAUAAGAAAAUAAAACCACCACUUAGGUACUGUAGUGAACUCAUUCUAAAUUCAUAUUGGUGUAAUAUCUACUGUAUUCUAACUUCUCUAUGGUUCAUACCCUCCGACACUACUCAUAGAUUCAUCAAAAUAAGCAAACAACACAUAGAAAACAGAAUCUGUCAAAAACAGAACAGUCUAUAGUAAUCUGUAUGAAACGUAUACUUCUGGAACUCAAAACAUUCUGAAUUAAAUUUCUGGACCUGAGGAAUUUGUCUAUUAAUCAUCUUCAAAAAGAAUCAACCUAAAAUCACUCUCCAGUAAAAAAAUGGCAGCAAAUCUUGUGAGCGCUAAAGUUUCUGUUUUUUACAGCAAGAUCACAUAAACUUCACCCAAGUCUUCCCAAAGGUUCUACUUGGUACUUUAUUGAAACAAAAGCUAUAAAACAUGAUUACUACAGUAGCAUAAUCAUGUAGACACACAAAAACAGUAAGGGUAAAUAUUGGGUUGUCUCCCAACAAGCGCUUUUCUUUAAUGCCUUAUUAGCUAGGCAUGAUGAUGACAAUGAUGCUCACAUAAAAGAUAAGAAUUGAAACAUAAAGAGAGCAUCAUGAAGAAUAUGACUAGCACAUUUAAGCCUAACCCACUUCCUAUGCAAAGAGAUUUUGUGAGCAAACAACUUAUGGGAACAAUAAUCAACUAGCAUAGGAAGGCAAAACAAGAAUAGCUUCAAGAUUUUAAACACAUAGAGAGGAAACUUGAUAUUAUUGCCAUUCCUACAAGCAUAUGUUCUUCCCUCAUAAUAAUGAUCAGUAGCAUCAUGAAUGAAUUCAACAAUAUAAGCAGCACCUAAAUCAUUCUUUUCAUGAUCUACAAGCAUAGAAAACUUGCUACUCUCCACAUAAGCAAAAUUCUUCUCAUUCGGAAUAGUGGGAGUAAACUCAACAAAAUAAUUAUCAUGAGAGGCAUAAUCCAAUUGAAAACUAAAAUCAUGAUGACAAGUUUCAUGGUUAUCAUUAUUCUUAAUAGCAUAAAAGUCAUCACAAUAAUCCUCAUAGAUAGCAACUUUGUUCUCAUAAUCAAUUGGAACCACUUCCGAAAUAGUGGAUUCAUCACUAAAUAAAGUUGACACUCUUCCAAACCCACUUUCAUCAAUAUAAUCAUCAUAAAUAGGAGGCAUGCUAUCGUCAAAAAAAAUUUGCUCAUCAAAACUUGGGGGACAAAAAAUAUCAUCUUCAUCAAACAUAGCUUCCCCAAGCUUGUGGCUUUGCAUAUCAUUAGCAUCAUGGAUAUUCAAGGAAUUCAUACUAACAACAUUGCAAUCAUGCUCAUCAUACAAAGAUUUUAUGCCAAACAUUUUAUAGACUUCUUCUUCUAGCACUUGAGCACAAUUUUCCUUACCAUCAUUCUCACGAAAGAUAUUAAAAAGAUGAAGCGUAUGAGACAAACUUAACUCCAUUUUUUUGUAGUUCUCUUUUAUAGACUAAACUAGUGAUAAAACAAGAAAUAAAAAGAUUCGAUUGCAAGAUCUAAAGAUAUACCUUCAAGCACUCACCUCCCCGGCAACGACGCCAGAAAAGAGCUUGAUGUCUACUACACAACCUUCUUCUUGUAGACGUUGUUGGGCCUGCAAGUGCACAAGUUUGUAGAACAGUAGCAAAUUUCCCUCAAGUGGAUGACCUAAGGUUUAUCAAUCCGUGGGAGGCGUAGGAUGAGGAUGGUCUCUCUCAAACAACCCUGCAACCAAAUAACAAAGAGUCUCUUGUGUCCCCAACACGCCCAAUACAAUGGUAAAUUGUAAAGGUGCACUAGUUCGGCGAAGAGAUGGUGAUACAAGUGCAAUAUGGAUAGUAGAUAUAGGUUUUUGUAAUAUGAAAUUAUAAAAACAGCAAGGUGACAAGUGGUAAAAGUGAGCGUAAACGAUAUUGCAAUGGUAGGAAACAAGGCAUAAGGUUCAUACUUUCACUAGUGCAAGUUCUCUCAACAAUAAUAACAUAGAUAGAUCAUAUAACAAUCCCUCAACAUGCAACAAAGAGUCACUCCAAAGACACUAAUAGCGGAGAACAAACGAAGAGACUAUGGUAGGGUACAAAACCACCUCAAAGUUAUCCUUUCUGUUCUAUCUAUUCAAGAGUUCGUAGUAAAAUAACAUGAAGCUAUUCUUUCCGCUCAAUCUAUCAUAGAGUUCAUACUAUAAUAACACCUUAAGACACAAAUCAACCAAAACCCUAAUGUCACCUAGAUACUCCAUUGUCACCUCAAGUAUCCGUGGGCAUGAUUAUACGAUAUGCAUCACCCAAUCUCAGAUUCAUCUAUUCAACCAACACAAAGUACUUCAAAGAGUGCCCCAAAGUUUCUACCGGAGAGUCAAGACGAAAACGUGUGCCAACCCCUAUGCAUAGGUUCAUGGGCGGAACCCGCAAGUUGGUCACCAAAACAUGCAUAAAGUGGCACAUGAUAUCCCAUCGUCACCACAGAUAAGCAUGGCAAGACAUACAUCAAGUGUUCUCAAAUCAUAAAAGACUCAAUCAGAUAAGAUAACUUCAAAGGGGAAAACUCAAUCCAUUACAAGAGAGUACAGGGGGAGAAACAUCACAAGAUCCAACUAUAAUAGCAAAGCUCGCGAUACAUCAAGAACGUGCCAUAGAGAGAACAAGAGAGAGAGAGAGAGAGAGAGAGAUCAAACACAUAGCUACUGGUACAUACCCUCAGCCCCAAGGGUGAACUACUCCCUCCUCAUCAUGGAGAGCGCUGGGAUGAUGAAGAUGGCCACCGGUGAUGGGUUCCCCCUCCGGCAGGGUGCCGGAACGGGCUCUCGAGAGGUUUUUGGUGGCUAUAAAGGCUUGCGGCCGCGGAACUCCCGACCUAUCUUCGUUCUCGGUGUUUUUAGGAUACGUGGGCUUAUAUAGGUGAAAGAAGUCGGUCGGGGGGUGCUUGAGGGGCCCACGAGACAGGGGGCGCGCCUAGGGGGGUGGGUGCGCCCUCCUAUCUCCUGGCCUCCUCGAGGAUCUUAUGACGUGAACUCCAAGUCUCCAGGAUCAUAUUCUUCCAAAAAAUCAUGCUACCGAAGGUUUCAUUCCGUUUGGACUCCGUUUGAUAUUCCUUUUCUUUGAAAUACUGAAACAGGCAAUAAAACAACAAUAUGGGCUGGGCCUCCGGUUAAUAGGUUAGUCACAAAAGUAAUAUAAAAGUGUAUAAUAAAGUCCGUAAUCAUUCAAAACAGAUAAUAAAAUAGCAUGAAUGCUUCAUAAAUUAUAGAUACGUUGGAGACGUAUCACGCACCUACACAAACAAACAAAGAACUCGCAACCAACGCAAUAAAGGGGUUGUCAAUCCCUUCACGGCCACUUGCGAAAGUGAGAUCUGAUAGAGAUAGUAUGAUAAGAUAAAUAUAUUUUUGGUAUUUUAUAAUAUAGAUUGGAAAAGUAAAGAUGCAAAUAAAAGUAGAUUGAAAACUUAUAUGAUAAAAGAUAGACACGGGGGCCAUAGGUUUCACUAGUGGCUUCUCUCAAGAUAGCAUAAGUAUUACGGUGGGUGAACAAAUUACUGUCGAGCAAUUCAUAGAAAAGUGAAUAAUUAUGAGAUUAUCUAGGCAUGAUCAUGUAUAUAGGCAUCACGUCCGCGACAAGUAGACCGACUCCUGCCUGCAUCUACUACUAUUACUCCACACAUCGACCGUUAUCCAACAUGCAUCUAGAGUAUUAAGUUCAUAAGAACAGAGUAAUGCAUUAAGAAAGAUGACAUGAUGUAGAGGGAUAAACUCAUGCAAUAUGAUAUAAACCCCAUCUUUUUAUCCUCGAUGGCAACAAUACAAUAUGUGCCUUGCAACCCCUAUUGUCACUGGGUAAGGACACCGCAAGAUUGAACCCAAAGCUAAGCACUUCUCCCAUGGCAAGAAAGAUUAAUCUAGUAGGCCAAACCAAACUGAUAAUUCAAAGAGACUUCCAAAGAUAACUCAAUAAUACAUAAAAGAAUUCAGAGGUGAUUCAAAUAUUUCUCAUAGAUAAACUUGAUCAUAAACCCACAAUUCAUCGGAUCUCGACAAACACACCGCAAAAAGAGUUAUAUCAAAUAGAUCUCCACAAGAGAGGGGUGAACAUGGUAUUGAGAUCCAAAAAGAGAGAAUAAGUCAUCUAGCUAAUAACUAUGGACCCGAAGGUCUGUGGUAAACUACUCACAACUCAUCGAAGGGGCUAUGGUGUUGAUGUAGAAGCCCUCCGUGGUCGAUUCCCCCUCCGGCGGGCGAAGGCUCCAAGAUGGGAUCUCGCGGAUACAGAAGGUUACGGUGGUGGAAAUUGUUUUUUGUUGGCUCCCUGGAUGUUUUCGGGGUACGUGGGUAUAUAUAGGAGGAAGAAGUAGGUUGGUGGCCGCCCAAGGGGACCACGAGAUAGGGGGGUGCGCCCUGUAGGGGUGGGUGCGCCCUCCAUCCUCGUGGCUGCCUCGGCUGCUUCUUGGCUUGCACUCCAAGUCCUCUAGAUCACGUUCGUUCCAAAAAUCACGCUCGUGAAGGUUUCAUUCUGUUUGGACUCCAUUUGAUAUUCGUUUUCUUCGAAAUACUGAAAUAGACAAAAAACAGCAAUACGGGCUCGGCCUCCGGUUAGUAGGUUAAUCCCAAAAAAGAUAUAAAUGUGUAAAAUAAAGCUCAUAAACAUCCAACAGGGGUAAUAUAAUAGCAUGGAACAAUCAAAAAUAUAGAUACGUUGGAGACGUAUCAAUCCCCAAAUAGGAACUUAGGAGGCCGAGGUCGCUCAUCUUAAACAGCUGCUGCAUCUGAUUCUUGAACUGAUCGUUGUAGGCUUUAUCAGUGCCGGUGAUAAUCAAAUCAACAACAUACACACCCACCAGAAAGUACGAGUGCGCAUCUCCACGCCGGUAAACCGCGUGCUCGAGUGGGCUUCGUUCGAACCCGAGAGCACCCAAGGUCCCGUCGAGUUUUGCAUGCCAUGCCCUCGGAGCCUCUCACAAGCCAUAAAGUGCCUUCUCGAGUUUUAGAACUUGAUGCUCGUUUCUGGCAGCAAUGUACCCCGGUGGUUGUGCCACAUACACCUCCUCGGCGAGGUCUCCGUCCAGGAACGCAGAUUUCAUGUCCAUGUGGUGAACCUCCAAACCGGAGUGUGCAGCCAUGGCGAGGAAGAGGUGUACAGUCUCCAUCUGCGCCACAGGUGCGAACACUUUGUCAAAGUCCAUGCCCUCACGCUGUGAGCCUUAACAACCAGCCGUGCCUUGUGUUCGAUGAUGUUGCCGUCAGGAUCACACUUCACCUUAAAUACCCACUUCAACCCGAUCGCCUUGUGUCCCUUAGGAAAAUUGGAGAGCUGUCAUGUGGAGUUCUCUGUGAUCGAGUCCAUUUCAACAUCCAUGGCCCCCUUCCAAGUGGCGUCAGCAAGUGAAUCGUCGACGUUCGACAGCUCCUCGGUGCUCAGGAGGCAGCGCUGCAUCGCCUCGCGCACGGCCUCCCCCUCAUUCUCGUCGAGGACACAGGAGAGGCGGCGAUAGCGAAUGGGCCCAGUGUCCAUGUCGCGGCCGUCAUCGUGGGUCAGUGGUGUGGCCCAGCGGAUCUCCAGUCUCGUAGCAGGUGUCGCCAUCUUGGUCUGGGGUGAGCCGUGCGCGCUCACCGAUGGCAUGAGCUCCGCAGGAAAUGUCACCGCUGGUGUCGACAUGGGGGAUGCAGUCGCCGCGCGGUGCAGCCAGUGGCGCGGGCAUUGCCACUGUCAAGCUCAUGCAUGCCGUGUGCCGUGGUAUAGACCACGAUGAUGGUUGCUGAUGCCGGCGUGUCCGCGGCCGUGCCCAGAGCGCACCAUGUCCUUAGCCUGCCUUCCUCGAAGACUACAUCAUGCAUGAUCUGGACCUUCUCAGUCACGGGAUCGUACACACGGUAAGCAGGGCCGGGCCCAUAGUGGUAGAAAAUGUGCGGCCGGCACAGGGCCCAAAAAUCUAGGGGGCCGAAUUUUUUCAUAUAGGCCUAGUAUUAAAAACAAAAAACGGUACUAGGCCGCUGGAGUGGGCUAGAGACCUGGAGUCGAGGCGACUAGGCAUCGAGCGACAAGCGUGAUCUCCUCGACUCCUCCUACUCGAUCGCUACGGGUUUCUGUAAAAAAACUCGAUCGCUACAAUGAUCGGGGAUCGCUAGACCAGAAUCGUGAAAAGUGAAAACUCUCGAUCGUGGGGCGUAUCGUCGCCCCGUCCCUGGUUCCUGGUCGCCCCGUCCCUGGUGAUUAGAUCGAUCAGAUCACAGGGCGACCGGCCGCUGCCUACUUGCCUUCCUCGCCUCCUCUCUCUCAAUUUGGAUUGAUCGCUAGCCUCCACGUGCUCAAAGAAUACUAAAAAACAAAGAUGUUCAAAUAAAUAGCAACAAGGAGUUGGAUAGGUAUGACUUUUUUAUAUGUCCAAUUGUUAUGUAAGACAUAUAUUAUAUAUUCCUCUGUAAAUUAGUGUAAGAGCGUUUAAAUCAUUAAAGUAGUGAACGCUCUUAUAUAAGUUUACGGCAGGAGUACAUUAUAAUUUUUUCUACGAUAUAUAUGUACAUUAUAAUUGCUUGUUAGUUCUUUUUUCAAUAUAGAGCCCCAUUUUUUAGUUUCGCACGGGGCCCAUGAUUUUGCCGGCCUGGCCCUGACGGUAAGCCUUGGAGCCCUCCUCGUAGCCGAUGGAGACCAUAGGCGUUGAGCGAUCACUCAAUUUGGUGAUGCCGAGGACGACCUUCUUGACAUGAACCGUGCACCAGAAGGUGUGUAUGUGUUGUACGCUGGGUUUGCGGCCGUAGCACGCCUCAUAUGGGGUGACACCAUAUCCAAGCUGCGUGUAGGAGCUCGGUUCAGGACGUAGACAACAGUUUUCACCGCUUCCACCCAGAAAUAUGUCGGCAGGCUCAUACUCUUCAUCAUAUAUAUGCCGUCUUCAUCACAGUCUGAUUCCGCCGUUCCACCACCCUGUUUUGUUGGGAAGAGUAUGGGGCAGUGGUGUAGUGUUUGACCCCGAUCUUUUCAUAGUACGCCUUGAAUUCGCCGGAGUUAAACUCCCCGCUGCGAUUUGAGUGAAAAGCGCGCAGCUUGCACUUGCCGUCCGUCUCUGCCAAUGCCUUGACCUUUUUGAAGCGGUGGAAAGCCUCGUACAUGGUCUUCAUGAGCUCUAACCACAUGUAGCGACUGUGGUCAUCAACAAUCAACAAAAAAAUACUUGUUACCUCCAGGUGUGGUUGGCUCUAUCGGCCCAGAAAGGUCAGUGUGCAUGAGCUCUAGCCCAUGCUCUACACGAUACGCCGUGGCUCGGGGGAACGGUGCACGGUGUUGCUUUGCCAAAGCGCACCCGUCACAGUAUUCUUCAACCCGGUCGAUGACGGCCAUGCCACGCACCAGAUGCUUCAUGGACAUGGUCCGGAGCGUGUGGAAAUGCAGGUGUCCCAUGUGCGCGUGCCACCGCCAUGUCGCCUCAUCACCCUGGGCCAUCAGAUAGGUCGGGGUGUCGAUGGUGAUCUGCCCCGUUUACAGCAAGCUGCACAACCUCUUGACGCGGGCAAUGAUCUGUCGUGCCAGGUCGCGAAUGGCCAUGAUCCCACACUCGAUGGUGAUGGAGCAGCCGCCCUCAUCCAGCUGCCCCACGAAGAUGAUGUUACUUCGCAGGCUCGGGAUGAAGAAGACGCUUGCGAGUGCUCGCUGAUCUCUGCUCUGUCAACGAAAAACUACGGAGUCUUGCCCUCGGAUGGCAACAACCGACCCUUCGCCGAAUUUCACGGUGUCGUGCACACCGUCACCGAGCAUAGAGAACAUAGCCCUGUCUCUGGUCAUGUGGCUGGAGUUGCCGAGUAAUGCUACACCUACGGGAAGCUACGAAAACUUUUACGUAAUUGCCGCCGGGGCACACCGCUGAAAUCAGAGGGGGGCGGUUAAUUAGGAGUGGAUGGUUCAUUAGACGAGUAAGAAUAGGACAAGUCAGCACGUAAGCUCAGUACGUAAAAAUCUGUACGUAAGUCUAGCAUUUUUGUGGAGUUGCCGGUAUCAAAGUACCAAAGGCCCAUGGGAGAGGAGACAGGGAUUACCUUCUCUUUGUUGAGAAAAAUAGUCUGCGGCCCCACGAUCUCUUAUGUGGAGACAGUUGUGACCACCGCCAUGAGCAGUUCCUGAUCAUUUUCGUCGCCUGCCUGGGCCAGGUUUGCCUGAUCCUACUUCCCAUUCUGCUCUUGUUCACAGAGCCACGUGCGAUACUCCUUCUUCCAGUGCCAGGUAUGCCACAGUAGUGACAUUUCCCCUUUUUCUUCUUGCUGCCAGAGCCGCCCGUGCCCGUGUUCCCCUGCGCACACUUUCCACCGCCUUGAGAUCUGGGCUUAGCGGGCGACUUGCUCUUGCCGCCGCCGCCGCCGGAUGAUGACCCACCGCCACCGCCCUGCCUCUCUCGGGCAAGCCACUCUUCGUGAAUGAGCAGGAGGCACCCGAUGGACUGUGUGGCGUCGUCUAGGUUGUAGUGGUCCUUGCACGCGGAGAAGUGCCCGGCGAGCUCCUCGAUGGACAUCGUUUUCAGAUCGAUGAGGGACUCGAUCGCCAUGGCCAUCUGGCGUUCCUUCCGCGGCACGACGCGGAGGAACUUUUGUACGGCCUUGUGCUCCAUCACGGGAUCGCCGUACAACUCGAGGUCGGCAACUAGACCGGUGAGCCGCAGUGCGAAGUCCUUGACAGAGUCCCUGCCUUUGAAAUGGAGAUCCUUGAACUCGCAGCGGUGCACUUGCGCCUUGGCCUCGCGAGCCCUCUCGCUCCCCAUGCGGAGGGUCUUGAUAGUCUCCCAGGUGGUCUUGGCCGUGUCCUUGACCGCCAGUACCCGAAGCAUCUCCGACGGCACCCCGAUGAGGAUGAUCUGCAGCACGCAUCGGUCAUCGCGCUUGUCAGCAGCGCCGUCGUCACAGCGGACCAGACGCCGGUGACCUACAGCUUGACCUGUAUCACGAGCGCCCACUCGAUGUAGUUGGUGCGAGUGUGCACCAUGGUCGACGACGAGCUCUCGCUCUCCUGCACCACCCUCUCGAUGAUGCGGAUCUCACCGCUGCCGUUGCCCGUCAGGCGCGCCAGGGGCGCCGUGGACGGUGGCGUCAUUUGCGGCAACUUGGUGCUGCUCUUGUUCUUCUCCUCCGACUCGUCGCCUGACAUGUAUGCCAUGGAUCAAACACCGCCGGACCGCCAAGGAUCAAACACCAUGGCUCUGAUGUCAAUUGUGGUUGCCAAACGAGCGAUCGAGAGAGAGAUGCGAGCGAGAACGAUGAACACGAACUGGAGAGAGAGUGGUUUUUUGGCUGCACAAACCUCGCAGCUUUUCUGCUAUCUUUCUCUUUCUCUUAUCUUAGUUACACUGAGUGAAAACAACUAACUAGCUAACCUCCCGGCCUGCUCGCUGUGAUCCGGUGAACUCGCGCCAUCCCACGACUCCUUCACACGUCCAUAUGUGCUGACCGGGAGAGAAACAACGAGAAAGAAGGAGCGCGUGCACUGUGCACGUCUCCACUACGUGCGUGCAUGCGGCUGUCACAUCAGGCCCAUGCACACAUUAUUUACAACAGAAAAAUAUAGCAUCCUACGCUGAGUGAUGAUGAGCUUAUAGCAGGCUAACACGCACUGGGAGACUCUGAAGGGGCAUAGGUGGCCGUCGCAACCGAAGCGAUCAAUGACGCUCGUGCAGUGGUUAUUACCGAGUGAAGGACAGCGGCCCAUGUGGGUAAGGAGCUCAGCUCAGCUUAUAAAAAGGAAAAAAGACUCCAAAGAAAAUACAAAACUGGAGCUUAACAUUUGACUAGCGUCGCACAAUGACUACCAUAGAGUACAAUAGCAUUCCAGGAUUCCCGCAAAAUAACAAUUAGCAUUCCAGUUCCAGGAACGAAUUUAAAGAUUAACACCAUUGUGUUCGUACCAACAAUAUGGAUUUAUUAUACUUAACAAGUACAAAUUUGAGUCCUCACGGUGUCAUGCGUCUGAAUAUCAGAACUAUAUCCAUAAAUCUGGGAUACAAAUGUGUAAUAAGGUGCAGAAGGCACAAGAAUUAGAUAUGCACAAGAAUAAUCUUACAAGUGCAGAUUCUAUUCAAGUAUGCUUCCAGAAUGCUUGGCAUAAAAUGUUCUUGAAUGUAUAUGAAAUCAGGCUUAGGUCAUCAGACAUCAGUUGUCUUCUUCUUCUUUGGCACAUACUGUCGAGCCCAUAGAUGUUUUCCCCUGGUCAUGAACUUAACUCUCAUAUUCCCGUCUAGAACACGGAAGAGUGUCAUCUGUGAGUAAAAUGUAAUGUGUGCGUACAGUGGUGGCCUACUUCCGAUUGGCUCCUCUACACUUAUUUCUUCAAUAUCUCCAUAGUGCCUGUGACAUGGAAGAAAUUAAUGAAACAAAAUUAGAAACUGCAUAUAUAGGCAAAACUAUUGAAAUGAAUUUAAUCUACUGAAUUUUCUCCUGAAAUUCCAUUUGUGUUCCUUACUAUUCCCUCCGUUCCUAAAUAUAAGUCUUUGUAGAGAUUUCACUAUGGACUACAUACGGAGCAAAAUGAAUGAAUCUACACUCUAAAAUGCAUCUACAUACAUCCGUAUGGGGUUCAUAGUGAAAUCUCUCCAAAGACUUAUAUUUAGAAACGGAGGGAGUAUAUCCUUACAUGUCUUUUAUGUCAAUUAUAUGUAACUAUCAAAUUGAUCACUUUAACUAGUAGAUUUCAGAUUUUGCGACCUCUAUUGAUCGCCUUCACAGAUUGAGGGGUUGGGGUGUAUGUCUUCACACCUCCCUUUAUGAGGACAUCAGGACGGUUUUUCUGGCGCCUAGCAAAGAAGAUAGCAGCAACCUGUUGAGCAUUUUGCAACCUUCGAUGAGGUUAUCAGUCAUGUUUCCAAUGUGCUGCAAAAGCUCUUAGUGCCUACUACCUUUGUUCGUCCAUCGAUCUGAACAGCAUCCUUCUUGAUUGUUGGGAUGUUUGCACUCAAUUCCAACUGCCGCACUUAGAUCUUCCUCUGUCAGCGAAUCAUUUGAAAAGCGUGUACAAGAUCAUGUGCAAGCGUAUUAAUUAACUUGCAUGGCAUGGCAAAGAAAAACGCAUUGGUUAUCGGUCCUUAAUUCACAAGCUAUGAUGUUGGUCAUGGCUUUCAUGGAAGACCCGGAUAGGGCAUAGGAUUGGGACCCCCUUGCGACGCCAUUGAUAUGGACCUCUUCUAUGAUGUUACCACGAUGACCAUUGGACAUGGUAAAACCGCAGCCUUUUGGCAUGCAACUUGGCUUGGGGUCCGCAAAAGAAAAGACAUUGCACUAUCCAUUUUAAAAAUUUAUAUGCAUAGGAACCUAACCAUGGAGAGAGAUUUUUUAGUACGAUUGAUGGAUCAACAACAUUAAGAUAAAUUUUGGUCUCUUUGUGGAACACAUCAUUGAUUAUUUUUUCUGCUUUGGGUCAAUUUGCAAGACACUCAAGCGAUGACAACAAGAAUUAAACUGUUUGGAACCUUACUGCUUCGGUAGAGUAGUCGACAUCAUUGGAAUAUACUCUUUAAAGUGUUUAGUUAAUGAAGCCAGAUUUUUGGAAAAAUUGAUUGUCGUCUAAGAGAAAGAAAUAUUCUUGGCUUAUCUUGCAAGAAAGGGUGUGGACAGCUAAUAUAUUACAAUUUUGCAAAAGGGCCCCAGAAAUUUUACGUUCAUGAGGCGGAUUUACAGUGCGAUAAAAGUGUUGUUUGGGCUUAUUGAUGUUAACACUGGUGAAUGGAGUUACUUCAACUCGGCCAAAGAUUGGUGAUAUUAUGUGAUCAAGAUCAACGGAAACAUGAGGAGGUGGGUCUAUUCCCUCCUCCGUACUAUCAGAUUCGGCUUGUAAAGAGUUGCACCAGAUACCACUUCCAAGAGCCAAACUAGUGUGAGCUUCUCUUACUUAAUCUCUCACCAAUUCCCACAAACUCUCUAAAUUCCCACACAUAGUUCGCAGUAGAUACCAGAUACCAAACAAAGCACUAGGAAAUAAAAUGACACAACAUUUUCCAUUACCCUAACCCCCUCGUCUAAACUCCCAUCCCCUUCGCCAAUGUUGCCAAACACACUAUGAGAAAAUACAUGCCAUUAUGGACCACAUAGGGAGUGGAGUUUAGUCAUAACUUAAUGCUUUUACCUUUUCAUACCAAAUUAUAUGAAAGCUCUACUUUUCCAAAUUUACUAUUAAUUAUGCAUCACAUACCUAAUGCGUAAACUAUUCAAUGUUCCUGCAUCCCACCAUCCGGGGCGGCAUGGUAGGUGACCAUUCCGGCCCACCAAACACUUUUCACUACAACUCUCUGAUCCCCGGUGAGUGGCAGCCAGAGAGCUCACGAAGCUCGAGGACGGCGUCAUUGAGACGCUCUUCAUGUGCACCUCAUUACAAUAGCGAGUGGCGCACCUACGUUUGGCGGUUGGGCGACAAGGAAGUCCUAGUUGACGACCAAGAGCCAGCGCCGCGUUCGGUGCCCUCCUAUGUUAGUGGGGCUUUGUGGAUCUUAAGUUGAAACCUCUCGCAAGCGGAGCUCUAUCAACACGAUAAUGUGGCGAUUCACUUUGAAAGUUUGGAUGGAGCACCAUAUCCCUCCUCUCUGCUGCUAGCUAGUAGUGUGUGUGAGUAUGCACCGAACGUCGAUUUUGAAUUUUGGUGCUUUGGACCAGGAUGGUAGUCUAGAUCUAAGAGGGGUUUUUGUAGCAAACUAGUGGUCUGCACUUGGAGAUCUACUGGUCGGCAUUGGGUCUCAUGGUUGCGAAGGAUUGUUUCUUCCUUCUUUUGUUGUGAAGGCGUGGGGUUUGAAAGUCGGGGUGGUAGCCCUGGAUGGUGGUCACUCCUGUGUCCUAAUGGUGAACCUUGCAAUGCAGGGUGCUAGUUGGCUGCUAAGGCAAUAGAGUGGUCUUCUUAGCGAUUGGUUGUGGUUUGUGGGUCGUCUAUGAUGCCUAGAUUUGGGUGUCAUCUUGACCAGUAGUUCCCUUCUCUCCUUUUCGGGGGUGUAGUGAUAGGCCUUUAGAUGGAUGGGUGUCGUUGUGCCCUGGAGAUAGCUUUGCAUGACAGUGGUAAGUGCCGAUAACGAUGAUGUUCUUGGACAUCAAUGUCUUCCCCAGAGGCCUCAUUGAGGUUACACGCUCAUCUUCCUUGAUUUUCGGGUGAAAAUCAUUAACCCGGAUUGUCAGAGAAGCGCUACAGCCUCGUUACAUUGUUGGAGGCGUCGACCUUCAAACUUUUGCUCCUAAUCAAUGGGUCGAUGCGUGGUUGUGAGGCAGUCAGUGGUAGUUGUGAUGACAAUGUGGACUUCGCUUUGGUGUUUGCAAAACAACCCAAUGUUUUUCUCCUCCUUUAGAUUUUGUCACCAGUCCUCACGGUAUGCUCUAGGCGAGCUUCUCUACACGCCCAUGGUAUGACACCCAUGGAGACAAGGCAAGAAUGCAGGGGGUCCUCUUCGGUGAUGGGGACGAAUGAGCUAGUAUGUAGUGUGAUUUAGCCUUCUUUGAAAUAGAGGAGGACCUACAUUGCUUUCCUACACACACACACACACACACACACCAAGUUCUUCAGAGUGAUUUUUUUCAAGGUUGAGCUCCAUAGUACCUUCUAUCUAUGUCGUUCGUACCAAAUUCACUUUCCUCGAGAUCUCAACCAUGGCCUGCGACCCAUUGUGAUUAGCAGCAGUACCUCUAUCGCACCUGUUGUCUCCCUACACUCUCUCUCUCCCUCUCUCUCUCGAGAAACUUCACAAUGUCUCUUAUUCCUUCCCUUUUCUCUCUUUAGUCUUCUCCUCUAUCUCUCCUCUGUUCUCUCUCAGAGCCUCCUCCCAUUUAUCAUCUAUAUCUUUUUUUAGAGAAAUGGAAAUUUCCCGAGUUUAUAGAUAAAGCCAAAGGAGAUUCACAACACCGAUUACAACCAUUAAAAAAGUAUCACAAGUUGCUGAACAACCAACAACCAACAAAUCCCACAGGAACAGUUCAGAAACGACAAUCGGGCCAACAACCAGGUACCAAAAGAAAACUAGUAAAUGAUGAUACGAUGUCCACUAAGCUAGAGCUUGCACCCUUGGUGAUAGAGAGUUCGACGUAGCCCUGAAGCGAUAGCUGAGUAGGUCCGUGGCGUCGAUGUCGUACCUCUUAACCAGAGGCCUCCACUACUGCAUUAGUGUAAUGGAUUUGAAAAUAACAUUAGCUGGUUUCGACGGGAACACAUGCUCGAUGGUAAACUUAUUUUGAGUAGUCCAAAGAGACCAACUGCAGCAGCAAACCCAAACUAGAAUAUGCAACUCAAUGGGGCAGAUAAUGCACUAAAAAGCGGCAGUAAUUGAGCAAAAAUCGGUCGGAGCCCAGCUAACCCUCAACCACGACCGAGUACAACUUCACAAGAGAAUGACAAAGUCACAUGAAAACAUAAUAUGGUCAGAAUCUUCUGGCCUAGAGCAUAAAUAGCAAGUAGAAUCAGCUUGAGCAUUAUGCUUCCUAAUUUGAUCAACAUCACGAAGCUUCCCAUGGAUGGCUUGCCAAAGAAAGGUCUUAAUUUUUAGUGGAACACGAGCCCUCCAGACACCCAUGAACUUAGAAGAACAGGACCUAGCAAUAAGUCUAUGGUAAAGCGAUUUGACCGAAAAAUUCCUAAGGGGGAAUGAGGCUAGACCACUGAGUCCAGAAUCUCCGAGAGUGUGAGGAAAGUGGCAUCAAGUUGAUGCCACCGUUCCAACUCUACAAGAGAUAGGGAACAGUGAAAGGCCAAAUUCCAACCAGAAUUAGUAAGAUCAAAGAUAGUAAUAUCAACAUUACCACAAAAAGAGAAAAUGACCAGGAAAGAAGAGCAAAGAGGGGUGGCCCGUUCCACCAAUCAAGCCAAAAGCGACUGGAUUUCCCAUCUUUAACAAUAAACUUCACAUGAGAACGGAAAACAUCUUUAAGCUUAUUCAAAGCUGCCAAAAUUGAGAUCCAUUAUUAGCCAAAGCCAGCUGAUCACUAGUGGAGGGAAAUAUUGUGCUUUAAGAAUAUCAAACCAAAAAGUCCUAGCGGAAGCAAGAAGAAUGCACCACCACCAUUUGAAAAUUAAGCAACAAUUCAUAAUUGACGUGUUAAUAAUGCCCAGGCCACUGUGGCUUUUAGGCUAGCAAAUGAUUUUCCACUUGACUAAUUGAUCCUUCUUUCUAUUAUCAGCCGAAUUCUAAAAGAAUCUGCUAUGAUGCUUAUCAAGACUAGUGUGGGUACCCUCAAGUAGCCUAUAAAACCCCAUAGAGAACAUAGGUAGAGAGGAAAGAGAAGAGUUUUUUGUGAGAACUUCCCCAGCAGUUGUAUUAUAUCUACCACAACACGACACAACCCUAUUAUCCACCUUAAGAACUAUGGGGGCUAAGUCUUUUGUCACACUUUAGAAGACGAGGGGGAGUGUGAGUAGAAACCUGGCCCUCAGCUCGAACAUUGAUCUGAAAGGCUUUACUUUUGGGGUAUACCUCGGUGAAACCACUUCGGACCUGAUCUGGCGCACUACACCAAUUCCUCGUAUGAACUAGGCCAGACUAGCCAAAGAAUCUUCAUCCACAGAAAUAGGUUUUCUAAUGAGCUCACCAAACACCAUAAAACACGCCUUGUUACGCAUGAUCGAAUGAACAUCAUUUAACAAAACACGGGGAUCCGCCAAGUUGCCAAAGCAUCGAUCAUCGUCCCCAACCUUUUUGAUAGAAAUUACAAGCUGGUUCACGCGAAGCAUAAAACUAGUGCUCUUAGAUAACAUCUUUAAACUUUCCUGAGACUGGGAAAGCAAUCCCAAAUUCUAAUUGUGAAAUCUACUGUAACUACCAGUCCCAACCAUCCGGACCCCAUUCCCUUAGCUCAUCCGCAAUUGUCUGCAGGGUCACAUAGCAGAUUGGACCGAGAUGAUGGCAACGUUAGAUGUCUGAGGCGCAACCACAACCACGUCCAAACCACCAUCCAAACCAAAAACGCAUAACCUGGCAGGCCUAGACUAUACUGCUUAAUUGAAGGAGGUUUGGAGCGAUUAGUACAACCCACUAUGAGGUGGCCUUCGACACAGCAAAUCAGGCAGAAAAGGAGGAAACAUACGGCGGGAUUCAGAGUGGCCCGGCCUAUGACAUGGAAAACAUGUGAAAGAAGGAUGACCCGAGCUAUUUACCAGAGCUACCCACCGGUGGCGCAUAUCCAGAGAUUGGCAGGGGUGGGUGAGGACUCCAUCAUCAGAGCCAUCAGAAUUGUCAUUCAACCAAAAUUUCCUGAACUUGUUUGGCCGAUUGUUGGGAGGGCAUUGUGGAAGCCACUAGGGAGGGAGUUGGGACGGAACUGCCCUUGGAACCCAUAACCACUAGAAGGAGGAGCGAGUAGAGUAGCAGCCGCAGUCGGACGAGGAGCAUGAGCAUGGGGGAGGGGGCACGGUGCCCGAUGCUGUUGCCUCCCAAGUAUCUAGGGCAGAGGAAUCUGAGCCCACCCAUUGAGAUGGGAUGGGGGAAGAGGAGCAAGCUGCCGCCAUCCUUUCCUCCUGAUGUGCGUGCUACUCCUUACACCACUCUUCUUCUAGAAACCAAACCGGCGGUGUGCCUCCUGCCCAUGCUGCAACUUAGCCCUCAACUCAGCCUCAGGCGCCAGGAGUCCACAAGUGGCCUCACUAGAUCCAUGAAGCUGCCUCUUGCCGUUGGUGUUGCGGUCGCCCAACGAGCCCAUCUUCAGCACCUCAGCAAAGGAGUGGGUCAGAGGUGGGGGUGGAAGGAUUUGGAUGGAACGAGGAAGGAGGUGACCUGAUCUGAUCUUGUAAAUCUUAGUGCAGGAAACAAAAAAACCCUAGGAUUAGGUUGACACAACCUCAACGGGGCAACAUAUACCCACAACAUGGACCAACUGGCUGCUCUGGGCCACUCACAGGAGAAACGAGCCCAAGCCCAAAAGGGAGAGGGGAAAGGAUAGCAAGCAGUAUCCAACCCUUGGACAGGGCCACCACCCUGUGCAGAGCCCACUAAGCUCAUAGACGAGCGCACCAUCUCACAAGCUGACGACCGGAUUAGGGUUUUGUCCCAUAAGUAGAAGAAGUAGAGACGGGUCCAACAAGGCGGAGGACACAUUGAAACCGGGUCAGAGCCAAGCAAACUAGGGGAAGGAGUAGGAUGAAUGUGGACGAGGAAAUCUUCAAUCCAGAUGGCCGGAUCCGUCGUUCCAUCGUAUAGUUCGAUGUUUACGGGUUUAAACCCUUCCAGAAACUAUUGUUCCAUAACCUCAUCAGUGAAGCAUAGGGGGUGUGCGGCCCCUCUAUAUCGUGCAAUGUCACGGCGGAGAUCGGCGGACAUCUGAGUUUGGUACUGAUCCCAAACAUAGUAACGGUCGUCAUGUCGGGCUUUAUAGCCAUUAUCUUGUGCUGGGGCAUGGCCCUUUGAGCCGUAGAUUGAUCUGGUCUGGCCAGCUUUAAUGGCUAUGUCACGUUGCAAAUCGUAUGUAUAUCCCAUGGCUGCAGUCUCCCUGCCUCUUCGGCGAGGGGGUGGGGGUGGUAUUUGUCUUGGUAUGCCGUUUUAUCCCGUCCACGUGGUGGUCGGUCUGGUUGAUCUGCCUGAUUGUAUUUUGACGGUAUUGGUUCAAGGACUUCGUCGUCGAAUUGAGGCAGCAGCUUACGCCUAGGGUAACUUUUGACAGGUCAUUUUGGCCGUAUUCCUCAGCGGCCAGGACCUUAGUCCACCUCUCAUUCAUUGUGUCUUGCUCUUCUUUGAGCUACCACUGCUUCCUCUUCAGGCUCCGAGCUGUGGCAAUGAGCUGCCGCCUAAAGCGUUCUUGGUCGAGGGGUUCUUCUGGGACGAUGAAGUCUUCGUCACCGAGGCUAACCUCCUCUUCGGAUUUUGGCAUGUAGUUGUUGUCCUCCGCAUCUUCGUUGUCAGCACGUCCAGGGCUGUGUUCACCUUCUUCCCACUCGUCAUGUUCUGAUGUGGGCUCGAUAAGGUGUUCGACAUCUUCGGCGCCUUCCGGAGUCUCGUUGUAUCCGGUGCCGGUAUUACUAUCCUUUGCCCGACGCGAUUGUGAGCGAUGCCGCUGACGUCGGUGCUUUGGUGGCUUAUCGACAGGUCUAUCCUCAUCUGGGCUUGGGUUCUCCUCGUCGUUCUUCGGAGUGUCCAUGAUGUACACAUCGUAGGUUGAGGUGGCCGUCCAACGCCCCGUGACGGGUGGGACUUGGCAUGGUUCGGCGUCAGCAUUGUCGUCCAUGUCGUCGAUGUCUUCGGACGCAUAAUCUAGCAUGUCAGUUAAGUCCUCGACAGUGUCUAUUAAGUGGGUGAUGGGUGGGGCGUAAAACUCCCCUCUCUUAGCCCCUAGUCCAGGUUGGGUGCAGUUUGGAGGUAAAGCCUUCGUGAUGGCGAGAGACUUCAUCAGACCCAACGUUUCGUCUAAGAGCGGGAGCGAGAACCGCGGGUCUGUCACGAUGUGUUCGGCUUGGAGCGCGUGAUCGGGUCCGCUAAGUGUAGACCUCGGCAGUUCGGAACGGUUGCCUAGAGCCAGGUUUAAGCCUGCGUCUGGGUCUUCGGUAGGAAGUUCGAUAAGGGGAAAUAGUCCGGCGGGGCUUACGCUCCUGUCUUCAGACGAUGAAACCUGCCCCGGAUCUAAGGCCGAGGUGAGUGCUGGUGUUGACCCCUGGACGAGAUCUGAUAGGGUAUCCCAAGAGUCUUCUUGGAUGGGACGCAGAGUGGCGGCCGAGGCAGCAAACCCAUCAAAGACCAAGUCUGCUCGGAUGUCAGCAAUGUAAUUCAGGUUUCCAAACCUGAUCUGGUGGCCAGGGGCGUAACUAUCGACCUGCUCGAGGCGGUCGGUCGAGUUGGCUCGAAGCACAAAGCCACAAAACACAAAAACUUGUCUAGGAACAAAAGUCUCCCUGGACACAGUGUCACCAUUGAUGAAGAGGUGAGCCAUCAAUCCUUCUGUCAAUGACACAACAGAGCUCUCAAUGAAAGCACCAAUGUCGGUGUCAAAACCGGCAGAUAUCUAGUAGGGGGGCCCAAGCUGAGCGUCUGAGGAUCAAUAGUAACAAAGGAGAAGGGACACAGUGUUUACCUAGGUUCGAGCCCUCUUAAUGGAGGUAAAACCGUACUCCUGCUUGAUUAUAUUCGAGGGUAUAGGGGUUACAAGAGUCGAUCCACCAUGAGAUCGAUUUGGCUAACCCUAGAUAGCUAGCCUAGCAAUGUUGUGAUCCUGCCUCCGAUCUACCCUUCGGUUUAUAUAGACACCGGAGGGGCUUAGGGUUUGUACAAAGUCGGUUUUAUAGAAAGUAAUAGGAUAUCCGGACACCUAUAUUUGCCGUCCACGCAUACGGGAGUCCCCACCAGACAUGAGAGAUAAUCUUCUAUCUUGNNNNNNNNNNNNNNNNNNNNNNNNNNNNNNNNNNNNNNNNNNNNNNNNNNNNNNNNNNNNNNNNNNNNNNNNNNNNNNNNNNNNNNNNNNNNNNNNNNNNNNNNNNNNNNNNNNNNNNNNNNNNNNNNNNNNNNNNNNNNNNNNNNNNNNNNNNNNNNNNNNNNNNNNNNNNNNNNNNNNNNNNNNNNNNNNNNNNNNNNNNNNNNNNNNNNNNNNNNNNNNNNNNNNNNNNNNNNNNNNNNNNNNNNNNNNNNNNNNNNNNNNNNNNNNNNNNNNNNNNNNNNNNNNNNNNNNNNNNNNNNNNNNNNNNNNNNNNNNNNNNNNNNNNNNNNNNNNNNNNNNNNNNNNNNNNNNNNNNNNNNNNNNNNNNNNNNNNNNNNNNNNNNNNNNNNNNNNNNNNNNNNNNNNNNNNNNNNNNNNNNNNNNNNNNNNNNNNNNNNNNNNNNNNNNNNNNNNNNNNNNNNNNNNNNNNNNNNNNNNNNNNNNNNNNNNNNNNNNNNNNNNNNNNNNNNNNNNNNNNNNNNNNNNNNNNNNNNNNNNNNNNNNNNNNNNNNNNNNNNNNNNNNNNNNNNNNNNNNNNNNNNNNNNNNNNNNNNNNNNNNNNNNNNNNNNNNNNNNNNNNNNNNNNNNNNNNNNNNNNNNNNNNNNNNNNNNNNNNNNNNNNNNNNNNNNNNNNNNNNNNNNNNNNNNNNNNNNNNNNNNNNNCUGCUCACAUGCUGAGAGGGGAUGGCGCAUUCUCUCUCCUUCCAUUUCACCUAUGUUCUUUCUCACACACACAACCUAGUCCCAUUUCGGCUUUGCUCUCCCUGACACACACAUCCUAGUCCCAUUUCAUCUCCUCUCUCUCUCUCUCUAAUUUUCUUGUUCUUCUCUUUCUCUCUCUCCUUCCCAUGGCUGCUCUCUCACAGCCUCUUUCUCUGUUGCACACACGCCAUGAAGCAGGAAUCCUGCAUGGAGAAUGUGCUUGUGUUCUGUGGGGCAGCUCAUCACGUGAGAAUAGUGACAGAAGAUGAUGCCAAAGAGGGGCUUGGUAAACACCUGGUAAUGACGCAAGAGCGGUCAGACGUGGGCUGCGCUCCCAGCUGCAACGAUGGUCAGACGUGAGUGCGUCGACGACUCCAAGCUCCGCCUUUUCUGUUUUACAUUUGUUAGCUUGCUCUUGUUUGCUGCCCUAUAAGUUGUUUCCUCGGCACUUUGUAUCUCUCUAUAGCCGUUUGGAAAAUUAGUAAUUUAAAGUCGGGCUCAAUGAGCCUAUUGUCUAAAAAUAUUUGUAUGCAUCACAUCAAAUUCCCGGGGUGAAUAUAUGAAUGAGUGCAUACAUUAGAAAUUUGGUUCACUAAUUUCCCGCUGACUCCUAUAUUACACUGCUUAUUACCCGCAAUCAAUAACCAUACCACUCCCCUAAUAAAUAAUGGUGAAUUUACAUAUGUAAUAAAGCCUGAAAUGAUAGGCAUACCUCAUAAAAAAUUCGUGUAGUUCAUCCUUGGUCAGUGGAUAGCCAUUAGAAAAUGUCACG